rnacentral:lncRNA from 1 species
UUUUGAAAUAAACAUAUAUUUAAUUUUUUUUAAAAUAAUUUUACUGCCUAAUCAAUUUGAUCACAUAUUUAUUAUUUAGUAAAACAAAAGCUAAUUUCUUUUUCAAAUGCAAAAGAAAGACAAAAAUUAAUAUUUAAAAAUAAGUUUUUCGGUAAUUAACGAUGGAUACUUAGGCUUCGUUUCGUUUGGAAUAUUUAAAAAUAAGUUUUUCGGUAAUUAACGAUGGAUGCUUAGGCUUCGUUUGGGAUAUUUAAAAAUAAGUUUUUCAGUAAUUAACGAUGGAUGCUUAGGCUCCGUUUGGAAUUGCGAGGAGAUUGUGUUACGUACGGUGAGAAAGUUGGGAAAAUACUCAGCAUAUUCCUAUAUGCUUUUUUCCUAACUCUAUUUUAUCUAACAAAUAGAGUUCAAUACCAAACUAAACCUGUGGAAUAACCCCUUAACCCCCAUUUUAUCCCCAAACACUUCUAAAAAUGGGUGGGGUUAGCUAACCCCACCUCAAAUGGGUUAUCUCACUAACCCCACCUAACCCCACCAAACCCCAACCAAAUACUAUUUUCUAUUCAUAAUAACCCACUAUCCUUCUUAUCCCACCUACUCCAACAAAACACUAUUUUUCACUAUUCUGGACUAACUCCAACCCCCAACCAAACACAAAAAUACUCUAACCCCACCUUAACCCUAAACUUAACCCUAUCCCUGAAAUAACUAGUUUUUCCUUAACCCCGAACCAAACGGUAGCUGGAAGCAUCCCAAACGAAAUAGUCUACACUCAAGCUUCGAAGCAUCAAAAAAAAUAAAGAUACUAUAUGAUGCAAUUUAUCCUUCAAUAGAUCAUUGAUUUGAGACACUCUACACAACAAUACGCUUUUAAUGAGAUUUUCUUAUAGUGACUCACCCGUUCUUAUCGCAGCAGAUGCGUAACAGCGUGCGGGUAUCUGCAGCGACGGCCGCGAGGAGCUUCGCCCUCUGGAGUUCGUCGCAGGCGUUGAUGAACCUCUCGAGAACGCGAAAGUCGUGCCUAUCCAGGAUCAGGUUCUUUACUUCGUUGAGCACCGUCGGAAAGAAGACUGCGACGUAUUUGUAGUCCCCAUGCAGCAGACUCAGAUUCAAGAACUGUAUCGUCUGCGCCGGAAUUCGGUGCAGCCUGCUGUCGGAGGUGGCCGUACGCAGCGGCGCGAAUUGUCGACGAUGGUGGGAAUCGGCAUUAAUGGCAGCGAAGGCCGUAGACAGCGGCGCGAAUUGUCGAGGAUGGUAGGAAUCGGCAUUGGCGGGGAAAGGAUGUGGGGAGGGGGAGGGGUGGUGGUUUGGGGGGAGUGGCGAAGAGGGGGGAGAGAGGAAGAGAUCGUCGGGCAAGAAGAAGGAACAAUUGCAGGAGGACGAGGAGGCAGGAGACGACGUCGAGAGGCUGAGGCCCGAGAAAUUGUUGCCAGCCGGUCCAAGUCGCCGGCUGUGGGGUUGAUGCGGUCCAUGGCCAAGCUCCGAGUGACUUACGUAGAGAAGUAGUACAUGCAUAACAUAUAUAUAUAUAUAUAUAUAUUAAUUAUAUAUAUAUAUAUAUAUAUAAUAUAUAAUAUAUAUAUAAUUGAAGGUCUUAAAUAAGUUUUUUUUUUUUUUUUUUUUUUUUUUUUUUCUUCUCGGAGAAGAAGAGAGUAGAACUAGGAGUAUGUGAAACAAAGAUGAUAUGAUAUAUAUAUAUAUAUAGAGAGAGAGAACGACGAAAUUCUCUAGAAAUCUGUUAGGAUUCGAGUUGGGCAUGAAACAAAUAUUUUUAUUUAUCUAUAAAAUACUUAAGUUGUCAGCAAACCGGAUUGCAAAAUUAUAUAUUUAUCUAACAUAGAGAUUAUUUAAUCUUUAGAAAAUAUAUAAAUGAUUUUAAUCCAAACGGAAGGUUUAGAUGGAUAUAAUUUAAUCCAUUCAUUUAAUUUGCUUGUUAUUGGUUAAAUAAAAAUUAUUAUUUUUAAUUAUAUAUAUAUAUAAUAUAUUAUAUAACGGUGUAAUCCAAAGAAUCUUUGAUUUUCUUGUUCUUUUUCUUUUUCUUUUUCUUUCUUUGGCUUCUUAAGGAGUAGCAAAGGCAAUUUAUUUUAAUCCAAAAAAUAAUUUUAAAUAUUGUUAUGUACUUAGAGGAGCCGGCCACCGGACGAGGGGAAUUAUGUCAAGUAUUUGUGAUAGACUAAUAGAAAUUAAGUUCUGAUUAAUACACGCUUUAUUAACUAGAUACUGUAAACUUAUAAAUUUACGCAUCCAAACAAAUAAGAUAAGACCGAAAUACUUGCCUUAUAUAUACUUAUAUAUAUAUAGAGAGAGAGAGAGAGAGAGUUGAGCCGGAUAGUGUAGCAAACGGACUCCGUUGCUAUCCAUUUGUUUUCGAUGAUAGAACUUUCAAAUCGACGAUUGGCACCAUUAAUUGAACAUGAUCUAUAAUACUUAAAACAUAUAGAAACUAAAUUUCAAAUCUUUUUGAAAUUAUUGACCUAAUGAUCAAAGUAUUUCAAAAUUUAUAAUUUUAAUGGUAGAUAUGAGACGUUUUCUCGUUUAACGAUUUAGAAAAUUUUGGUUAAAUUUUUUUUUAAACUAUUUAGAAAUUUAUACUCUUGAUCUUGAUUAAAAAUUUUCUAUCAUCUCUUUUUAAAAAAUAUUUAAUUUCAGCUAUUCAUUUUUAUAUCAACUUGAUGGACAAGAGAAUAAUAUCAAAAAAACAUAAAAUUUGAUUUUUAGAUACUUCAAGCGGUAUAAAUUAUGUUCAACGAUACCGAUCGUCGAUUUAAAGAUUUCAGCAUCAAAAGCAAAUGGAUAGUAACGAAACCCGUUUGGUACCGAUACCAUUUUAGCUCAACUCUAUAUGUAUAUAUUAUCAUACGUCCAACUUUUAUUGCUGCACCUGUAAUAUGGUUGGGUCUGUAAGGAUUCAACAAACCCCUAGAAAUUAUUCUGUGGACCUGGUCUACGUAUCAACACCACAUAAUCCGAGCAAUGCAAUCUGUACACUCCUAAAUUACAUAUACAAUGUACACUCCAUUCAUCCAAAGGCCCGUUUUCUUUCUCUACUAUUAUCAUCUAAAAUUUAUUUGGAUAUUUAUAAACCUUAAGAUUAAAAAGAUUUACGAUUUAUAUCAAUCUAUAUAGAUAUACGAACAGCAUUUUUCCUGCUUAUAAAUUAUAUACCAAGUUACUAAGGAGACGAUAAAGAGAUAUUAGCAUAAGUAAAAUCUUAUAAAAUUUUUGGCCCUGUUUGGAUGAUGAUAUCAGUUUGUACUUGAUAAAUAAUGAGUAUAAUAUAAUCAAACAUAAAAAAAAAACAUAUCAUAUUUAACCUUGCAGACAGAAUGAAAUAAAUUACUUCAUAAGUAAAAUAUGUUAUUUUAUUAAAUCACAAAUGUUACGAGCUUUAAAAAGCCAGUUUGCAAUCGCAGAUAUAAGACUUCUCAAAAUGGAAUGUUUUAAGUUGGUAUGAUGUGCAUUUUGUACACCUGGUCCAACCAAUCUUUUCUAGUUGGCAUGGUGCAACAACCCCAAAUUAAUAAUCACUAGACCAUCACCAACUUAUAAAGCUCACAUUUUUCUCUUCUUUUAGACUGCAAAGUUUGUAGUUUUAAAGUAUCUGCAGCUGCUUCUAGUUUCUGAGUCUUAAGCCACUGUUAUGGAAGCUCAUCAAAUCUAUACCCUCUCUCAAAUUUCCUCUCACAACGGUGUGAAUGAUUGCUGGGUCGCCAUAGGUGGCAAGGUCCUCUCUCUCUCCUCUCACUCUCUUUCUUUUUUUUUUCUUUUUUUCUUUUUUUUUUUUGGUCUAUGUUUUGAGUAUAUGUAAUGUUAUACAUGUCAGGUUAGUUUAAGUAGAUGAAAGUGUUUACAUAAUUUUAAGUAAAGAGACAAAUAUAAGAUAACUUUUUCAUUAAAUGGCCAAGUUUGAUUUUUGGUUUCGACCAACAAAACAAUUGAUAUGGCCAUUUUAUAGAAAUUUCUCUCUCUCGAGUCUCGUAGGAACCUAAGAUUGAUUGUUUUGCUAGUAAUUUAUACAAAAAUAAAUAAAUAAAUAAAUAAACAACUCAGUGGAUGAAAUUAAUAAAUUUAUUAUUAAUUUUAUGUACGUGGUGCGAGUAUUACAGAAAAGAAUUCUUCAUGAUUUGCAUAUGUUUGUAGGUGAUUGAUGUAACCAACUUCUUGCAAGAACACCCGGGAGGCGACGUGCUGCUGCUGGAGGUCGCGGGGAAAGACGCCACGCAGGACUUCAAGGCGAUCGGGCACAGCAAGGGCGCGAAGAGCCUCCUCCUCAGAUACCAAGUCGGAGUCGUGGAAGGGUUCGAGGCGAAGGCGGAGGAGGAUGUGGCUGCUGCUUCGAAGGAUCGCGACGUAGCAGAAGAGACUGCGACUGGUAAAGCGACUCAGACGAUGACCGGGUUUCCGAUUGAGGAUGGCGACGACAAAAGCAACAGCCAUGGUAGAGAGUUUGGGCUCAUACAAUUCCUUGUGCCUCUUCUUAUUGCCUGCUUAGUGUUCUGGUACAGAUGCUCUUCUACCAUAACAGAAAUGUUUAGUUGAAGUUAAAUGUGUAAUAAAAAACUUAAGAAUAGUUCCUGCACUAUCCAGUAUUGCGAUUUGGUCCUCGACCGCCAAAAAGAUAAAUUAUUGAUCUAAUCAAAUUGAAAUGAAAGACGGUUUUCAAAGAAAUAUUACGAUUUUGUUUUCGUCAGAGAUUGGAAUACAGUUUAUGUGAAAUGUAAAGAGUACAGGGACCAAGUCGCAAUAUCAAGAUAGUACAGGGACUAUUCAUACAUUUUAUAAUUUUCCAUCACAUAGUAACUAGCAGGGAAUAACAGAUCCAUAGAUGCAGUACAUCACCUGUUACAAUAAACAAUACUGCUGCACAGUAAGGACAACCUCUUUAUGUUAACAAAAUUUAGAACCAUGCGUAUGCUAUAUUAUCCUUUACAGUAUCAUAAUUACAAUGCUUAAUUUCCUAGUUAUUUUUGUAUUAUAAGUGCAUUUAUAAUAUAAAUAUGUUUUCUUAGCAUGUUACAAGUUUCCUAUGAUUGUUGUGCAAUGUCCCAGAAAGAUUUCAAAAUACUGUUGAACAAAUAGACUAUAGAAGAUUGAGAAACCCCUUAGUUUGAUUCCAGAAACAAUUUUAAAAAACAAAAAGAAGAUUCAGAAACCGCCGGCUAGGGAUUUGUUAGUUUUACCGGUUGGUUCGACCCUCGAAUGAGUUUGCUUCAAUCAUAUGGUAUCUGGAAUAUUACCUAUCUUGGUACAAAGAGAAAUAAAGGGCCCAAAAAAAAAAAAAAGAAAAUAGUGUAACUCUCUGAUUAUAGUAUGGAAAUGACAUGAAUUGUGAAGAGCACAGUAACAUAUAGAUCAACAAAAUUCCAAACCACUUGGAACUCGAGGUUUCUGAGAAUCAAGCACAGCAAAUUUUACAACAGUGAGAAACUAAAAAGCAACAACACAUGAAAGAAUUGUGAACUCGCGCGCUUAUCAUGCAUUCUUCAGAUGUUAUUCUCACAAAAAAGGAGAUUAUAUAUUGCAGAUAAUAGCAGGAAAGCAUAUAGUUUUUUUUUUUUGUUUUUUUAAGUCUGUAUCUUGUACAUCUCAGAGAAGUGAUACAACUAAAAGAACACCCAACUUGCCCUUGAAACUAAAAUAGAAUCCUCACAAGCAUAAAGCCAAAACCAGCCAAAAAGUUCAAUAUUACAUAUUCCGUAAUGAUGAACACGACGAUCCCGGUUCCCUUUCGUUAGAUUGCAAUUCUAUGCUACAAAGACACCAUAGUACAUUAACACGCCGGUAUGUUGAAUAUCAACUUACUGCAAUGUAUGUUAAAACAAGAACUUAAAUGAUCGAAAUUAGUUGCCACAACUGUCGCGUACACAUGAUGGCGGUCAUAUGACAGCUCGACAGUAUGGGCAAUCUCCGCAAUUGAGCAACCAUGGCACUAAACAAUCUGGAUGAAACCUAUGGCCACACCACAGCCUCAUGAGCUCAACGCCCUCUUUAAAUCUCUCCAGACAUAUAGAACACUCCAGUGAUGCCCUAAUGGAUUCAUCAUCCUCCUCUACAUGUCGAAAAACUUCAUGUUUUAGGGCAUUGAGAGCUUCCUUGCUUAGUCCAGGGGGUCUCCUGUUGUUAAAAUUGCGAACAGAGAAGGCUUCCUCUGAUUCAAUAGUGAAGUUGGAAAAUGGCGAACCAGAUUCAUACCACUCUGCUGGAGCCUCAGUUUCUCGAUUUCCAAUGCUAACAACCCUAAAAACACCACUGAUUGCGAAUUCAUCCCAUGAUAUACCAGAAACUGCAGUGUUUUGCCUGGCAAAAGAUUUAGAGAAGAAUUGUUAGCAUGAUGUAUGAUACUAAGCGUACAUAUAAUAUGUGUUGUUAAGCUGACGACUGAUCAAUGGAUAGACUGAUCAGAGGGCCUCAAUGUCCUAAUAAAAUUCCAAUUUGGUCCUCAGCUUCUCAAUUUUUACAGCUGAGUCCCUGCCAUCUGAAUCCGGUAACAAUCACGAUCAUCAGUGCCCUGUACAACUUCACCAUGCAAGUAAGAUACACCCUACUUGAUAGAGGAGCCCAACAGUCACAUGGCAGGUAAUGGCGAUUAGACAAACAUCUGUCUCCAUUUAACAGAGAUAUUCAACAAGAUGGCUAAAACUGCAGCAAGAGACAUGGUAAGGUACCUAACAGUAAAAUAAUAAAAGUUUCGAGGACUGAACUGAAAGUUUGUUAAACGGUUCAGAACCCAAUGUGCAAUACCCAUUAUCCACUAAUCCAAAUUAAUAAGCAUGUCGUCAGCUAAUAUAGAAGAGAAAAGACCUGCUUUCUGUGAGGGAAAUGCCCCUUAGUCUUUCUAUAAGCCGUUCUCGUGCCUGUACCACGGCACCAGGAAGUCUCUCACUUCUGAUUAAUCGCAACCUGUCGAUCCCACUUGUAGUUCCAUCAAUGCCAUCAUUUCCUCCAGUAGAAUCACUAGCAGUAAUGGCGUCCAAUUGAAUUGAUUCGAGUUCCUAAAGAUAAUAGAGCCAAGAUGAGCGGACUCAAUGCAAAAAUUAUUAAAUGACGAAAAUAGCAUAUAUAAAUAUGUGUAGUCGAUUCAAAUUAGUCAGAAUAAACGAACAAAAUGAAGCACAGCUGACAGAUCUCAAAAUCAUAUUUAGUCCAUUUGCAUCUAAUUGAUUUGCAGAACAGGACUUAUGCUGCAAUACAUAGAAAGCUCCAAAGUAAAAAUGAAAAAUUGGAUACAUUAAUUCUGUUGAAUGGUGAACAAGCUAUGGUCUAUUUGGAGAGCUUAGCAUUUGUUUUUUUUUUUUAAACUAAAUGAUAUACAAGAUUCUCCAAAGAAGAAAAAAGGGAAUAAGAAAAAAACUAAAAAGUUGGUGACAAAAGAAGAAGGAACAUGCAAGAAGCAAACUAUGUAGACAAACAUUUGCAUUUCUAUGCUGUUGGGGAACUCGUAGUAAUUUAGUAAAUGUAAGGAAAGGAGUGAUAGUUUGCUGUAAACAAAGGUAAACGUUGUCAUCUCUUUCAAUUUUAGAUUUACAAGUUGAUGAAAGAAAUAUUUAGUUAAGGUGAUAUGUUUACUUCUCAGCAUAAUAUUAGCCAAUUCAACGUUUGGUUCUCAGUUUAUCUGGACCAAACAAUAAGAAAUUUGAGUACCAUACAAGAUAUUCCAUAUGCUAACAAACAAGUUAAAAUGCGUUUUCCUUUUGUUGGCUCUCACAGCCAUGUAAUACAUCCACUAAAGGAAUGAAACCUUUGAUAUAGAAACACAGAACACUAGAAGAUGCGGCACAAUGUCCGCUAUGAAUCCAGUUGAUAGGAAAGCUCUACGAGCGAAGGAUGUUUCCAAACUAUCAGAUUUGUAUACAACCAAGCAAUUGAAUACAUAAGCACAUUCAAGUGAAUAUAAAACAAUGUUUACUGUGUUUCUCACAUAAUUAUUAUCAACUAAAGACUUCAAACAGUAGCUUACAAGGCUAGAAAAGAAACACCAUUUUAAAAUGGCAAAUCUAGUCAUUUAAAGUGACUACACCAUUGAUCUCAUUUUAUCACUCCUCAAAUUACAAAAGAGGAACUCUAGAUGAGUCAAAAAUAAAUUUUUUCUCUCACUAUAGGAUGCAGUAGUAAUGUAUAUUUAUUUAUUUACGUAGUUCAUUAGCAACUACAGGGCAAAAAGGAAAAGAAGGAAACUGCAACCACAAGCUACUUAACCAAAAAGAACGACUUUGAAGAACAUCUUUAAAAAACAAUAAAAAAAAUUAAGUAGCAUAAUGUAGGGGAAAAAAAUUUAUAAAAAAAAUGUUGAAGAGUACGAAGACAAAAGAAAACUACAUAAAGUGUGUGGUUCUACUUGAAAGUUAGCGUCUUUAUUGAUCCUACAAACAAAUCUCUCGAAUAUUCGCGAACAAUCUAGAGCUUUAGAGGCACGUAGAAUCAACGGGCUAGGGUUUUUAGGGUUUGGGUGGGGGGAUCGAUCGGUCCCCGUACUACUUACGAUCUGGGAGGCGCGAUGAUGGCACGGGUGGCGGCGGGGCGGGGCCUGCGCCUGGUGGCCGCCGAGGUCGCGGCGGCGGAGGCGGCGGCGGCGGCGGAGGCGGAGGCGGCGGAGAUCGGCGUCGCGAUCGGAGGGGAAGGGGCUGGGGGCCGAGGGUUCUGGACCCGGAUCCGGGUCGGAGAUGCGUCCCCCGCGAGAUCUCCAGUUGUAGAAAAGCUCAGAGGCGCUCGUCAUGGAUCCGACCUUCGUCUUCCUCGUCGUCCUCGUCUUCGUGUUCUUCGUGUUCUUAUUUCCUCCUCUUCCUCCUUUUAUACGGAGGACGAUGAUCUCACAAGCAAAUGGUUUUGUGAGAUUUGAUGGAUUUUUUUUUUUUUCCUUUUUCUUUUUUAGUUUUUAAUGGAGGAGGGGAGAAACGCUACGCGACGACGACCGCUGGAGAAGGAAAAUUACUCACUGUACCCGGCGUAUAAGUACAUCCCCUGCACCGAAGACGAAAAUAUUUUGUGUGUUGAAAUGAUAAAGAUUUUGAUGGUUGGUAUCCAAUUUGCCUCAUUCAAAAAUUAGGGGCUCUCAAAAAAGUGUGAAAAUAAAUAUUUCGAGUUUAGUUUUCCGUUAGUUCAGUUCUAAAAAAAUAAAUAUUUAUUAAAAAAAUAAUAUUUACAAAUAAAUAUAUACUGAUUUUUCAUUAAAUAAAUAAAAUUUAAAAUUUAUAUUUUCAGUUAAAAUUUUAUCUCUAAAAUAAAAAAUAUACUAAGUAUAAGUAGAUAGAUAGUAUGCUACUUUUUCUCUUAUCGAUAAUCAAAAUCGUUAAAGUCGAUUUGGAGUAUUUAAAGCGUCUUAAAAUUAAAUUUUAUAAACUUCAAAAAUAAUUUAUGUAGCGAUCUAAUAGUUGGUAACAUGAUAUAUUCUGAUAUAUUCAAAUCAAUAAGUUAGUAAUCCAAUAGGAGAUAACAUUUAGUCGUAACAGUUAUCUAGAUAUAUUCAAAUUAGUCGAGUUAGUAAUCCAUAACGUAUAUAUUGAGAUAUAUUCAAAUCUAUCUAGUAAUCCAAUAAGGGAUAAUAUAAUAAUUUUUUUAAGAAUUGCUAUAGAUCCCAACAAUAUGGUAGGAUACAACUCGCCCAAGUUUGAUGCAUUAGUUUUAAAUUUUUAUUUUUAUCUCUCCAUUAAGCUAAGAAAUUAGCAAACUUACCAUUAGUAAAGCAAUUUUUAUAAUUUUAAUCAUUUUUCUACAUAAAAAUUAAUUAAAAAAAGUGAUGGAUCACACAGCUAAAGGAAUUAAAAAAGUCAUACUAUGAACAAUAAAAUUAAACACUAUAUUCUAAAUAACAAAAAAAAAAUUAAAAAAAACUUAUAUUAGCACAUUGCUCUACAAGAGAUAAUUAAGGGCCAAAUUGUCAUGCAUUAAUUUAAACAAUUGUUUACUGGCUUUUAAUCCAGUCAAGUUUACUAUUUACUGACAAAAAUUGAUUGGUGGGGACAAACUCAUCUAUUUACAGAAAUAUCUAUGAUUUUUUAGAAAUUGAAGGAAUAUCUAUAGAAAUUAUAAAGUUUUAAAAGAAUAAGCCUGCUGAAAUUGUCCUACAAUAUUUGAGUACCAGUAUUUUAAAAUUAAUAUCUAAUUUGAUAAAUAUAGAUAUAUAUAAUAUCAAAAUAAUUUAUAAAUAAAAAAUUAUAAAUUUGAAAAUUUACUCUUUGGAUAUUAAGAAUUUUAAAACAUAAGAAAUAAAAAUAAAAUUUAAGACAAAUGAUAGGUGAUAGAUGAGAUGUAACUAGACACCAGGUGCAAGCAAUUAAGUUGUUACUUGAAGACUCCGUGGGGGCAAUGAGAAGAGUGAUGGGGAAAGGCGGAGGAUUUUUAGACGGUGGUCAAAAAGGAGGAAUUCUACACUGUCACACUUGCACCACAUCAUCAAUAACAAGUCAAUUCCAUUUCUUCUUUUCAAACAAAAGUACAACAAAAAUACUUUUUUACAAUCAUGAUGGGACAUAUUUUUUAAAAAAAUUAAUUUGAUUGAUUUAUUACGCCACGUCACUAAUAUACCCGUUGCAUUCUAGAAUUUUUCGAUCAAAAGAAGGUACGCAGGAGGCUACAAUAGAAAGCGAGGUCCAAACCAAAAGAAAAAGUGUAAACUUUACAUACCACAAUAGUAAUUUUUCUCAGUUUAGUAUCUAUCAUGUGAUUUAAAAUAUAUCAAUUUAAUAUUUUAUAAUUUUAUUUUUUUCUUUCUGUUACUCUCUGAGAUGCUCUCUAUAUAGUUUAUCGAAUAUUUACUUUAGUAUCUUUUAGUUUUAUCUUUAUUAUCACUAUUUAACAAAAAAAAAUUAGUGAAAAGAAUAAUAAAAAAAAAAUUAUAGGAUACAAAAAUAAUACACUUUAAACUACAGAGUACUAAAAAGUGAAAGAAUGCGAAACUACAGAAAUGAUAUUUGGAAGUUUUUUCAAAAAAUAAUAAUAAAUAUACGGCCAAGACCAUUCCUAGCAUGAGACCUGGCAUACCAAAAUUAUUAAAAAUUAUGCAAAAUUUUUUAUAGAAUUAUUAUGGUUGAUUCGUCAUGCAUAUAAAAUCAUACCGAUAAUGACGGAUUUGUGCAAACCCAAGAUUAUCCUACUGAAAUUUCAAUCACAACGAGCUCCGCCGUCCACAUCUUACUACCUUAAAAGGCCGCGUUUGGUUGGAGAACUAAAUUUUGGAGAACAACUUUUAUUGUUCCCGAGAACAGGGAAUAUUCCGGUACAAGAUAGAACAAUUGUAAAUUUGUGUUUGAAUGUAUUCGAGGAUAUUCUAGAGGAUAUCCUUAAUAGCGUUUGGAUAAAAAGUCUAGAACAACGCCUAAAUAUAUUUUUAAAAAUAAAAUAAUUAAUUUAUAUUAGUAUAUUUUAUAUAAAAUUAUUUAUAAAUUUAUUUCAUAUAGUAAUUUAUAAUAUAAUAUUUUAUGUAAGAAUCUAAUUUAAAAUAAUAUAUUUUAUUUUAUUAUAUAUAAUAAUUUAUUUUUUGUAAUAUAAAUGAUAAAGUUUAAUAAAAUAAAAAAUAUAUCAAAUUUAAUUAAUUUAUAUUAUAUAAUAAAAUUUAAGUAUAAAUAUAUUAUCAUAAAAAUUUAAGUUAUAAUUUCAUACAAAUUAUUAUAUAACUAUACAUAUUACUGAAAAAAAGAUUUAUGUAUAUAAUACUUAAUAAAAUAAAAUAAUUAAAUAUUAAUAUAAUAAUGAUAAAACUUAAUAAAAUAAAAUAUAUAUCAAAUUUAAUUAAUUUAUAUUAUAUAAUAAAUUUAAGUUAUAAAUAUAUUAUCAUAAAAAUUAAGUAUAAAUUUCAAUACAAUAAAAAAUAAUAAUAUAUGAAAAAGAUUUUUAUGUAUAUAAUAAUUAUAUAUAAAAUACAAAUAAUAAUAUUAAUAUAUAAUAUAAUAAAACUUAAUAAAAUAAAAUAUAUAUCAAAUUUAAUUAAUUUAUAUUAUAUUAAUACAAUUUAAGUAUAUAUAUAUAUUAUCAUAAUAAUAUUUUAUACUAAUUAUUAAUUUAUUAAAUUUGAACAUUCAUUUAAUUUAUUUGAAAUUAAUUAAAAUAAAGUAUAAACAAUUAAAAGGCAAAAAAAAAAAAAAAAAAAAAAAAAAAAGCUAAAAUCUCUUGUUCCAGAAAAAGGAGAACAAGUUUAAGAGGUUGUUCCCGGAACAACCCGUUAAGCAGGAAACAACCCGAUUGUUCUAAAAAACAUUGUGUUUGGAGGGAUAUCCCGUCUUGUUCUGGGAUAUCCCUCCAACCAAACACAGAUUUUGAGAUAUUCUCCUCUCUCUCUCUCUCUCUCUCUCUCUCCACUCGAAACGCAAUAUUACACUAAUCUAAUUCACCAGAACUGAAUUUCUAAUUAUUUUAAAAUAAUAAAACAAACGCAUCCUCAAGUUUAUGAUAUCAUGACAUCUAGCAACAGAGAGGCAGACAAAAUGGUCCCAAAACCAUUUUGCGACCGUCCCCAUCAAAUUUUUAUUUGGAGGACUGUCUGCAUGACAUCCGAUAAACCGACCAUCCAAUCUUUCUUUUACCAUGCAACGGUAAUAGUUAACAGGAAAAAAGCACAUAACACAGUACUUACUGUAACCAAUUGCUAAGUGAAAAGAACGGGUCAUAUUCUAAUAUAAGUAAAAAAAAUAAUAAAAAUAAAAAUAACAAACAUAAACAUUAGAAUCAAUUUCCAGAAAUUAUACAAGUUACAAAGAAUCACAACAUAGUGGAUACAAAUUGGUAAGAAACCAUCAUUUUUCUACAAUGAUUUGUUGCCAACUAUUUUAACACAACCUCUACGAGUCCAACACUUUUCCCUCAUCUCCAACAUGAAGUCACAACUACACACCAUCCAUCCAAGUAAUAACAAGCAGAGACCUCUUCACGGAUGCAACUCAAAGCCAAUUAGAGCAUGUGGAUAUUGUUAAUACCGAUAAUAAUAAUAAUAAUCUAGAAUGAGAAAAUCAAGUGGAGAAAUGAAUAGGAUUUGAGCUUCAACGGGAUCGAAGGAACAUAAAUCAUCUCUACGGAGGGGAAGUUAUAAGAGAUAAUUAGCAGAUUCAUAGUAAUUACCCCCUUUUAGGCCCAGAAUCACAGAUAACUAAGCCUUUCGUGUAAGAGUUUCUAUUUCUGUACAUCAACAACUGGACAUGGUCAGGAAGUUAAUGAGGGACUGGCCUGAAAAUAACAACUACUGAAGCUGCAAUCUAUAUGAAACUCCUGAAUUAGUCUACUAUCUUGAAAAGAUAUACACUUUUCUGCUUGGAUCCACAAGCAAUACAUUAAGGAGUCGUUCUUUUCACGGAUUUGUAACUUAUCAGGGAAUAUCCGCAAGUUCUAAAUGAAAUUGUAAGUUGCCAAAGCAAACUAAGACCAAGAGAGCUUAAGAAGCCUAAAGUGAUCAAAUUACCCAUGACUUCCAAUUUGCGGGCAUCUUACAUCACCAUGGUGACGGAAAUUUUAUCAGCCUCAUACCCGACAAUUGGAAAGUUCUUCAUUAAGGGGAAGGGAUGUCCAACCCACGUUGCACAGUUACAAUCUUACCCUUUCAGAAAGAAAAUGCAGAGCACUCUCGGAAUGUUACAAAUCCAUGAAAUAAACGACCUAUAGGAGAUUAAAAACCUUCGCCAUCCAUUGUGCAUCAGGGGGCGUUGCUGCCAACAAUCUAAAUAAUCUCGACGUGGAAUUUUCCACAAGGGGCUGCCGACCAACCAUUAUUUUACUUCUUUAAAUUCAAAAGUGGCACGAAACACUUCCUGCACGUUAAGUGUACGAAUAAGAUAACUUGCUCACAAAAAAUGCAAAUUCACAUGAAAAGUUAGCUGGAUUCUGAGACUGAGAGCACAAAACUUUAUUCCAUCAUUUAAUACAAUAAUACAAGAGGAGGUGUUGUUUUCAAUAUGCUGCAAAUGCAACAGUGAUGCUAUAGUAGAUACUCUACAAAACAUUUGAAUGUUAACGGCUUACGUACCAAGGAUUUUCUAAAGUACGACCUACAGUCAUCUGGCUACAGAUUCUCCAAGGUCAUUAUUGAGAUUAAUAAAAAUGAUUAUACAAGUAAACUGAUUAAAGCCAAAUUAUUUUAAUGAAAAAAUAUUGUAAUUGUGCACACUUCCAGUAAUAUUGAAAAACAAUAGCAACAAAUUUUACAAGUACUCUUAAGGAAGAUAGGCACUGGCUUUUUAUCCACAGAACAUAUGUGAGGAUAAAUGAUACUUUCAUAUGAGUGAUGGUCCCAGUUAUCACAUGUAUGAUGGCAUUCAAAAGUUCAAAACUCUAAAUUGGUUCCUCGUACCACAUCAUUUUAAUUGCUUAAGUCAAGUUUCAUUGACAGCUUACUCAGAAAAUGCAUCAUUUCCAGAUAGCAUUAAGCAUAUAUAGCUAAAUUCAGCAUACAGAAGCCAAAUUGGUUAGACUAGAAACCUGGUUACCAACGGCACUCAAAUGAAAGACAAAUAUAGAAUUAAAGUUCAAAAAAACAGUUUGAUGUACCUUAUCAGCAGCCACAGAAGCGAGCUUUACUAUCCAAUAAACAUCAAAAUAAAUUAUCACCAGCUUGCACUGAACACAAUCAUGACUGCAAAAAGUUACAUAAACUGUAAGAAUCACCAAAAAGCAAUAUAUAUCAUUACUAUGAAUUCUAAAUUGCACUUUCUUUCAUGAAAUCACCUAAAACCAUUUCUUAGAAGAGGGUCCCAAAAAGUUAAUACAAUAACUACGAAACAUAAAAAAGGCUAGAAGCAAGGAACUCACCACCAACUAAUAAAACAGACAGAAUUGCCAAAAGAAUGAUUUGAAUAGGACGACAAUAUUGAAUUUGAUACUGAGACCUCUGAAGUUGCCUAUGAAGAGCUCCAAGCCACCCAUAAAUCUGUUUAUUGUAAGUCUCCUCUCCGCAAGUACUCAGACAACUCUUACUUCUUUCAUAGCAUGCAUUAACUCCCUAAAGUAAUAAAAGGACGACAACAACAACAACAAUAACAAAGUUGCUAUGAUCAGGCGAUCAAACUUUCAAAGUAUGUAAAAAGGAGAAACAAAAUCAAAAGAAAGACCUCACAACCUGCUUCAGCUGAUGAUCCUGCAAAGGGAUGGAUUCUUCUUCAUCAUGUUGGUGACUUCCUUUCCAUUUCCUAAACCCAUUUCUGUACCAUUUGAGCCUGAAUUUUGACUGUCCAUUUCCUGCCAACCCAGAAAGGCUAAGUAUCUUCGGCAAUGGUAGAUUGGGCCUAUCAUCUGAUGAUCUCUCCGAAGUAUCCUCACCCUCACUAGGGAUCGAAAUCUUCCAUGAGCCAAUAUCAGCAGAAGCGCUAGCCACCCUUCGAUGCCCACGCGUCCGAUUAUCCCUAAUCUCCGACGAACUCGACUCGGUUGACUCUGAAGAAUUCUUCGAACAGUCAAUUAAGGCCUCCUUGUUCACCUUAACCAUACAAUUUCCGACUUCCAGUUGACCAACCGAUGGAAUGAUCAACUCCUUUCGCCAUUGAGGCGACGAACCAGAUAGAAAUAGGGCAAGCUCGUCCCUUUCUCCUUUAUCCAGCCGAACCCAACUCAGCCCUUUCUCCCCAUGCUUGAGAUUGGAUUCCUUCAGAGAGUUCUCCACCAUCGUUAUACGGCUCCCGAUAGCUUCAGCAAAUUGUUCGUGUCGAGCUCUCGCAUCUUCUCCAACCGAGAGGUCCUCAUCGUUCGACCUCACCGCUCGUUCCAACUCCUCAAGCUGGGAAUACGAGGAAACAAGAUCGAUUUCGAAUGGGCAUGAAUCAAAAAAUAAAUUACGUUGGUUCCUCGAUCUGAGGAUUGAUCCAAAAAAAUCUCAUUUGAAAAAACACGAACCAAAUCGAGGACGAAUUAGGAGGGCAAAAGCACUAGGAUUUCGAAAUCACCUGCCAUUUAGCGGUGCCGAGGACCGUAUGAAGCUCGCGCUGGAGCUCCGCCGAGGCGAAUUCGGCGCCUCCGCUGGGCUUCGUCGCGCCUCUCCUCUCCUGAAUCCACCUUCUAUAAACCGACUCCAUCCUACAAAUCGACAACAAAAACAAACCCUGAGCCCUCCCCCCCCGAAAGAUCUCAAAAUCGAACGCGAGAAGCUGGGGAAAACGAGAGAGAUCCAAUACCUAUCGGCCGAUUCCUGCACCUCCUCGGCCGCGGAGAAGAAGGGAUCCUUCUCCCAUCGAUCGAAGCACGUCGCCAUGAGGGGAUCGGAGGAGCUCUCUCUUCGGAACCCUAACCCUAGAAUCGGAGAACAAAACGAUGGAGAGAGAGAGAGAGAGAGAGAGGGGAAAUGGCGAUGUCGCACCUUUUUUUCCCCUUUAAUUGGAGGGCGAAGCACGAAACUGCGUCGGCGAAGGGAAAAUUAAAAAUAAAUAAAUUAAUAAGUAAAAUGAUUUAAUACACGAACGGUCGAGAUUCGGAAAACCGGGAUAGUGAGGGGGGGAGAUUUACAGCCGUCGGAUCAUGUCGGGUCGGAUGUGGUCGGAGGAGGCUCGUCGUGUAGCGACGACGACUUCCAGAAACGGGUGCUCAUCGCCGUGUCCGGUCCGUGAACUCCUCUGCGUGGGCCCCACCGGAAACACGCUAACACGCUACACACGUGAGAGAGAAGUUACACGUGCGGGGCCCGCGUGUUCUCUUUUUUGAUUUAUUUACUUAUGUUUUUCUAUAAAGCAAUAAAAUUAUAUAUUUGUUUGUACAAAGUUUAGUUAUUUUCUAUUAUCUAUAUAUAUAUAUAUAUAUAUAUAUAUAUAUAUAUAUAUAUAUAUAUAUAUAUAUAUAUAUAUAUAUAUAUAUAUGUGUGUGUGUGUGUGUGUNUGAUCAGGCAAAAUUGAUGUUUUUUUUCCUCUACAAAAUGCACAUAGUAUACUUCAAUAAAUAUUUUUUAUUCAUGUUUCAUAUUAUUUAUUAUUUUAAAUAUUUUUAAUUUAGUUUUUGCACUGUCUUAUGUGAAUUAAAUAUUAUAUAAAUACUCAAAAUGCCUUCAAAAAAACUAUUUUUUGCAUAUUUAUAACGGCUCAAAAGAUGAACUUAAAUGGUCAACUUAAGGGUUAAUCUAUAGGAAUAAAUUGGAGCUUUAGAAAAUUAUCUUUGAUGAUUAGAAUAUUUUAAGGAUAAAUUCAUAAGUUCAGAACGUUACAAAACCAAUUAUUAGUUCUCUUAAAACAUUAAUCCAACUGUCAAAGAAGUUAUUAUGUGAGUAACUAAACUCAUAAUUCCCCACGUAACUGUUCACAUACAUAUGUAGUAUGUAGUAUAAGCUCUCCUCUAUAAAUUAAAGUCAAAUAACCACUUCAAUAAUUGUAAUUAAUGAUGACGAUUGCACGUAAAAUAUAACCUUUUCGCUGUAACGAAAUAUUAUAUACUAGUGCAGAGACCCGCGCGAUGCAGCGGGUAGAUAAUAGAAGUAAAAUUUAAAAAUUUUAAUAAAUUUUAUAUUUACGAUUUAUUGAUAUAUAGAAAGCUAUAACAUAUUAAGUACAGUUAAUUUGUAUGACUAAAUUUACAUAGUAAGCAGAGACCCCCGCGCGGACCGACUCAGCGAGCACUUAUAUAAGUCGCGGCUCGGCUUCGCGAGACGAUGCUUCUUGAAGGAGACAAUAUUCUUCAGAGGCUCUUCUUCUUCUUCUUCUUCUUCUUUGUUAACACAAUGAGAGAAAGAGGGAGAUGAGUGCGGAGUAGGAGAUUAGACAAUGAUAUUUUUUUAUGAUGCAUGUAAAAGAGUUACAAAAGAGAGGGGGUAGGAGAUUAAUUAAUGGAGGAGGAGAGUGGUGCAUGUAAAAGAAUUACAAAAGAGAGGGAGUGGGAGAUUAAUGAAGGAGGACAGUGGUUAAAGUUAUAAAAUAGAAUCUUAAUAUGGUACAUGUAAUUAAAUAUUGCAUGUAAUUAGAGUAGUGGUGAGGUGAGUUAGGCGUUAAGAAAAGAAAAAGGUGGUUUGAUUUAAAGUUAGAUUUAAAGUUACAUAUAAUUAAAUGUUGUAACUUACAUAUAAUUAGAGGAGUGGGGAGGUGAAGAAUUGAGAGUUGAAAAAAGGAGAAGGUGGUUUGAUUUAAAGUUGGCUAUGAGAAGUAAGAAUAACAUGCCACGUGGCAAAAAGUAUUGUGGCUUCAUAUAGAUUUCUAGAUUGUAUAGCUUGUAACAGAGGUUUAAAGCUAAUUAUGAAAGUAAAGAAACAAAGGUUUGAUGUAUUUUACCAAAUAUAUUACAUGAUGAGCAACAUCUAAUCACAAAUUUCACAAACAUUCACCGCAUUCAAUUUAUCCCUAAUUAAAAUUUCUUUAUUCUCGUCGCAUCCUACUGCGCACUCCUAUCAUCACAGAAACCUAUUAUCUCAAUUCUAUGAAAUACCCAGCAAUGAUUCAAAAGCUUUCAACUUACUGAAAUCACAACUGCAAAAACAUUAGAUGCAAUGUAGUGUCAACUUCAGAACUAAAACCAAAGAUUAAACAUUUAACUUCAAAAGGUAAGAUUCUUUCCAUGUGCAAGCUUUGGCUAACAUAACAUUUCCGAAAGCUCAUCACACAAGUAACAACAGACAAAAUUGAAAUUACAGAGAGAUAGGAUUAAUCACCGGCGUAGGCCUUCGAUUUGAUUAAGCAACUUCAAUGGCUAUUAAAUCACUGAGGAUAUAAAAAACUGCUUCACUUUUAAUGCGGCAGAGAUCGGAGAGAUUCGUUUAGAAUUUGACUGCGGUCGUCCAUGUUCCUUGAACACUAGGAUGUUUGGUGACAUGCCUGGUCCUCAGCUUCACCACUUUCCUUCCUAGGGCAUUCCUUAGCCUUGUUGCAUGCAACAGUAUGUCCUCGGAAGUUAAGUUCUUUACGCAGAUCACCCUCUGGUUAUGGUUUUCUGUGAUAGGGCAAAAUACCGUUAUUCUAACUGAGAAAGGAAAGAAAAGUGGGCCCUGCUUUGUGUUUACAGUUUAUACACAAUUAUGGAUAUAUAUACUUCAACAAAUAAAGCUGUAGCAUUCAUAGGCUAAAGCUGUAACAUUCAUAGGCUUUUACAUCCAUAAGCACUUAAAGAGAGCAUGGAACUUACUGUAAUAGCCUUUCAAGUGAGGAUGUUGACCCCGGAUUAGUUCAGUAACCACCUCUAGCUGGGGAUUAUUCUCCUUGAAUGCUGGUAAAUGAGAUUCCAUGAAGGCCCUGCCAUUUUGAGCAGUUCAUUAGUAUAGAAGACUUCACUGACGUGCAGUUGCUCUUCCUCUAAUAAUUGUGAAUUGUCUAACAGCCAAUGUAUAUUUAAUUUGAACUCUACUUCUGCAGGUAACAAGUUAUCAGCAUUUGUAGAGAAGAAUUGUAUAUACUAGCUUCCUGUAUAGCAGCUAUACAGUAUACACUUUGCCUCUCUCCACAAAGCAAAUCAUCUGAGGAAAGAAGCACAACCAGCCAACAGACAUCAUGGCGAAAAACUAAUGAAGCAGCUUGUGAGUUGUGACAUGUAAGUUCCCAAGCAGGAACGGAUAAAUUCAGAGAAGCAAAAAAAAAAAAAAAAAAAAAAAAAAAAAAAAAAAAAAAAAAAAAACUUGAAGCAGUCAAUGUUCUAAAGACCUCCAAAUGCAGAGGUCGAAUCAAUUUGCUUUUGGUAAGGACUAAAAUAAUUAAUCACUUCUUUUUGGGCUUUUUAACCCAAUAGUGCAGGGUGGAGUUCCAAUGAUACGGAAUAUUUCCCUCCAAUCCAUUUGUACGGCUUUUACAGAUUACUACAAAGAACUCUACAUGCAUCUAUUUCGAACACAUAGGUUAAAAGGCAGAAGAAAAUAAAUACUAAUCAUUUUACAACGAAGUUAUGGAGCUAACAAUGUAAGUGCAAAGGUAUCCGUUCAUGUCUCAAACAGCAAAGAUGCCUAAUUUCUUUGUAAAGACAUUGCAAUUUGGCAAGGUGAGUGGCAAUUUAUCCUUUAAAAAAAAUGUAAGUAGGAAAUCAUAGACCAAGAAUUUGACAAUUUUGCAACUGAAAAUACUCAUGAUGGAUGAAUAUUUCUUUCUAUCUUCAAAAAUAAAGAUAAAUUUUGUAGUUACAAGAAAAAUGAAACCCUAUUCAUUUUUUACUGGGGAAAACUAACAGCGAUAUGAGACUUGAGAACAUGAAUAGCAUGACUCCCAUGGGCAACUCAAGUAUAGCAAAUCAUGACGUACUGACAUAGCAAUACCAUAAGUUAGCUAAGAGAUUGCAGAGAAGUUCGUAAUUUAUUAAGAGGUUCUAAAGCAAUGAUGCUCCUGGAUGGUGAGUUCAACUGAAGAAGUAGCGGCAAAUGCUCGAGAGAAAGAAACAGUAAUGACUGCCUUGCAGAAGGUUCAAUACAGAAGUCGUAUAAAUCUAUGGCGGAGAUGAAUAUUCACUUAUCAUCACUAAAAUCCCAGGAGAAAGGGGGAAAUAAUGUCAAAUCAUUAGCAUAAGGUGAAGUUCAUUCCAGUUGUAAUAAAAUGAAUUGAUUAUUCUACUAAUAAUCUAGCAGUAGUUCACAAUUCGACAAGUUAAACAAGCGUCGCUCUAAAUAUAUAAAAAGAUUAUUCAGCACAUUUAGACAGAGCAAAUCGAGUUCUUCAUCUGCAAUAAUAAUAGAAACACCUAGAAUCAUGAGCUCUACUUCCUCUUGGAGUUAACAUUUGAAUCAAGUACUUAAACAACUAGCUUUUGUGAUAUCUUAUGUAUUUAGGCCAGUUUCGUUUGUCGAUACUUGUCGCAACAAAUAGUAUGCAGCGUCAAAAACAAGCCAUACCUGAUUCCCCUGCUACUUCCUCCCCAAUCACAGUAGCUCACUAUGAGUUUCUGAAGUUGCCAGACACCUCUCAGGGCCAUUUAUUCUGAAUCUCAACCCACCAAAAUAUUCACCAGAAGUAGAAGAAUUCAGCCUGCAGGGAAACAAAAUGUCGCCGUCGAGCAUAAAUAAGCAGAAAAUUAACAAGGAAGAGACUACUGAACAAUUGACAGUGCUUCUUGCUACCACCAAAUAGAAGCAAAAAAAGUAUUUUUUUUCCCCUUUUUUCCUCAAGUUCUUUCAUAUGUAGAAUUAUUAAUUAGUAUAAAAUGACAUUUCAAAAGUAUUAACUUUUUCCAUGAUAAAUAGAUUACAUCUGAAUGAGAAAUAAACCCUACAUCAAAAUCAAAUCAUUCCCCUUAUUUCAAGGCGAAGUAACUAAAAACCUAACCAAAGAGAUUAAAAUUGGGUACAAAUCAGUUUUUGGUACACAAAAAGCUAGUUUCUACAGAAGAUCAACAUAAUUGAAACAAAAAGAUCUAACAAAACAAGGAGAGCAAAUUAAAUAUAAUCAAAAUUUCCAAAAAUAAAAAUAAAAAAACAAAAAAAGAGCAAAUUAGAUCUUACUAAAUUACCAAAAAAAAAAAAAAAAAAAAAAAAAAAAAAAAAAAAAAAAAAAAAAAAAAAAAAAAAAAAAAAAAAAAAAAAAAAAAAAAAAAAAAAAAAAAAAAAAAAUAAUAAAAAAAAAAAAAAAAAAAAAAAAAAAAAAAAAAAAAAAAAAACAGAGAUCGGAUAGAAAAAGAGUAAAUCAAAUACCGAUCCUGACCUGCUUAGCAGAUGGAGAGGAGAACAGCGCCAGGAGAGGACACGGAAUCGAACGUAGAGAGAGAGAGAGAGAGAGAGAGAGAGGGCGAUGGAUUGGAGAGAGAGAGAGAGAGAGAGAGAGAGAGAGAGAGAGAGAGGGGUUUUUAAAAAAAGUUUAUCAUUUGAUUCUUGGGCCUAGUUGAGUCGAAGCAAACUUUGGCCUAUUUAAAGCCGAGCAAAGGAAUAUAGUGUUUCUAUCGAAAAUGUUUAAUUCAAAAUUUUAUCAUAUUUUAUCACUCCAAUAUAAUUUUUUCGUGUACAAAUAAAAGCGUCGAAUUGAACUAUUUGUUUUUAAGAUUACCAAAUGCUAUCGAAUGAAAUUUAUGUGAUUUUGAUUUAUUCAAUUUAUACGAUAUAUUCUUCUUAAAUUCACAAAAUCAAGUAUAACCAAAUAUGUUGAGACGUAAACCUUAUGCCAUUAGUAGUGCACCGUUGGCACCGCAGUCCUGCUCAUUGUUCGCGAGCCAGCUAGCGUCUGCUCGAAAUGAGUUCGAGAUCGAUUGCUCAUUUAAUAAACGAGCCGAACACGAUAUAUAUAUAAAUAUUAAUAAAUUUUUGUUAUUAGAAUUUUAGACUAACUCAAAUGUAAAUAGACCUAUAUUUUUUAUAAAUUUAAUUAUUAAAUUAAGAUUUUGAUUUUUUUUAAAUUUAUUUUCAGCUUUUUAUUUUGUAGUAGAACUGAUAAUAUAAUUUACUGUUUACGAAUCAAUUUAUAUUCAAUUUAUUAAUAGACAAGCCAAACACGUAGCUUAAUUUUUCGGCUCCAAGUUAGACCCUACGCUAUUAUGUUGGUAACGAUCACUCACGUCGACGCAUCAAAGCGUUGCUAAGAUAGGAUCAUCAAACCUUGUCUUCAAUUCCAGCCGUUCAUCUAAUGACGGUCAAGUCAGUGGAAGGCCGAGAUUAUCUUUCCCAUUAAAUAUCCAAAAUUUUAUAAUAUGUCAAUACAGUUCUGAAAAAAGGUUUUGGAAGCCAAAAACGAGUGCUUUGUUUGUAAAUAGUCCCCUGACAAAUUUUAUUUGUAAAAAUAGUUUCGUCCAAAAAUUAUUUAUAAAAAUAGCUCUGUCCCUGCCACACCAGCGCCACGUCAGCGCCACGCGUGCAGGGCGGGCCCAGGUGUUUAAGUUGAACACGGUGAACUAUUCACCGUGUUCAAUACAAGAUUUUUGUAUUGGACACGGUGAAUGGUUCACCGUACCAUUCACCGUGUCCAAUACAAAUACCCCAAUAAUGACUAAAUUGGAGGUAUUUGUAUUAGACACGAUGAACCAUUCAUCGUAUCUAAUUAUUUGUAUUGGAAACGGUGAAUAGUUCAUCGUGUCCAAUACAAAUAUUUCGAUCUUAGCUAUUUUGUAUUGGACACGGUGAAUCAUUCAUCGUGUCUAAUACAAAAACUUUGUAUUGAGCACGGUGAAUGGUUCACCGUGUUCAACUUAACCAUCUGGCCCAGCCCCGCCCGCGUGGCGCUGACGUGGCGCUUUCGUGGCGGGUCCAGGGUCGUUUUUGUAAAUAAAUUUUUGACAGCGCUAAUUUAAAAAAAAAAAUUGUAAAGAGGCUAUUUGCAAAAAAAAACCCAAAAACGAUUUAGAUAUUUGUAAAAAAAUUAAAUUUCCUGCUACCAAUAAUGCAAGAUAACUAAGUUUUUACAUAAUUAUAAUCUGAUUCCCUAUUUGGAUACAUCUCAUUACUUUUGUAAUGAACAAUUAUUUUAUAAAUUAUUACAAAAUACCCAUCAAGUAUCCUAAUGAUGAAUUUUUUAUUGUAUUCUUCGCAAAAUAGUAUGACCGUCAACGGGCCGGAUAGGAGCGAGCUUGAAUCGCUUCGUGUUUAUUUAUUAAAUAAAUUGAAUGCGAGCUGUCUCUUUAAAAUUUCAACCUAAAAAAUCUAAUUCAGGGACAACUUAUUUAUUAACAAGUCGAACAUGAGCAACCUCACGAACAAUAAGUUAAAUUACCAGCUUUACUACUGUAUUAAAAAUUUUUAAAAGUAAAAAAAUUAAAAUAUUAAUCUAAUAAUUAAAAUUUACAAAAUAUAAGAUUUUUUAGAACUGGGGAUCGAUUUCGAGCUAAUUUUGAGCCGAAUAUGAAAUAACUCACGAACAUCGAGCUGAAUUACCGGUCAUAUAGUAUAAAUCAACAUUACAGUACGCAAGUGUGAGAUCCACAUGUCGGUGUUUCAGUUAUGAUAUAUAUAAUAUAAUUGUUUGACCCCAAAUUUAGGUAUGCUAGUCAACUCAGAAUCGGAAUUGAAACCUGAAUUCGAAACCGAAAUAAUCAGCUUUCGAAAAUCCAUAAUCAAAAUCGUAUCCGAAACCAAAUCAGAAUCCAAACCCAAAACGAUCGUCUUAGUUUACCAAAUUUCAAAAAAUUCAUAUUUAAAUCUAAAAGUUUAAAGUAAAAAAUAAUUAUAAAUUAUUAAAUAUUUUACAUAUGUUAGACAAUAUAAAACAAUUGGGGUUUAGAUUGGAUAUAGACAAAAAUUAUAUCCAAACUCCCAGUCCUUCCAUUUUUUUUAAUUAAUACAUCUAUAACCGGAAUAGAUACUUAUUUAGCAUGAUUGAACCUACACUGUCCAAAUUAAAAUUUGAAUAAAAAUUUCAAAUAUUCAUAUUUAUUGACAACCUAUAUAUAUUUUACGUAUUAUUCAUAAUUUUGCUACCCACUGAAUGAAGAGCAAUUCUAAUGUACGCAAAAAAUACUCCAAAUAUACUAAGCUUCUCAAUUAUAGGCUAUUUUUAAAUUGAUACCUCCUUAGUUUUAAAUCUUUUAACCAUCAAUAAAUCUAACAAAAUUUAUUAAUUUGAUUGACUAAAUUGCUCAAAUCAAAAAAAAAAAAAAAACUAAAAAAUGAAAUGAUAUAGAAAAAGUUCCAUUUGAUAAUACCCUAUAGUUUAGGCGUCUCCGUGCAUUUUUACCACUCCGAAACUGUGGACGCAAGCGUUCACAAUAACGUCGAGGGUCAAAACCGUCAACGUUCUUUUCUCCUCGGCCCGCACGCAAGAUCAUAUGCGGACCCGCGUCCGCCCCCUCCCCCCCUCGGAUCCAACGGACCAGCGCCGCGUCGCAUAGAGACACUACGCUCACCACCCGCACCAUCGUUCCCCGCCCCACAACGUACGCGCCCUCGCAUUUUAAAACCUCUACGGGGGUGGAGGGAUUCCGCAUAGAAGGAGCCGCAUAGAUUGGAGGGUGUGCGACGAUGAGGAUGGUGAAGGUGAGCGAAGGGACAUUAAUGGGGAAUCAUCAUCGGGGGAGCGACGUUGAGCUCGCGCACGUGCUCCUCUACUGCGCCCUCUUCUUCCUCGUCGGGUUCUUCGGAUCCAAGCUUUUCUCUAAUGAGGUUAGGUUUUUUUUUUUUUUAAUAAGUAGAUAAAAUCCUUGUUACUAGUCGUGUUCUUAUCUUUGUUAGAGAUGGUGAUUUGUGUUCUCCGAAAGAUCGAUCAAAUAGAAAAUAGUUUUGCAAUAGUUUUUUUUUUUUUUUUUUAUUUGUGUGUGUGUGUGUUUGAUUGAAAGUAAGUAGUUUGAUUUUUGGUUAUUAAAAGAUCUUGAGAUCGAUAAUUUGGUAGAAUAGCAUAGUUCAUCUACGAUAGCAUGGUUCAUUUAUUUUAUUCGAAUAAAAUGACUAGAAUGUGGAAUAUGGUAUAUUUUAGGCAUUUGAUUGCUCUUUGUAACAACUUAAGCUUAUCCUCCGAAAGCUGCGGGAGCGGUGUUUUUAAUAUUUAUGUUCAACGCUCUCCUCAUUUACCAAAUAAUAUAAAUAUUUUGAGUAAAUCAAAAGAAUAUACCAAAUACGAUGUUCAGGCAUCCAAACAUGACUUAAAUGAUGAAUGUGAGGAAUUGAAUCAAGGCCUUUUGGAAUUGACGGAGCUUAGGACGUUUAAAAAAUAUAAAAUCACCGUUUUCUAUAAGCUUAAGCUUUCUGAGGAUGUCGGUUUUUUCACAUAAUUUAACAUGAUAUCAAAGCCGAAUAUACUGAAUUCAAGUCACGUCAGACUCUUAACAUAAUUGAUUUUCUCUCAUUUAAUUCAAGUUGGAUUAUGGAUCUAUCAAAAUGUCUCAAGCCCGGAGCCCCAGACGUAAGCAAAAAUGUUAAAUAUAAAAAUAUAAAAGUACCGUUCUCUUCAAGCUUAUUCUUUUAGAGACAAGGACCGGGUCUCGUAUCAUAUUGUCUAGAAUAUUGAAUCAAUAAGAAUGGCAUAAUAACUCUAUCUGGACAGAUAGAAACAACUCUAUUUUCAAUGGAAAGCCGCCCACGGUUUCUGGGUCUCUUGAACGCCUCAAAGCUCUGAUAAGCACUCGGAGUACAUUGCUUUGACGCCCUCACGUAACUCCCCUUUUUUUUUUCUUUUUCUUUUUCAGUUUUCUUUUUUCACCUUUUUCCCGCUUACUCGGAGGCCUAAGCUGCCUCCAACUUGUAUGCCCAGUUCAUUAGACUUAAUGAAUGAAGCAGGUAGCUUGCUACCUAUUUCUCAAAAAAAAAAAAGAAGAAUGGCAUAAUGAUAUAGUUUUUAACAAAUUUGAAGUUUUUUUUUUCCCUCCAAGGAUUUUGGUGUUGGCCAUGGAAUGCGUCAAGAGAGGAUGAUGAGAGGAGUAGAUGGAGUGGAAGAAGUAGAGUUGAGGAGUGUGCCUCAUGGGGUCACUGGAGAAUCUCACCUCUCUUUGAUUCCAUUUCAGGUUAUCCAUGUGUCCUUCUUUUGUUGUUUUCAAUUGCAAUCGAUGUUUUACUUAUAUAAAGUAACUCAUAGCUUGUUAGUCUAUUAUAUAGAUUUGUUAAUUGUAUUAGAUUACACCAUGGAAAAAUUCUUCUCUUAAGUAACAUUAUAGCAUUUUUCAUGUAGAUAGUCAUUUUGAAUUAUUAUCUCCUUUUGUAUCGAGAUAAGCGAAAUCUCUGCUUCCUGAUUUUGCGUAAAUAAUCCGUGAAUUAUUUUACAUUGGACACCCAUUCCUUUUUCUCUAUCAUAAUAUGGAAAUGGAGUAAUAAUAUUGGCAUAUUUCUGGGAAUUUUACCGAGCAUAUGAUGAAAGAAAUGAAGAAUUUGAGGUUCAAAGUGUUUUAUCUCUACAAACCCAAACAUAUGCUUUGGGCCUAAAUAUUUUUUCGAUCCUAACUAGAUUUUUGAACAUUAAGACCUCUAUUUUACAUCAAUCCUUGGCAUUUUGUAUAUUGUAAUUCUAAUGAACCUUAAAACAAAUAUCGCUUUUCAAUAUAUCAUGUUUUACUGCGCAUUCAAUUAACUUUUACAGGGUAUCCAUCUUGAAGUACUUCAAAAUAUUUAUCAAGGAGUUCAAUUAUAUACUCUAUAUGUGGUAAUAGGUUCUGAGUUGGCAACCUCGCACACUCUAUUUUCCUGAAUUUGCUAGUGCAGAAGAAUGCCAAACUAUAAUCAGAAUUGCAAGAUCAAGCCUUAUUCCGUCGACGUUAGCCCUACGUGAGGGAGAAACUGUUGAAAACACCAAAGGAAUAAGAACAAGGUAAUUGUUUUCAAAUUUCCAUUAUAUUGUCCUUAAGAUGAAGAAGAUAAAGCUUUGUAGGCACCUUUUCAAGUGAACCUCAUACUAGAAGAGUGAACCAUUAAGCCUCAUUUGGAUACACUUCUCCUUCUCCUUUUUGUUUAUGUUUCUUCUCAAGUUCCAUGCUAUUGGAUGAGCCAGAAGUAAUUCAUUCAUAUUAUUGUAAUUGUUGGUUAGUUUGCAAACACUUUUCUUUUGUAAAUAAGCAAAAGGUGAAAAAAAAAGUUGUUACUAUUUUUCCUUUUGUUUUGUUGCCAAACAAAUUAAUUCAUCGAAGCCGACACAUUUAAUCGCAUGGAAAUUGAGUGGGAGCAAAAAGUAAAUGUAACCAAAUGAGGCUUUAAUGUCCUGUUUUGUACAACUACAGAGCCAAAAGGACAAUUUAAUUCAAGAACUAUUUGACUAUAUCUGUUUAGGGAAACAGUACAGGAACAUUUAUCACUGCAUCUGAAGAUUCAACUGGCGUCUUGGACCGUCUUGAGAAAAGGAUUGCGACAGUUACUAUGAUUCCAAGGGACCAUGGAGAGGUAUGUUGCUUUCCUUUUAUUCUUGUUCGAAGAUGAGCCUUAUGCUAUUGUCCUUAUUAUUAAACCACUGGAAUCACCUCCUUUGGUAAAUCCUUUCUUAGAUCAUCCAUAUCUAUUUAUCGCUUUUAUAAUACCGCCAUAACAGGAUGAUGACCUAACAAAGAUCAAAAUAUAACAACAUUGUGACAAAUUCUUUAAUCUGUUGCUAUAUGUUUGUGCUUGUGUGCUGAUCAAUAUUGUUUAAGUACGGGUGCCUUAAAAUCAGAAAAAUUGAGUUCAAUACUAAUUCACUAGCCAAUCUUCAUUGUACCGUCCUGUAAAUGUUAGCUGAUUAGUUGAUCUCGAUCUCAAGGAAAUGCUGAUGUAUUAUUGCAUGUACUGAUGUCGAGGAAUGUGACCAUGUUGUAGGCCUUCAAUAUUCUUCGCUAUGAGAUCGGACAGAGGUAUGCUUCUCACUACGAUGCAUUCCACCCAGAACAAUAUGGCCCGCAGAAAAGCAACAGGGUAUACACUGAAUUAUAGGUCUAUUGUAUUCCAUAUUUAUAUUUUGCAGUGAUCUUAGAUCCGUUUUCUAAUAUUGAUCUCAACAUAAAUAUUCUUUUCCCAGGUAGUAACUUUUUAAGCCUUAGAGAUAUGUAUAAGCAUGCACUAGUGAAAAGAAAAAUGAUUCGCUUCUGUCGAUAAUUAGAAAACAACAUGGUCUUAAACUCUAUAGCAGAAUACUAGCGAAAAGAUUUGGAGAGCUUUGUUCUGUAAUCGUCGUUUUUCAAUAUGGUAUGUUCUCAGGUUGCUACAUUUCUAUUGUAUCUAACUGAUGUUGAGGAAGGGGGAGAAACUAUGUUCCCUUUUGAGGUGAGAGGAAGUAAAAGUUGUGCAGCAAUUUGUUAGAUCAUAUUACUGUUUAUGUAAGGGGCCUUUUCUCGCUUGUAGAAUGGUUCGAAUAUGGAUAUUGGCUAUGACUACGAGAAAUGUAUUGGUUUGAGGGUGAGGCCGAAGAGAGGUGAUGGUCUUCUUUUCUAUUCAAUGCUGGUGAAUGGCGCAAUUGAUCUGGUACGCACUGUUUUUCCGUGAACUCCUUUAUGAAUGCUUAAUUUUACUUACUACUCAUUUUACUUUCCGUCUUAAGAAAGCAAAUUAUAGUGGCAUAACCACGCUUGGUUCGCAUAAGAGUGAAUGACAAACAUGAUGAGUCUAUAGGAUGGGCUAGCUUAGUUUAUAACUCGCUCUAUUGUUACACUAUUUACAAUUUAAAAGAUAGAAGUAAAUAUUGUAAAAAAUCUGGGUUAUCUUUCAAUUUCAACCCUGUUUUCCAAAUUUUUGAGACAAAAAGUUUUAUCAUUCCAUAAACUUCUGCAGGAAAUUUUGUUUAUGAGUGAAUUCAUGAUGUUUUAUUAUGUAUUCAAAUUAGUGCUGCUACUUUUUCUUUUUUUUUCUUAUUAAGCUCCUAAAAAUUAUAAUAUCUGAUAUUUAAUAACCUUUUUUGGGAAUUUUUGUAGACAUCGCUUCACGGAAGUUGUCCGGUGAUAAAGGGCGAGAAAUGGGUCGCAACGAAAUGGUUAAGAGAUCAGAAACAGGACUAAAAUUGAUAAUCAUAGAUAUAUUUUUUUUGUUCACUGGACAAUAAUUAUUCAGCAGUUAUUUUGGGCAAUUAAAUGCCUCAUAUGUAUGUGCAGCUAAUAUCAAUUGAUCACAUGAAGCUCAUACAAGUUUGUAAGAUAUCAUUCUGUGAAAUGCAUCCUACUGAAAUUCUCAAAUUGUUAUAAUUUUCACAUUGUUAGUUACUUCUGGGUUUUUAUGUCCAGCUGAUUUUCUUACAUACAAACCCCCCAAAUUUUUUGUUUUUAGACAGUGAACUAAAUAUCAGAAAAGCAAGAUUUAGAGAAGGAUUAAGGUGAUCUAUGAAACACUAUUUUUCCUGCAAGUAUGUUAAGAUCAUAUGCCAGAUCUUUAUGAAAUUUAUAUGAAAAAAACUACGUUUAAAAGUGGGUGUAGAUCUUACUUUUCAUCUAUUCAAUGAUGAAUUAUUGUCCAUCAGUCAGAUGAUGUGAUUUGUUGAGUGAAUCCUAUCUUCGGAUGGGAUGAGUGUAAAUUUUAUACCACUUUUUGGGUGUAUAUUUAGCAUCGGUCUUAUUGUGAUUUCUAGUUUGAACUUUCACAAUUGUUGCAAUUAAAUUUUAUAAGCCAAUUUAACUGACUAAAAGCUAAUGCAUUGUUGAUAUGGAUGUGAUGUACUAUUUUAAUUUCUGAAGUAUCAUCAAUAAAAAUCCUGCCAUUGUACAUCACCGAUACGCUAAAAUUUAAUUAAUUAAAUUGAAUUGAUUGCAACAAUUUUAAAAGUUCGAAUAAAAAUUACAAUAAAUUAAAAUUUGAGGACUAAAGUGCCACUCGCCUCAUAGUUUGAGGACCAAAUAUGCAAUUUACCCUUAUAAUAAUCAAAGACGGUUUCAUGUCCACUAAUUAAAAGAUCAAAGAAUUAGAUACUAGAUCAGUUAAAAUAAUGAGAUAAGAGCAUAUUGCAUCAUUACGCAAUUGAUUGCUUUUCACUUUCCUAACUUUUACAAUUAGGUCUUUAUUAUCUACUAAUUAUUUUUGUUUUGAUUAAGAAGCUUGUUAAUCACUAAACAUCUAUUUUCUUUUAUAUAAUAUUAAUGUUUUAAGCGAUCUAAUAUAGUAUUUUUUGAGUACGUGAAUUAGCCAAUUAAUUUUUUUUAUAUUAAAAUGUUAACGCUUUCUAUGAUUAUUAUUUUUUUUUUAUAUAUAGUUGAUGUUUAACAAAUUUAUAUAACAUUUUAUAAGACGUGCCAACAAUAUAUAAAUACAACAAUAAAAAAAAAAACUUUUAUAUACUAAAAAAAAAAUUAUUAUCUAAUUUACUAAAAUAAACUUUUUUUUUAUAUAAAAAGAAUAUGAUUCUUCUAUUCCAACAAACCAACCCAAAUGCAAAAGGCGUUUUAUUGACUCGUCGUCCACCAUUCUCUCUCGCGACAAAAAAACAUAACCACGCUCAAUCUGACACCCUCUAUUUUUAUUUUUAUUUUUUUUUAACUUUAUCAUUCCCUUACUUUAAGGCUGCGCUUGAUUCGGAUAUAAAUAAAAAUCGCUUAUUUCAGAUAAAUAUAAAUACAAGUUUAUGUAUAUCGUGUGUGUGUGUAUAUAUAUAUAUAUACACACACACACACGAUAUAAUUAUCUUUAUCUCUUAUCAUUCACUGUGAACCAUUUGCAUUUUUUUUUGGUGCAACUAUUUUUACCUAUACCAAAAUAUUCUUAAAAUUAUUUUUAUUAUAAAUAGUUUGUGAGUAUUAUAUUAAAUUUUAAAAGAUUGAUAAUUUCAUCCUUUUUUGUAGAAGAUGUAAAACAUAUGUCGAAAUUUUAAAUUAACCAAAUAAGUAAAAUAAAAAUAAAAAAAAAUAUUUUUUAUUUUAUUUCUUACCAUCCAAACAUGUUUAUAUGAAAAUUAAUUUUCUUUUUUGUGAACCAAACAGCAUAGAUUAAAAAUUUUUUCACAAAAUUUUUUUUUCUCCGGAAAUAAUUCUUAAUUAUUUUUCAAGGAGCCAAACAGAUCCCAAGCAAGCAAANAAAAAAAAAAAAAAAAAAAAAUCAGGUGAGGCCCACCGCUGCAGUUAAUUCUCUUUCCGUGAACAGUGGCGGGUUUUAAUAGGGGGUGGUGCACUGUCAUGUUAAAAUCAAAUUAUUGAAUCUAAGCGAUUUGAUUUGGUCAAUAAGAUUCGAUUCGACCGAUUUUUUAAUUUAAAUAAUUUGAUUUGAUUCAAAAUUUUAAUUUUUGCUGUUCGAUUCGGAUGUCUAAUUUGAAAUCCGAACGGGUUGAAUUAACUAAUUAAAUGCAUCAAAUUAUUCUUUUAAGCUUAAAAUUAAGCUAUAAUAUUAUCUAUUUUUUAUAUACAGUCCAAUUAAUUUCGACUGAAAAUAAAAUUAUUAUAAAUUAAAUAAAUAAAAUUUGAAGUUGAGCCGGAAUGCUAUCAGUAGAAAACGAGAUACGUUGCCACCUAUUUGUUUUCAAUAAUAGAGUCUCCAAAUCGACAAUCGGCCCUGUUGAACAUCAUCUAUGCCAUUUAAAGCAUUUAGAAAUCAAAUUUUAUACUUUUUUAAUAUUUUUUUUUUUGUCCAUUAAGUGAACACAAAAAAUAAACGACUAAAAAUGAAUAUCCUUUAAAAAGUGAUGAUAAGAAUUUUGUAAUCAAGAUUAAGAGUACAGAUAUUGUUCUAAAUAGUUUAAAUAAUUUUCUAACAAUUAAACAAGGAAACAACUCAUAUCGAUCAUUAAAAUUAUAAAUUUUAAAAUAUUUUGAUCAUUAGGCUAAUAAUAUCGAAAAGAUUUGAAAUUUUAUUUUUACAUACUUCAAGUGGUAUAGAUAUGUUCAACAGUGUCGAUUAUCGAUUUAUCGGCUCUGUCAUUGAAAAUAAAUAGAUGAUAAAGUCUGCCUCCUACCUAUAGCAUUCCAACUUAAAUUAUAAAAUUGGAUAUAAAGAGGGAAAAUCACUAAACACUUUCGUGGAAACAAACUCGUCAAAGUCGUGGCGUUGCAGUUUCGGUCAUGCACCUCGUUUCCCACGACGUACGGCGGGCCCUACCUAAACACGCCUAAUCAAACCUCACGGCAACGGCGAAGGCGCGGGCCCCGUUUCUCUCUCUCUCAGGUCUUAGUACCAUGGACCCGGUUCACCGUAGACCGUCCGUUGUUGUAGGAAGCUGAUAUAAAAUUUUAAGCUCUAAAAAUAAUGAAGAAGUUAUUAAAAAAAUUUAAUUAAAUAAAAUUUUUAAUAAAUAAAAACACAAAAUAACACUCUAGGAUUCAGAUGGCACUCCAAAAGAGUUAUUAAAAGAUUUUAAUAUAAUAAUUCUUUUAAUAAGUAAUAAUACAGCUAAAAUAAUCCAUCAACAAAUAAUAUACUUCCUACUAAAUAAAAAAAAAAGAGAAAAAAAAAAGAAUAAAAUAAUUUUCUUUCUUCUUCUCAAAUUUUAAUACAAAAGAGAAGAAUACUUUUGGCACAAACUUUACAUAACGUAUGGGAUCAUUUCGAAUCUGCUAUCUAACAUUUCGAAAUUUUAAGUUUAUUAUUCAACUGUUCAAUUUGUUUGAUGUGAGCUCAUUUUAAGUUUUAAGUUUAAGCUAAAUACUUAUUUUAGUAAAUUUAUAACUAUAAAAAUUGCAUAAGCUAUAUUAAUAAAUCUGUAAACAUAAACGACAGACUCAAAUUUUUAAAGUCAAAGUAUGGUUGAUUGAUUCAAAUCAAAGAAAAUAAAAUGUUAGGUCGAAAUAAAUUUUUUUAAAAAAUUAAUUAGUCAAUUCAAAAUGCUCUAUAGUUUCAAUGGUUCAGAUUAGUUCCAUCAAUUUUGAUGAGCACCAUCUUUUUAGGUAAUUUAUUUAUUUUUCUAUUUCUAUCUCCAUCAAAUGGAGUCUAAAGUCUAAACUUGAAAAAGUGAGAUGUGAUGGACCAGGUCCAUGCACUAAUUUCUCUCUCUCUCCUUUUGACUGAAGACUCCCACUGAGAGAGAGAGAGAGAGAGAGAGAGAGAGAGAGUCCCUCUCUUGACCAUCAACUACGCCCACUACCACCUCCUCCAUUUCAAAAAGCUCCUCUUUUUCUCUUCUCCUCCCCCCCCAACCACCUCUCUCUCUCUCUCUCUCUCUCUCUCUCUCUCUCUCUCUCCCAUGGCGCCGCCUCCUCUUCUCCCCAUCGUCUCCUCCCUCGUCGUCGUCGUCCUCCUCCUCCUCUUCGCGCCCUCUCCGACCACCUCCACCAACUCCGAAGGUAACCUCUCUCUCUCUCUCUCACUCUCCGAUUUCGAUUGGAAUUAGAUCGAUGGUGACUAGGGUUUUUUCGACCGCAUCGGCAGGGGAAGCUCUCCACGCGCUCCGAACUCGCCUCUCCGACCCCACCAACGUGCUCCAGAGCUGGGACCCGACCCUCGUCAACCCCUGCACCUGGUUCCACGUCACCUGCAACGAUCGCAACCGCGUCAUACGCUUGUAAUUUGAUUAAUUAUCCAUCCCCCUCUCCCCCUUUUCGAUCUCAUUUUGCCCUAAUUUGAUGCUGAAAAGAUGAUCUUUUUUUUUUGGCGCUGAUUCUAGGGAUUUGGGGAAUUCCAACAUCUCCGGCACCCUCGGCCCCGAGCUCGGUCGCCUCGAACACCUCCAAUACCUGUAAAAUUCGCUUCAAAUUUUCCCACAAUUUGUUGAUUUGAUGCGAUUUUUGUCCCCGAAAUUGGAUUUUGAUCGAUGAGUAGGGUUUGAUUCUGAGCAGGGAGCUCUAUAGGAACAACUUUGAAGGGAAAAUCCCCGAGGAAUUGGGGAAUUUGAAGAACCUAAUUAGCAUGGAUCUUUACGGGAAUCGGCUUCAAGGGGAGAUUCCAAAGUCGUUUGCUAAAUUGAAGUCCCUGAGAUUUCUGUAAGUAACCUUGAAAAAUUUUUGCAUUUUUAAGAUUUUUUUUUUUCCAAAUUUUUUUUUUAGGGUUUGCAGCUCAUUUAGAAUCAUUUGAGUAAUAAUUUAUUCAGGGUGGAAUAGUCAUUUAAAUACACAGUUGAUUUGAGUAAAUUGAGCUAUUAGUCCUCAAACUUUCCACUGAAUUCAAUUUUAGUCCUCCAUCUGUAUGCCCUACACUCCGAAGUCAUUAAUCAUUUGUCCAUAGGGGUUCAAGGUCUCUAAUAUCGAACUUGAAAAUUUGGGGGCUACCGACCGUCACUAGAUCAAAUGGCAAAGGGUGGUUGGUAUCCGAAACCCAAGUUCGAAUUCUAGUUGAUUCACAUUCCCAGCUAAGUUUAUUUUUAAAUAAAAUAAACGAAGCGGGUAGCGUGCUACCUUUCUCUCUCAAAAAAAAAAAAAGGAAAAUUUGAGGACUAAAAUGAAACUUAGCCAAAAGUUUCGGGACUAGAGGUGCUAUUUACCCUAGUUAGUUUUUACUGGUCAAGAGGAAUAAGGGACAAAUCUAUAAUUUAGCUACUUUGCAGGGAUGUAGAGGCAAAUUUUCUCUUUAUUAGGCAAAUGAUCAAGUUAAGAAAAUAUACCUGUAAUCUUGUCUUAGCUGCAGAGAUGAUUGGAACAUUUGUGUUUAUUUUUCUCUCUUUUUUCUUCUGAUUUGUUCUAUUUGGCAACACAAGGCGCUUGAACAACAAUAAGCUUACGGGAUCGAUUCCGCGAGAGCUAGCCUCCCUCUCUAACCUGAAAGUCCUGUGAGUAAUCGUAAAUUUAAGAUGUAGCUCUUGUGUAUCGUAUGUCGAAUUCGCUAUUGAUUCGAUGCUAAAAAACUUUUAUUAUUAUGCAGCGAUUUGUCGAACAAUGAUCUUUGUGGAACCAUUCCUACUGAUGGCCCGUUUUCGACUUUCACCCUUCAGAGGUAAUGAAUUAAGCAGUCUCUUAUUUCAAUCCAGAUAUUGCCUUUGAUAAUUCCUUUGGGAGCAUUUUUUGGAUCCCUAUUUGAUCUCUCUUUUCAAACUUACAUACGAGUAGAGUGUUGCCGUGUUGCUAUAAUCAACUUGCGGAUGGAUUAUAAUGCCACUCGGUUCUUUGUUCCUGGCUUGUUUGAGAAUAAAUAUUUUUAUCAGACUAUUUAGGUAAAAUUAUGACCUCCAUACAUAGAUUAACUUUCCAAUUUCAUUUCUUGUCAUCUGCAAGAAAUGAUGGCUAUUCAAGAUUGUUGUUUUAGUCUGCAAAAUGCUUGUGAUUGUCACCAUUCAGUAGCAGUUAUAUGAUAUAAAGAUUACUAAGAACAUAAACGAGAUUGCUUUAGGGACAAUUGGCUGCAUAUCGGGUAUUUGGAGAUUUAACCAAGACUCUCAUGUCUUAGUGAACACAGUUAGGGCAACAACGGAUCUUUAUGUUUCCCCCUAGAAGCUGCAAAAUUUUUUAGUUUUACAAUUUAUUUGAGAAAAGCUCGUUGUCACCUCUGUUCUUAAUUUUACGAGGUUGGAAACAGAAGCAUGUAUUACAUAUGUAAAAUACGAAAGAGAAAAGAGGGGUCGGGCCGCCGGAAAUGUGAUAUUCUAGCAUUAUAAAAUAAUCUUUUUGUUAAACAAUGCAAUCAAGUUUCUUCUGUUUGAGAUUUCCAAAAAUAUCUUCUUUUUCAUUUCGGGCUUAAUUGAACCGAGAAUAACCCUCACUGCUGUGUAUGUAAAUUUUAUUCUCUUCUAUAUCAAAUGGAACUUAGUUGAUCAAUACCGGACAAUCUAUAUAUUUCAUCUUCUUUUUCUCUUCUGCAGCUUUGAGAACAACAGCAGACUCAACGGACCGGAACUCCAAGGCUUGGUGCCGUACGACUUUGGGUGUUGAAAUCGCGUAUUUGUAGUAACAUAAAUGAAUUAUCUAAAACCAAUAGCAAUCGACAAAAUUGCAUAGACUUAAAGGUUGUAGCAUAUUGGUAAGUGGUAACUGAGGCAUAGCCUUAUCUAAAGGUGUCUUACAUAGCAAAACUAUUUGAGGAUAAUGUAAAGUAUACGACCAUCACAUAUAUUGAUGAGAUUAUAUUAUAUAUAUGGCAUACUACAAAUAUCAGUGCUUAAUUUUCAACUGUAUGGUCUAGGGUUUAAGUACCCCUUGGUGAAUUCGCAGGUUCUGGUGUAGAGUUGAUGAAUUAGUCGCGUCUUGAUGUUAGAUCGUUCAUGCAUGCAGCUUAAUAUAAUUAGUGUUGAUGACUUGACUAUGAAAAAUAUUUAACUAGUGUUGAUGACUUAUUAUGGGAACAGUUGCUAGAGGUAAUAGAAGAUACAAACCAGAGUGGAUUUGUUCCUGUUGCAUGUGUACAGGUGGAAUUUAGUUGUGAUAAUCUUGUUGAGGUAUGUCUCCAUUUUUAACAGAAGGAAUCAAGUUACACAAAUGCUAACUCAGUCAGAUGCUGAGAGAAUGUGCAUGUAUUACGGGGGGGGUCUGUUUGGUGUUGGUGUUUGGUGGAGCUUAUAUAAAACUUGUUUAAGUAGAUCGAUGAAGCUAGUAGUUUUUGAUUUUUAAAUUAAAAUCUUAUUAAUAGCAUAAUGCUGCAGCAGAGACAGAAACUUCGAACCCAGCUAGAGCGAAGCGUAUGCUUUGAGCGAUUUGAUGACGCUGCUGCACCUAUUUCUCGGAGCAGCUGUAGUACAUCAAUUAUGACAAAAAUCCAUGUAGAGUAACACUCUCAAGUAACUUGAACAAUAGGCGAUCAAACAAUAUGACGUUAACCCAAAGAUGUAUACGAACAUAAACAGAAAGGGCAAGUCUCCAGUAAUUCGCACCAUAAGAAUGAAAAUGCAAAGGGAACAAAUACCUGAAACAUCAACUGCUCGGUUCUUCAAGAAGCAAUGCAAACAAAGUAAUGCAGCAUUCAUCUGAUGGACCCUCGCGUUUCGUCCAAGAAUAAUUGCAACUUCCGUUCUCAAAGAAUUUAAUUCUCCUUUGACCAUUGCAGACCGCAGAGCCAUUACUGUGGGAAAGAAUUCAUGGUUAUACCGAAAGUAAGAACACGUUGAAUAUUACGUACAAAGAAACAUAGUAAUAUCAACAAGAAUGCGCGCUCGCAUAUGGUGUCAGCACUAAGAAAUAAGCCUUGAAUCUCUUUGAAGGUUGGAUAGUUGGUUUGACAGAAUGUGCUUCUUCAAGCUAUUGUUUCUCUGAGCUUUGCCACAAUCUCUCAUACAGGCGAUGGAUCCACGGAGACUUCGACAUCUGAGGAUCAGUUUCAAGGGCUGCGAUAAGGUCCUCGAGAGAGAUGCGGCGUGUCUCUUCUAAGUUGGGGUGCUCUUCCUGCAUGCGAAAGUUGUGUGUGUGCAUGUUUCUUGGUACGCUACCGCCUAUAAGUUGGAUCAGCAUAAGUGGAUUGAAAUGGAAAUUAAAAAAAGAAAAUAGCAGCAAGAACACUGAAACGACAUACCUUUAUAUCAUCUACAUGAUAAUCUGAAAUCAGGGUAUGCCAAAGAAAAGAGAAAAAUAAAAGGCAUGAAGGAGAAUAAGUGCUCCUUUCUUGAGAAAAAAAGGGAGUAUUUAAUUCAACGUACAAGAUAGCACUGUGACUUAACAAAGAUCAUAUUUCGAGUAACAGCAAGAACAAGAUAUGAGCUAAAACAUUGUACAUAUGCUCUUCUAAACUUUUAAAUUCUAAGCAUACAAACGGCCAAUUUUCCAUUAUUUCAUGCAUACGCAGGUGUUUAUAGAAUUUUACGCAUCAUGACUGCAAAAACAUCAUGGUAAUACACAUACGUAUUCACAGUAGCAUGGACAUAGACUGCAGCGAUAGAAUAAUGAAUUAUCCACAGUACAGGCUUUCUAGCUCUAAAACAUCUUGUUAAGGUGCAUCUCUUUCUAUUAUUUAUCCAUCUUUGCGAUUAAAAUGGAGGAAUGAUCAUCUAGAAGCACCGAAGUUGGACCACGGACUAAUUAAUUAAUAUUGAGAUAAAAGUGAACGGACUAAUGAGUUAACAUCUACUGACAAAUGUAAUGCACUGGGCCUGACUGUUCCUUCUGGAGCUUCUGUAAAAAUGUUAUUUGAGCUGAGCUAUUCAAAGUAUUCCAACAGCUUCAAGAUGGAUUCCAGAGUUAAAGAUUCUACUUUUGAGUUCGAAAAGUUCAUUUUGGACAUUUUGCCAGAGCCAAAAGCUCUAGAUUUUCUGGUCAACAAAGUAAUGCACUCGCUUUUCGAGUGCAGUUUACCUGCUUGAGACAUAGAGUCCUUACCCAGCCCUUCACGUUUCUGUUGAGCUUCUUUAUACAUGAGUUGCCACCUUGAUGCCAGAUCAUUUCCUCCAACAGCAGCUCGCACAGCAACGUUCGCAGCUGUGACUUCGUCAUGUUUUUCCUGCAAGCAUUUUAAAUCAUUUCCUGGGUUUAAUCUGAGGUGUGUUCCAAACUGAGCGAAUUUAAAAAGUCUUAUGGUAGUCUUCAUCAUUAUCUUUUGCGGAACCAGAUAUUGUAUCACCUCUUGGCAUGUGCAAAUAGCAUAGGUCAUAUGCUAGUCAACAAUUCCUUAAGGAGGAUGUUUAAAUGACAAACACUAUGAAGAAAAUAACAAUGUAUCGCUACAAAAUUUUCCCAAAAACAACAUUGUUAGCUGACAACGAAUCACUAAUUAUUAUCCAUAGCUGGAAUCCAUUUUUUCCAGGAAGCCGUCUGAUUUAGAUCUAGAAAGGUGCAACUGUAAAGGAUGCUUGCAAAGUAUAAUGCCUUUUUCUAAUCCAUGUAGUUCAUUUCAGACAAUAUUGAGAUUCUGAAACUAAUGCAAAAACAAAGAGACUACUGACACAGUGGCCGUAUACCUCCAUACUCCCAGUGUUUCCCUAUAGGUUGAUAUAGUUUACACACAUCGAUUCAGAAAAUCAAUUAAAAAAGAUUCCAUCCGCUCAUGCAGCUAUUUUUAAAAAAAAAAAAAAAUAAAAACCAGAAAGGUACUUUGCUCUGCAACUAAACAUAUUUGAAAAACCAUUGGACAAAACAUCAAUCAGCUUUCUGGCUUUGAUGCUUCUUACGAUAAGAAGACUAAGUAUUAAUCACAAGGAAAACAAAGUAUCUCCGAAAAAAAAAAAAUCAAAAUUCAGGUGCCUCCUUGAAAAAAAAAACUCUUUUUUUUUCCUUUCUGGUCAAAUAAUUUUUCUUCGGAAAGAAAGAGGAAAUGUUGGGCCUCCAAUAUAUAUAUAUAUAAAAGAGCAUAUUACCAGUUGGAGCAACCUGAUGUAAAUUUUAAUGGUGAUUUAUGAAAUUCCGGUCACAUGCCUGUUGAUUUGCUUCUAUACCUCCUAUUGCUAUGAUUUGUUGAUCAAAGUUGAAGAAGUGAUGAGCUGUCUCUUGUCGACAUCUCUGCCAAGGUUCAUACAUGCAUAGAUAGUGAUGGGUUUCUCUUUGGUGGAUUGAAUUUGCAUUGUGCUUUGCUUUGGACUGCUAGUUGGUUUUGGUCUAACAAUGUGGAUUUGAUGUUGGUCUAGUUAGAAUUCUGAUUUUUGUGUGUCCAGCUAAGGUGUGUAAUUGGUGGCUUUUAGUUUUAUUAUAAAUCUUUGGAGCUGAUGCAGGAUUUCCUUUGCUUUAGUUGUGCUGGGCCUAACUGUAUAUAUCUGUAAUUUUCUCUCUGUUAGUUAUGUUUUCUCUUCGGGGGUUUCUCUCCCUGUUUAUACUCCAGGUGCCUCCUAACAAAUCAAAAUCUUAAGGAUUGAACAAAGUAAAAGGUGAAUAGAUAAGAUGGAUCACAAAGAUAAUAUGCUAACAAAACCUCCGCUCUAGUACAUGAAGGCACUCAGACUGCUUACCUUUCUUUGUGGCAGAAGCUCUUCAGCUACUUCAGCCUGUCUUCUAUCCCACUCCUCAGCUUUCUGGUUUAUUGACGCAAUCUCUUUCCGAAUGUCUCGUGUGAUAACUAUCUGAUGCUUCGUUUUUUCGAUAACAACCCUCUGCAAAACAGAAAAAAAAAAGAAAAAAAAAAGCACUGAGAUCAUUAUAUAAGAUACAUUGAGAGCAAACCGAUAUAAUGAAGACAACUCUACCUGUUUUGACAUUUUCCUUGCACGAGUUAUAAGUCUCAGUAAAUACUCCUCCACAGACUAAAGAAUGGGCUGAAGUAAGAUUUAAUAAGAUCAUCCACAAGUACAGAAUUCACUAAAGAGAAUCUAACCAAUGACAGGCAGCGCUCCGCCUCACUGCUUAUAUUCGUUAAACCGUAUUUUGACACCGUCAUAUGCAUUAGCCACGAGUCAAGUGGCGCUUCAAGAUUUCCAAGGCGACGCAGGCAAAAUUUCGACAGAAAAUGGAAAGCGGUACGAGCAGCUUAGCGAAAAAAGUAGUAACUGAUGUCUGCUAGUUUUUGCCGAAGAGGACCCUUGUUCAGAAACAACUCUUCUUCUCCUUCUUGUAGAACGUUUCUAGUUGCUUCUGAGGCCUGUGCCCCUUCCUGGGGGCCAGACAACAGCAGCUUUUCUUCUUCCUGUAAUUUUCAGAGAACAACUUAUUUAGAACGAAAAGGGCACGAAAUGAAUUUAAAUAAGUAAAUGCAUCAGAAGUUCAAGAACGGAAUGUCGUACCAUCAAAUUAAUACCGGUGACAGCUGCAAAGUUUUGGCCGAGAAAAUCCGGGGAUGUUCUGUUCUUUUCGGUAGGCGGACACAAAAUGAUUUCUACUAGUAGUUAACAGAACCAAAGCAUGAGGUUAAUCUUAGCCGAGGAAAACACGGUGUAAAUCCGCUUAUUAACCUAAACUCUAAAUAUUGUCCGAAUGGAUCUGUCGGGUACUAGAAAUGUUGGCAAAACUUCACAAGAAAUACGCCCCAGAUCAUUUUUCCUUCUCUCAUCCGACUAUUCUUUUUAAACAAAAAGAAACAGAAUACGCAGCAAGAAAAUCCUUGAUUGCAUUAAUUCCCUGAUUCGCUUUCGUAUUUCGCAUUGUUCUCCCACUAAGCAUCAUAAACAAUACGUUGUUGUGAACUUUUCCCCCUGAAAUUAUAGCCUCAUACACCACCAAAAAAUAUAUAUAUAUGAAGAAAAACUAAACACUAAUUAAGACUGAGCGAUCUCCCUAAUCACUGAUCUACAUAUAGAGAUCGAAGAACUGCUUAGAAUAUCCCGAAUAAAUCUUCGAUCUCUUCGGUUAAAUCAAACCUAAACAAGAAGAUCGCAUCAAACAGACCAAAAUAAUAGGCGGAAUCUAAAGGGAAUUAACACCGGAUUCGUCGGAGGGGGCGGCGCCUUCGAUAUCCCGACGCGGCGUGUCGACGACGAGCGGCGCCACCACGGCGGGAGGAAACGCGCGCUCGUCGUACUCCUACAACACCAAUUUUAGGGCAAAGCGAUGCAUGUAAACACCCCCGAUCAUCUUCUAGGGCAAGAAACGGCCAUUAGGGUUCGCACUAGGAUGAGGAGAGCGAAGGAUAUUACGUACUUCCUCGUCCUCGGAGAGGUGAUCCAUGGCGAGGGUUUGAGGAAGGGGAAGGAGAUUUGAAUCUGAGGACUGAGGAAGCGCUUGGCGGGUUCGCAUUUACAGGGGCUCGCACGUGCACGAUGCACGUGAUGGACAACCACUUCAGCCAAUUGAAAUUUCCCGGCACCGGGCCCACCACAGUAAUUAAAAAAAAAAAAAACCUUCAAAUACUAUUCCGACGGUUUCGCACCUUUUUAUUUUAGUAUUCUAUAAUUUAAAAUAUAUUAAUUUAAUAUUUUGUAAUUUUAUUUUUAUUUUUUUAUUAUUAAUUUUAUUAAUUUUUUCGUUAAAUCAGUGACAAAGUUAAAACUAAAGGGUACUAAAAUAAAUAUUUGAUAAAUUUAGGUGGGGUAUCUGAAAUUUUUUUGUAUAUAAUUUAGCGAAAUAUUAACAAAAAAAUAAACGAAAAAAUAAAAAUGAAACCACAAGACACUAACUUUAUAUAUGUUAAACCACAGAAUACUAAAGUCAGAAAGUGCAAAACCACAUGUGUGAUUUUUAAAAUUUAUCCUUUAAAAAAAAGAUUUUUGCUUAUUUAUCACUUCCUACUAUACAAAAUUUUAGUUAUAAUAUAAUUUUUAAAAAAAGGACAAGACUAGUGAGGUGAUUCUAUCCGCCCAAAGGUCUAGUUGUACAACUUUUUUUUUUUUGGUGUAAAUCUUACAUUCAAGCUAUACAAGAAUUUAGACUUAGAUUUUUUUUAUAGAGUAAACUUCAAUGAGAUAUGGCUCAUUUUCAAUUUGUCAUCUAGUAAUUCAAAAAAUUACAUUUGAUUAUUUUAUAAUUUUAUUUUUGUUUCAACACAAAAGCACAUUGUAAAAUAGGGUAGUAAAUAAAUAUUUGAAAAAUCUGGGAGAGAUAUUUUGUUUAACAACAGGUUCUUAUAGUGAAACAAAAAUAAAAUCACAAAAUAGUUAAAUAUAAUUUUUUGAACCAUAAAAUGACAAAGUGAAAAUGCAUUAUACCACCAAAUAGUUAAGCCGAAUGUUUAAAAUUAUGACCGACCAUCCCUAUCGCAAGUAGUAAAGGACUAGGUGGUUAAUAUCCAAGAUCUCAAGUUCAAACCCUAGUUGAUUCAUAUUUCUAGCUAAACUUGUUUCAAAUGAAAUAAACGAAACGGAAAGCAUGCUACCUAUCUCUCUCUCAAAAAAUAGAAAAAUGUUUUAAAUUAUGGAAUAACAAAGUGAGAAUACACUAUACCAUAAUAAAAGGGCAAAUUAAAAUUUAUCCUUUUUAAUAUUAAAAAAAAAAAAGUGAUAAGACUACCAUGAAAAUCCAGCCUUUGAGUAGAGAGGGUCUAUGAUUAUCUUUCUCAAUCAGCUGUAAAAGCCAGUCGGGGUGAAACAGUAAACUUUUGAGUAAUAGAUGACACUCUUGCACCUGUUUCUCAAAGUAGCAAACCACUGAACCAUAAGAAUUAUGCCAAAAAUCAUAACUUCAAGCAACUGAUGGUCAAGUAAAAUGGCUACUAAUGUUCGCGGAAAAGAAAAGAUAGUUUAAUAGUAAUUAGCACCAUAAAAAUAAAAAGAGAAGGGAAGAAAUACCUGAAAAUUGCACACAUUCUGUCCUCUGUUUAAUCAACAGCCAAAGCUUAAAGAUUAGGAUGCAUUAGGCGUCGCCUAAACAAACAGCAGUAGAUUGUAAACUAAAACACCAGAAACAACGCCAUCGAGGUAGCUCAUUCAUCAAAUGGACCCCAGUUUCAUCUGAGGAAAUUCUCAACCGUAAUUCUCAAAGAAUUCAUUUCUCCUUUGAUCAUUGCAGACUGCAGAGCCAUCACUGUACGAAAGAAUUCACGGUCGUCCUGAAUAUUAUGUACAAAGAAAAAUAUCAACAUGAAUGUGCGUUUGCAUAUGGUGUCAGCCUGAAAAUGAGCCUCGAAUCUCUCUGAAGGUUGCAUAGGUGGUUUAACAAGAAUGUGCUUCUACAAGCUAUUGUUUUUUUGAGCUUUGCCGCCGUCUCUCACACAGGCCACGGAUCCACAGAUUCUUUGACUCAUCAGGCUCACUUUCGAGGGCUGUGAUCAAAUCGUCGAGAGUGAUGUGGAACGUCUCUUCUAAGUUGGGUUGCCCUUCAAGCAAUUGAAAGUAGUCAGUUUGAAUAUUUCUCAGUAUGCGACCAUCUAGAAAUUGGUUCAGAAUAAGUGGAUUGAAAUGGAAAUGGAAAAAAUAUAGCAAAUAGGGGAAUUACAGGCCACUAUAUCAAGUAUCUAAAAGAUAAUUUGAAAUCAGGGUAUGUGAAAGAAAGAAGUAAAAUAAAAGGUAUGAAGAAGAAAGAGACCUCCUUUCUUGAGAGAAAAAGAGAGGAGAAUUUAAUUGAUAUUCACAAUGGCAUUGUAACUUCACAAAGUUCACAUAUGACUAACAGUAAGAACCAGAUAUGAGCUAAAAAAAGUGUACAUACACUUUUCUAAUUUCUAAAUUCUAAGCAUAUAAGUGGCCAAUUUUUCCAUUGUUUCAUGCAUAUGCAGGUGUGUUUAUAGAAUUGUAUGCAUCAUCUCUGCAGAAACUUUGUUGCAAUAACCAUAUAGUUGCAUUGACAUACAUUGUAGCAAAAGAAGAAUGAAUUAUGCACUGAAUAUAUCAUUCACUGAGUAGAUUUUCCAGCUGUAGAACAUCUUGCUUAAGUGCAUCUCAUUCUACCAUUUUUCCAUCUUUAUGAAUAAGGAGGGAUGAUCGUCUAUCACCAAAGUUGGACCACAGACUAAUUAAUUAAUAUAGAGACAAUGUAAAAGGAACUGAGUUAACAUCUACAGAUAAAUGUUAUGCACUCUGGGCCUGACUUCCUUCUGAAGCUUCUCGAGAAGGGUUGUUUGAGUAAAACUAUUAAAAGUAGUCCAACAGCUUCUUUGAUAAAUCCUUGAGAUGGCAUUCCAAAGUUAGAGAUUCUGCUUUCGGGUUCAAAAUGCUCAUUUUGGCAUUUUGCCACAGCCAAAGGCACUAGAGUUUCAAGAUACCAAAAUAAUGGAUUCUGCUUUCCGAGCGCAGCUUACCUGCUUGAGAUGUGAAGUCCUUAAUCAGCCCUUCAUGUUUCUGUUGAGUUUGUUCAGACAUUAGUUGCCAAUUUGACGCCAGAUAAUCUCCAUCAACAGCAGCUCGCUCAGCAACAUUUCCAGCUGUUCUCCAAUUAUUGACUUUCUCCUCGUUUUUCUGUAAGCAUUUUAAAUUAUUUCCUGGGUUUUUAAUCUGAGGGGAGUGCUCCAAACUGAACCACCUUAAAAUUCUUAUGGCAGUCUUCAUCCUAAUCUUUUGCGGAACCAGCUACUGUACCACCUCUUUGCAUAUACAGACAGCAUAGGUCACAAAUGUUUUGCUAGUAAACAAUUGCUGAAGGAGGAUGUUUAAAUGACAAACACUUUUAAAUAAGUAAUGUAUCGGUGCAUAAAAUUCACAAAAAUAGCAUUGUUAAUUGACACCACUCACUAAUUAUUAUCCAGAAUUGAUAUCCAUAUUUGCAGGAAGCUCAUUUUUUUUUCAAGUGCUUGAAUCUGAUUCAGAUAGCAAGGGAUGCAUGCAAGUAAAGUACCUUUUGUUCAUAGCAUGCAAGUACAAUAGUUCUGUUAAUACAUGUACUUCAAUAUAGAUGACAUUGAGAUUCUGAAACUAGUGCCUACCAGAAAACAAGCAAUCUACUAACGCACUGGCCGUACACCUCUAUAGUUCCCAGGGUUUCCCUAUAACUUGAUAUAUUUUGUACACAUCGACUCAGAAAAAUCAAUUAACAAAGAUUCCAUCCAGUCAAUGCAACUAAUUAUUUUUUUUAACCUAAAGUUACUUUGUUCUGCAAUUAAACCAACUUGUAAAACCAUGGGACAAAGCAUUUAAUCAAUCUCUGGGUUCGAUGUUUCUUACAGUAAGAAGAUUAUGUAUUAAUAGCAAGAUAAACAAACUGGCUCAGAAAUAAAGUUAAAAAAUUCAGGUGCAUUCUGACAAAUCAGAAUCUGAAGGCAAUAAUACAGCAUGGAUUGAAGACUGAAUCACAAAGAUGAUAUGCUUACAAAGACUCCACCGAAGUGCAAGACACUCAAACUGCUUACGUUUCUUUGUGGCAGAAGCUCUUGAGCUUUCUGGUCUAUUGAUACAAUCUUAUUUUGAAUGUCUGGAGCGGUAACAAUCUGAUGACUUGCUUUUUCGAGAUCAACCCUCUGUGAACAAAAAAAUUGCACUGAUUAUAUUAUAUCAGAUACAUUGAGAGCAAACCAAUAUAAUGAAGGCAUGUCUACCUGUUUUGCUAUUUCUAUCGCACCAUUUAACAAUCUCCGUAAAUACUCCUCUGCACCCUAAAGAAUGGACUGAAGUAAGAUUUAAUAAGAUCAUCCACAAGGAUGGAAUUUGCUAAAGAGAAUCUAACCAAUGACAGGCAGCGCUCCGCCUCACUGCUUAUAUUCGUUAAACCAUAUUUUGACACUGUCAUAUGCAUUAGCUACGAGUCAAGUGACGCUUUAAGAUUUCCAAGGCAACGCAGGCAAAAUUUGGACAGCAAAUGGAAAGCGGUAUGAGCAGCUUAGCAAAAAAGUAGUAACUGAUGUCUGCUAGUUUUUGCCGAAGAGGACCCUUGUUCAGAAACAAUUCUUCUUCUUCUUGUACAACGUUUCUAGUUGCUUCUGAGGACUGCGCCCCUUCCUGGAGGCGAGACAACAGCAGCUUUUCUUCUUCCUGUAAUUUUCAGAGAACAACUUAUUUCAAAAUAAAAGGAACAACCGGCAUACAUAGACACAGAAUUUAAUAAGUAAAUGCAUCAGAAGUUCAAGAAUCAAAUGUCGUACCGUCAAAUUAAUAGUGGUGGCAGCUGCAAUGUUUUGGCCAAGAAAAUCACCGGAUGUUCUGUGCUUUUUCCUUUGUGGACCCAAAAUGUUUUCUACUAGUUGUUAACAGAACCAAAAGCAUGAGGUUAACCUUAGUCAAAGAAAACACAGUAUAAAACCAUGCUGCUCUCAAGGCCCCAAAAAGGCCUAACCUAAACUAAACUCUAAGCCUAAGGGCUUGUUUGGUUCAUCUAUUUUAGACUAUGGAGUCGGAAUAGGAUUCAUUGAUUCCGAUAGUUGUUGUUUGUUUCGUAGGAAUCAUAUUCUAAUUCUCAUUCCAAUAUAGAAUAGGAAUGGCUCAAUCCGACUUUGAAUUCCGGGUUGGCCUAGUCAAAAGUAAAUCACUCAAAGCUCUCUCUCACAAACGCCUCCCCCCUCUUCUCUUCUCAUCACUCCUCUCUCUUUUAAUCAAAGCCUUCUCUCAAAAUUCUAGAUGUCUAUUCCAAUUUCCAUUCCAAUAAUAAACUAAGGGCACCUUUGGUUCAGAAAAGGAAUCGAAAUCAGAAUAGGAAUGGAAAGGGGUCGGAAUCAAAAACGAAAUGAUAAAAACAAUAAUUUGUUUGGUUCAUAAGAGGAAUUGGAAUCGAAAUCAGAAUCAUGUCCAAAUUGAAAUUCAAAAAAUUACCUUUUUAUUAUAAUUUAAAGUUGUUAUUCAAAUUUUUAAUCAAAAUUUGAAUUUACAAUUUAAACCUAAAAUUUGAAUUUAUAAUUCAAAAUUAAGGUCAAAGUCAAAGUUUAAAUUUAAAACUAUAAAUUAAAAUUUAAGUAAUUAAAAUUAAAUUUUAAAUUCAUAUUUCAAAUCCAAAUUUGAAAUUAUUAUUUAAUCUACUGUAUUUAUAUGAUUUAUAUUUAAUUUUAAAUAAUUAUUAGACGAAAAAAUCUUUUCUCAAUUACUCUGGAAUCAAAGUCAACUCCCACCGUAGAGCGGGAGUCAGUUUUGAAGAAUUCAAAGCCCCUAGAAUGGGAAUCGAAAUGCCAAUCCCGCAAUCCAAAGACUAACAAUAGAAAUGACUUAUUUCCAAUUUCCAUUCCAAGUCUCAAAUACUUCAAACUAAACAUGCCCUAAAUAUUUCUGGAUGGUUCGUCAUUAAAUUUCCCAUUGCAAUACAAUCUAAUUUCAUUUUUCAUUUCUAAUCCAAUCAUAAACCAAACACGUCCUAAAUCUUAUCUGAAUGGAUUAGUCGGCACUAGAAAUGUUGGGAAAAGUUGACAAGAACUACAUCCACCAAAUCAAAAAUUUCUUUUUUAACUCCUACCCUUCUUAAAGAAUAAGAAAAAGGAACAAGAAUAUACAGCAAGGAAAACCUUGAUUACUUCAAUUCCCUGUUUCCUUUUCGUACUUCACAUUUUUCUGAACUUUGGUCGCCGAAAAUUAUAGGCUUUAUACACCAGCACCCCACAACCCACCCCCAAUCAAGACAUAGCAAUCUCGCUAAUCACUAAUCUACAUCUAGAGAUGGAAUUAUUACAGCAUCCCUAAUCACUCUUCGAUCUCUUCGCAUAACUCGAACCUAAUCAAGAAAAUCUCAUCAAAUAGAUUAAAAAUAAUAGACGGAUUCUUACGGGAACUAGCGUCGGAUCCAUCAGCACCGGCGGCGGAGGUGGAGGCGGCCGUGCCUAUGAUCUCCCGAGACACCAGCACCCCACAACCCAUCCCCAAUCAAGACAUAGCAAUCUCGCUAAUCACUAAUCUACAUCUAGAGAUGGAAUUAUUUACAGCAUCCCUAAUCACUCUUCGAUCUCUUCGCAUAACUCGAACCUAAUCAAGAAAAUCUCAUCAAAUAGAUUAAAAAUAAUAGACGGAUUCUUACGGGAACUAGCGUCGGAUCCAUCAGCGCCGGCGGCGGAGGUGGAGGCGGCCGUGCCUAUGAUCUCCCGACGCAGCGUCUCGGCAUACGCCGCAACCACUGCGGGAGGAAACGCGCUCUCGUCGUACUCCUACAACACCAAUUUUAGGGCAGAGAGAUGCAUGUAAACCCCCUCCUCCCCCGAUCAUCUUCUAGGGCAAGAAACGGCCAUUAGGGUUCGCACUAGCUGAGGAGGGCGAAGGAGAGUACGUACAUCGUCGUCCUUGGGGGAGAGCCCUGAGAAGGGAUCCAUGGCGAGGGUUUUGGAGGAAGGGGAGCGAGAGUGGAUGGCGGGAAAGGGAAUCGAUCGAACCUGAGGAGUCCUUUUAGGCCGUUGCCCGUUGGUAUUUAUAGGGCCUCGCACGUGCACGACUCACGAGAUGGACUCGGGGCUCGCACGUGCGCGAUGCACGCGAUGGAAUUGGCCUAAGUCAAUUAAAUUUAUUUUUGGAUAAAAUUCGAAUACCACACCUAUAGUUUUGUACUUUCUCUUAGUAUUCUAUAGUUUAAAUCAUAUCUAUUUAGUAUUCUAUAAUUUAUUUUUUUUUUCGUCAAUCCGUCCGUUAACUUUUUGUUAAAUCACAUACAAAAAACUUCAAAUUUUCCAUCUAUAGUUUAUUGAAUAUUCACUUUAGUACCCUUUAGUUUUAACUUGAUUACUGGUUUAACGAAAAAAAUUAGUGAAGCAAAUAACAAAAAGAAAAAAAAAAAACUACAGGGUGUAAAAGUAGUACACUUUAUAUUAUAGAGUACUAAAGUGAGAAAAUACAAAACUAUAUGAAUGGUAUUUGAAGUUUUUUUAAAUUUUUUUUAGAUAAAAAUAUAACAAAUAUUUACGUUUUUGGGUUAUAAUUUGGGAGCAUAAAUGAUAUAAUGCAAGUGUUCUAUUCUAAAUUUUUUCCAAGUUACGUUUUUUUGGACUGAACGGCGAAUUUUCUUUUUCCAGGCUCACCACAUCAGCGGUUGUAAUAAAAAGAUAAUGUUAAUAGACGCGUAGAAUUAGUAAGUUUUCAUUAGUUAAAACAUAUCAUUCAUUUUUAUUCAGUUGAAUUUUAUAGCAAUCUCUUGAACAGUACGGAUGGUGUAAUUUUACGUGUGUAUUAUUGUGCUUAGGCAUAGUAAAAUUUUAUAUAAAAAAAAUACGAAAGCAAUAGAUAGCCUUCUUUCGAGAAUAUCUUUUCUAUCAUAAUUAUUCCUAUAAUAGCCUCAUAAAGAUAUAUGUGUCAUACAAAAAUAUUAUAAAUGUAUUUUUUAAAUAUUAUUUUACAAUUGUUUUUUAUUACAUUUUUUUUUACUAUCUCAUGUGAGACAAUACAAUUAAUUUGCAUACGUAUUUUAUAAAAUAAAUAAAUAAAUAAAUAUAUAUAUAUAUGUACCACAAGGAAAAUUUCAGGGAAAAAAAGGAAAUAGAUAUAGCAUUGUAGUAUGUAUUAUGAUUAUAUAUAUUCUCUGUGGGCAUUGAUUGCUUCCAUUGUAGUAAAAAACAUAGACAAAUUUAGCAUAUGAAGGAACGGGAGUUAUUUAAUGGUCUUAAAUUAUGCUCCUCCCAUCGUUCUUAAAUUUUAUUACAACUAACUUCUAUAUAUGCUAAAUACAAGAAAAAACACAAGUCAAAUUUCACUGGAAAAAGGAAAAAACAAAUAUAUGUGGCAUUAGUAGCUAUUUAUAAUAUUGUAGUGUUAAUUACACCAAUUUGGCAUGUAAAAAAUAAAAAAAGAAAUAGUUAUUAAAUGCUGAUUNAAGUCCUCUCCAUGGACAAGUCUCCCAGACUUAACAGCGGAAUACCAAUCCAAGCAUUUUGCCAAGCUUGCUCCUCCGCGAGACUUACAGCCCGACCUUUCGCCUGUAAUCGAACCCCUCGUCGGACUCCUCGAGUUCCCAACGAGCAACCCCAAUACCGAGGUUGGCCACCAAGCUAGGUGCAUCCCGUCUUGCCAACCGAUCUUUCCUCGAGAGUGCUUCAUAACCGAAUGCCUUGUUGCCUCUGUCACUAGCCCCAAGGACAUUACAAGUUCUCCCCAACUUGUCCCAUAUGAGUAUAGCCAAGCGUCUCGCCUCCCCCGCGUUUCGCUCCCGCGACUCAAUCUGCAUGCCUCAAGCGUCGAGGUCCGGGCUUCGCGACAUCGCAUGCCACGAAGGGCACUCAUAACCAUAAGUUCCUCACUAUUGUGUCUCAUGCGCCUGACAACGUCCAUGGCCAUACCGCCUACGUGGCCUGCUCGCUCGGUCCAACGGCUUACCUCCGAAAAGCCACCCAAGUGUGCGCCACAAGCUCGCUUGUCCCCAACAUCAGCACCUCAGCAUGACACCCCGCACGUCCAUGCUUCGCACCUUGGUGCUUCGCAUCCGACCCGUGCGGCCCUCGUGUCCCAUCGCUCCUGACCAGGGAACGAACAAGUCCACACCGUGCUUCUCGACCGUCUCAACAACCCUCGCUUUGCCACGGCGCUCCGCGCCCUUAACUUCCAUAGGUUCGCCUCAUAAGGCCCCAUACAAACGAACCGGCCUUGCUCCGCAUCGCUAGCCACUGGCCCCGUCUUUGGCUUGGCCACGCCUGGCCGCUCACAUCAUUGGUCCAGUCUCUCAAGGUUCACUAUACGGAUACCGAUAUCGCUUGCCUUAUUGGGUUCCGCCCCUCGAGUCUCGUAGGUCACCCACCUUACGAAUUCUCCCUCGGCGUGCCUCCCUUUAGCGUUCCUAUUGAGUCUUGCCUCCUUGGCCUUCGUGGGCGCCGCGCCCCACGAAUCCCCGCUCGGCACAUUUGCCUUCGCGAGCCUUGUCCUUUACGGAGGACUAUCCGUCGCUAGGCUGUUCCUUAUCCACUCGUACGCUCCACUACAGAGAUCCAAGCCGGCAUAAGGUAGCACAAGCGAUCCUAGGGAGGAAGCCUCCCGGUAUUCCCCGCUUCCGUAAUGUCGUCGACCUCUCGCAUCUCCGACAUUACCCUAGGCCCGUGUCCCUUCAACCGUCCACUAACUGGCUACACGGAACGCUAGGUUUGGCUACUCCGCUAGCCAAGGGACGACCCAUGUCCUAUGGGUCGACGGGGGAGUCGGGGCCACUUACGAAGUGUCCACCCCUCCUCUAAUACCCUUACGAGGCAGAGUCGUACUCACUUUGGCACCGGGCGCCGGGUACAAAGUGCUCGCACGCAGGGUACGUUUUCCAAAUCCGGCAUGUGGCACCUGUUUCCAUGUCAUGGCACAGGGCCAUUGCUAGGGAAUUGCUCCGGUUGACUUGACAGGGCGGGGGAAGACUCCUACCUGACGGAAGCCCAACUAGUGACUCCGCAACUCUAUAAUUUCGUCACGCCAAGGGGGGGAACCAUGCCUACACAAAUGGAUCGGCCCCCGCAGAAGGUAGUCACGGGUCGAGUUCAGCAGGCGAUCGACGCGGCCACGAGACCGCCACGCGGCGCGCGGGCACGGGCAUGGGCGCGCUGGGAGCGUGUGCGACGGGGGCGUGGGGCGCCGGCCCCCGCACGACGCGGGCGAGCGGGCACCUCGCUGCCGGCCACGGGCCCGGAAGGGCGAGCGGGAGCAAGCAUACCAGGCGGGGUGGCCGGGGUGGGCGGGGCACGGGGCGGGCUGCAGGCGGACCGUAGGGGCGAGGGGCGCCGGUGCGAAGCGGCGAGCGGCGGGUCAUGGACCGAGAAAAAUCGCGGCUGCAUGGUUUCAGAACCCAAGCUCCAACAGGGCCACUCGGUCUCGUGACCACAUAAAGGACCUAAUCUCGUCUAUCCUCUCAUCAUGCAGGGCUUCUCCGCUGACACAUUCUCGUCUUACCUUGGAUCUCAUCACCCCAUACCAAAGAUCCGUCUCUGCUCUAACAUAUAUAAAUUAGUAUAUUAUAUUUAUAUAUAGUAAUUGAGGUUAGAGACAUUUUUGAGUAGCAAGUCCCUUGGUGCUUCUAGUUUUCUAGCCUUGGAUUUACCUUUCUUGAUUACUAAUAGCCCUUCUGAUCAAAAUUAUUCCACCUACCCUACCUACACUUCAUCAUCUCAAUCCCUAGCCGUCUCUUCCAUCCAAUGGCUAAAAACUAGGGAGAAGACAAACACCACUCUCAUUGGUGCUUUUGGGAGUAGAUUCUAGCUCAACUCUCUCCCGCUCAAUCAUACAAACACACACUAUAAAUACUAGCUAACAUAGUGAAAGAAAACACGCGAGCCCGCCAGGCCGGCCGGCGUCCGGUCAGAGCUGAACAAAGAUACAAGCAAGAGCACGCACCGGCGGCUCCGGCCUUCAUAUCACGUGUCACGGCUCCAUCUCGUCACUAUAUAUAUAUAUAUAUUAUAUAAACAAUUUUAUUUAUAUUUAUAUUCAUUUUAUUAUAUGUAGUUUUUAUGUUUUAUAUAUGAUAUAUAUAUUAAAUAAUAAUUUAUUUAUAAAUUUAUAAUUAUUUAAUAAUAUUUUUAAUAUAUGACUUUAUAUAUCAUGUUUAUUAUAGUUUUAAAUAUAUUUAUUUUAUAUUAUCUCGGCGCCCGCCGUGCGUAAGCUUGCGAUUUUUUUUUUGUUCUUUUUUUUCUGUAGGACCCAUGCCUCUCUGCAUCUUUUGCUUUUUUUCAAUGCACCGUUUCUAACUUUCUUAUUUUGUGAUGUUCUUGAUCACAUACAAAAAAUAAAAUUUUAAAUUUAAAUUUAUAAUUUAAAUUAAAAUUAAAAUUAAAAUUUUAAAUCAAAUCUAUUCUUAUUUUGAUAGGUUGUGGGCCGUAUAUAGAAAUUAAAAUUUUAUAUUUAAAGUUAUGAAUUGGGAAACAAAAAUUGUACGGCAGUCCUCUCCGUGUUAAAAUAACUACCCGCAGCAUCGCGCGGGUCCCUUAACUAGUAUUAUGUAAUCCAAAAGCAAAAAUUUUUGCAAUUUAUCAAAAAAAAUAUUUACGCUGCCAAUUAUGAAUAUAUUUUUUUUAAAAAAAUAGAUAGUACUCUAUCUGCUUUAUUCAUUUUAUUUAAAAAUAAAUUUAGCUGAAAAUAUGAAUCAACUAGAAUUUGAAUUUAAAAUCUCGGAUAUAAACCGUAAUGUAUUGCCACUUGCACUCGAAAAGUUUGGCGCUAGUAAUCAAUACAUAUAUUAAAGGCUCAGUUUUACUGUGGCCUAAGUGGCGCUUUCUCAGCGCCCCCGCUUGCUCCGCGUUGCAAUAAUGAAUAUUCAGGCAAGGUCGCUGGUGCCACGUGGACCGAAAGGGUGUGAAAAGGGUUCACGAUCCGAAGGAGUUUAAGGAUUGGAUUUGAUUCUUAUAUAUUCUUUCUGUGCCCGGUGCAUACACAGCACAUGGUGCACUGCCUAAUCUCCGGCACCGAAUAGCCAGCGAUUCGAUGACGUGGUGCACCGAGUUCAGCCAAUUAAUUAGUUUCUCGAAUUUUGACUCGGACAAGGAAGUCGACUGACACACUAGCCUUUUCUUUUUAUAUUUAUUUAUUCUUUAAUUUUGUCUUUUCGCCCCUUUCUUCCUGUGUCCUUGUGGAUUCUGAUCUUUCCUCUUUAUUUUCUACUAGAGGCCGCAUUGAUAAAUGCUACCACAAGAUUACGAUUUACGAGCCACGCCCACAUCCACGUCCACCGGGAUAACGCACUAAGUACAGUGUAUACCAGCAAUGUCGGAUCCAGCAGGAGUUCCAUCCGCCGACGCCGCCGUCGACGCCGUCGCCGCUGCGGAGGAGGAUGUCCCGGUCCCGAUGGGGGUGGCGCACCCUCCUGCUCUCGGCGGGGCGGAGGAGGAGUUGGUGUUCCGCGUGGGGUGCCGCACCCUCCUCCUCUCGGCGACCGCCCUCAUCUACGCCCUCGCAGUCGCCGGGGACCCGACGCUGCCGGUGCCCGCCUGCCACCUCCUCCUCCUCUUCCUGCUCUGGGCGCUCGCCCUCGGGCUCGUCUACGCGUCGACGGCGGAGCUCCGCCGGUUCCCGCGCGGCGUGGUGGUGGCGGCAGUGGCGGUGGCGCGGGCGCUCCACCGCCUCCUCUGGGAGCAGCGGCGGUGACGAGGCCUCGACGGAUCAUCUUCGACAGAGGUGAAACUUUACAAACCUAACUCGAUCUAUCUCUCGAUCAUCCUCCAUCUCUCUCUCUCUCUCUCUCUCUCUCUCUCUCUAUAUAUAUAUAUAUGUGUGUGUCAGUGUGUGCGCACGCGCGCGCGUAUGUGUGUUUGUGUGUGUGUGUCGUACGUUUGUGUGUUCUAUGUGUGCGAUGUUUUAUAUCUUCUUAUGCAUGAUUUCUUCCUCUUCUUCUUUGUGGUACUGUAUAUAUAUGGAAUGUUAUAGAGGAGAUUUAAUAUCAAAUUAUGAUAAUAUAUAUGUAUAUUUUUAUACAUACUACUAUCAAAGUCUGGAUUUUUUCCUUUGUUCAAGUGAAUGAAAUGGAAUCGGAUCAAGACCAGCUAUAGUCUCUUCUUCUUCUUCUGGUUCCUUCUUUUUUUUUCCCUUUUUUUUUAUGGCCUUCUUGGACGCAAGUUAUAAAUAAGGGCUAGGCCCUUUAUAUAAGGUGUCUAUGUUCAUGAUAUUGAUGAAGACAAUGGAUUAAUUAUUACAAAAGAAAGUAGAGAAGAAAAAGAAAAGGAACCAAUUAAGAAGAUAUAUACACAAAAGUUAAGCACGGAUGAGUAUCUAUCUAUCAUUCUAUCUAUCUAUCCUAGGAUUAAGAACCUCUGAUCCAACUAAAAUCGCCGCAAAUAAGCAUCGGAAAUUAUACAACCUGGAAAUUAAUCAACAAACCUCCACAAAUAUAUAUAUGAAAUUCACUCCAUCAGCUCCGGGGCGAAAAUGAAGUUAUAAAUGCUUGUUCUCCGAACAUCCUGUGCGAAGUGCACGCAGUCUCAUAUAUAGUAGAAGGCGUUGUAGUGCAGCAAAGAAAGAACACAAGCGUGCAAGGUGGGGAAGGGGUGUGGGAUCGAUGCAUAUUUGGUGAUUACUACUACAUUGAAGCUCUUAAUUACCUUCCCUUUACUCUCAUUAAUUAUUUCUUCCUCUUCUUCUACUACUACUCCUACUUCUCCUUCUUCCACUUCUCCUUAUUCUCCUCUUCUUCCUUUUUCGUUUUAUCGAUCGUUAUCCUCCUCCUUAUCCUUCUUCUACUUCUCAGACUAUUAUCAUCAUUUAUAUAUAUAUAUAUAUAUAUAUAUAUAUAUAUAUAUAUAUAUAUAUAUAUAUAUAUAUAUAUAUAUAUAUAUAUAUUCUCCUCCUCACACUUCUGCUAUAUGUGUAUUUCAUGCACUAAUUAAUUAUUGUUUCUUUCCUAUAUAUAUGGUGAUCAUGAUACAUAUAUAUAUAUAUACACUUACGUACGGACACCGCGGAUAUAUGCGUGUUUUGGAUAUAUAGGCUUCUACAAUUAAAUUGUAUCUGUUUGUUUUGUUAAUUAUUUCCUUUUUUUGGGUUAAUUAGUGUUCUUCGCAUCUCUUUCUUCUGCUCCCCUUGGGUUUUGGAAUUAAACCCUAACCUUAGCCAGAAAGGAAAUUAAGGAAAUGAAGAGAAGAAUUAAACUAAUUAAGUAUUUAGAUUUCCCAACUCUCUAUCUGGAUUGAUGCUGGGCCUGACGCACCCCACGUUGCAUGGACCCACCAUCCUCCCACCUCUCAUCUCUCUCUCAUCCAAUUUAUCCUUUAUAUAUGAUUCAUGAUCAUUUACGUUUCCCAACUUGUCGAUAUAAGUAAAUGGAUAAAUUACCUGAGUAAUUAAACAAGCAAUCCUACAUCUACAAAUCAUUUUCUGAUCGAUUAUAAUCUUACAGCGUGUACAUCCAUACAAAGACUGAAAUUUUUACACUUACUUUUCUCGCCACUCUCUCUCUCUCUCUCUCUCUCUCUCUCUCUCUCUCUCUAAAAAAAUUAUUAGUGGAUCCCAAAAAAUAUUGUUUAAACUAUAGAGGAGAGAGUUUAAACCCUUGGAUGGAGGAUAGCAGGAUUAAAAUUCGUUUUUGAGUUUGUAGACUAAGCAAUUUUCAUAACAAAUUUUUUUGUUUUCUUAACUUUGAUAUGAUGGGUAAUUCAUUGCAAGUAUAGCACCAGGAAACCUCGUAGUAUUGGUUCAUUGUGUCUCCUGCUAAUUAGUUGGAUAAUUUAUGGCAAAUAAUCAAGGGGACUUUCAUAGGUUUUUACUGUGAAUGUAAAAAGGUUUUCUAUAAAUCCUGGUCAUAAAAGGGUGGAUUUUCACCACAAAUUAAAGCUCAAUAUAAGGAAUUUUGAACUAUAUAAAGCCCAAAAAGAUUCAAGCUUGGGACACUCCUGGCUCAGAUUUCCUGUGAAACAAUCAAUUAAUUUUUUGUCUCUAAAAGCUCCAACCAACUUUGAAUUAUGUUUUAAUCAUUUAUGUUCAACACUUACAGCUACGAGCGACUCAUGUUCUGUUAUUUCGUUAAUUAUAUCUUGUGUUUCCUCGAGUCCGGCUACUAUACUCUUAUGAGUACAAUCUUCCUUGUACUCAUAAGUCGUUUUCGAUAAUAGAGCUUUCGAAUCGGCGAUUCAUACCGUUAAACAUUAUCUAAAGCAUUUAAAACUUUUAGAAAUCAAAUCUUACAAUUUUUUGACAUAAUUUACCAUACGAUCAAAAUGUCACAAAAUUGACAAUUUUUAACUGCCGGUAUGGAAUACUUGCUAAUUUAACGGUGUAAAAGAAUUGAAAUUGGUUGAAUUUUUGAUAGAAAAUUUUAUUUACUAUAUAGAUAAAGAUCAAUAACUCCGAUCUUAAAUUAAAGGAUUUGAUCAUUCAUUUUUAAGACGUCGUUCGAUUUUAACUGUUCAUUUUAUAUCUGCUUGAUGAAAUUUAUUAUGAUUUUGAAAAAUUACGAAAUUUAUUUUCUAAAAGUUUUAAAUACUCUAGAUCAUAUUUAACGGAGUGGAUCAUCGAUUCGGAAGCUCCAUCAUUAAAAACAACUUAUGAGUACGAAAGACUCUAUACUUAUAAGAGUAUAGUACUACUCGUGUUUCCUCUUUGACAAAGCAUAUAUAAGGCAUGAUUCAUCAAAUUUUCAUUGUACACAUGAUAUGAGUGUGGAUAUUGCUAAUGAUAUUUUUAGGUACUAUUCUCCAUCAAAUCAAUUUUUUUGGAUAAAUUUGAAAAUAUUUAAUGAUGUUGAUCUUUCAUUUGUGUGCAUACACUAUUGUUUAAAGCAAAGCAGAUAAUACAAAGAUUUAAUGCAAUCAAUUGUGCGGUAACAUAUAUAGUAACAUUAGUUAAUUACAUUACUACCUACGCACACCACCCCCUCUUCUUUCUCUUUCCUACUAUAAUUUAUGACUUGCAUCUAUUACAUUAUCUUUUAAUUUUAAAAUAUUGGCCAGCAAAUUUUUAGUGUGGCGUAUGUUAUUAUGAAUUGCUAACAUGGAAGUCAUAUAUAGAAUAACUGGCCAUCUCUAGAGCAAGUGACAAAAGGUUUAGUGGUUGGUACCCGAAAUUUUAAGUUCGAAUCCUAAUUAAUUUAUAUUUCCAGCUAAAUUUUAUUUCUAAAUGAAAUAAACAAAACUGGUAGUGUGCUACUUAUCUCCUAUAUCUCUCUCUCUCAAAAAAAAAAAAGUCAUAUAUAUAGAAUAUCUCCACCCAUCGUUGAGUGGAAAGAGCCCACCAAAUAUAACAUAGGCGUUGUCACUAACGGGGAGGCUACAUUAUCAAUUUAAUUUUUCAAGCACCAGGAACCCAACUCAUUUUUUUUUUCUAUUCAAGGAAUAAUAGGACGAAUUAUUAUUAUUACUAUUUUGGAAGAGUAAUAGAACAGAUUAGUGAAUUCUAUUCCCUCAUAUAUUCUAUUGUCUUUCUUCCUUUUUUUAAAAAAAUUCAUCUCUUUCGAACUCAAACUAUUUUUGUUUGCGUGUUCCUUUUUUUUUUUUUUUUUUUCAGUUGUGUUAUUAAUACCGCGGUAAUUGUAAAAGUUUGGGCCUUUGGAGUCUUUGUUCUUUUUUAUCAUAGCAAUUUAAUUCGGCAGGAACAUUCCUCCCCGACCAAUACAUUUCUUUUUCGUUUUUUCUUUUUAUUUUUUUGAAAGUGAAAGCUAGCAUAGUACCCAGCUACAUUGUUCAUUUUUUUAAAAAAAUUAAUUCAGUUAGAAAUAUAAACCAAUUAGGUUUCCAACAGAAGACUUCGAAUACUAACCAUUAAGCCUCUAGUUAACUAUACUAGGUACAGCCUUUAUAUUAAAAUUGGUUUUGGUUCACUGCAUCUGGUUGAUGACCUGGAACUUAAUUAUAAAAGCUUUGACUUAAUUUUGAAAUAUAUAUACUUUUCUUGUCUCUCACCUAAACUAAAACCUUUAAAGGCAUGUUUGUUUCAACGUAAGUAGACUUGGGGUGGAAGUGGACUUUGGGUUGAAGUGAAGUUAGGGUGAAAAUUAAUUCACUUUCGCUGUUUGUUUCUAACUGUGAAAGUGUAGUUCUGCGAGUUCUGUUGUUUGUUUGGUAAGAAGUAGAUGACGUAAAAAGUGUAGUUCUCUACUCCCGAUAUACUUACCUCUAAAGUAAUAUUAUUGUCUAUUUUGUAACUUAGUGAAUAAUAAAUUAUAAUAAAUAAAAAUUAAUAUAAUUAUAUAUGUAUAUAAUUAUAUAUAUGUAUAAUUAUAAAAUAAAAUUUUAAAAAAUUAUAUUAUUUGUUUGCAUAUAAAUUAUAAUAAUGCGACAAAUAAAAUUCUAAAGUUAAAAAAUUAUUAACAAUUUAACAAAUUCAUUUUUCAUCAUUUUCUAAAUAUACAAAUUAAACAAAAAAUAUAUUAAAACUUACUUAACCAAAUUUGAUCAUAUUUUAGACAUACAUUCAAAAUAAAAAAUUUAAUUACUUCCACAAUUGAAUAUAUUUGCAUGAAAGGAAAGGGUAGAGAAGAGGAUAACCCUAACACAUCAAUUCCCACUCUUGUCUCUUUUCACCUCACCGAAAUUGACUUCGCUCUAUGAGAGGGGGAAGUCAAUUUCAUUAAUUUAGGUGAACUAGACUUUUGGGCGUAACAAAAUUGCGGUAAACCAAAUAACGAAAGUGGUCAGUUUUUACCGAAAAUUACUUUUCCCUUCCCACUUCCACCCCACUUUCGUACAAACAAAUAAGCCCUAACUGUUGUUCUCUCCCUUUCAAGGAGUGACCCCACUUUCUCUCUCACUUUCUGCCAGCUUUUUCCAGGGGGAUAUAUAGAAAUAUCACUUUCCUACACUAAAACCUUAACUCUCUCUCUCUCUCUCUCUCUCUCUCUAUAUAUAUAUAUACACACAUAGUCCAACAAUGCUACUUUUAAAAGUACCAAAUAAUUGGUACUUGUAAAUUUUUUUAUGAUUGGAUCUAUUUCUUUAAUCAAUUUCACUCCUUAAAUUAUGCUAAUCCAUAAACCACCAACUCAAUUUUAGAAGACCACUAUUAUUCCAAGAGUACAUUUCUUAAUCUAAGGGCCGAAAAUGUAAAAGCACUAAUGACUUGAUACUUUUAAAACCAUAAGAACUCAAUUAUAUAUAUAUAUAUAUAUAUAUAUAUAUAUAUAGUGUUUAUUUUUCUAGCUGUAGAAAGAAAAAGGCAUCAUUUUUCUGAAGUUCUAUUCGCAAGAAACAAAAUUGGCACACUUGAUAAUUAAAUUGCUUAUCUAGAAGAUGACAUACAUCUUAAUAAAUAGCGGAGAUUAGAUUGAUUAGUUUUUAUACAAAAUUAUCAGCAUGCUCAAAAAAUCGAAGGAAAAAAGAAAGAAGAAGAAUAAUCCCUUCAAUUGGGUGCCCAACUGCACACGCUGAAGCCCCUGAGGAGCCGAGCCAAGGCUAGGAAGUAAUAGUCAGGGAAAAGCAUUACACCUACUCUCUCUCUCUCUCUCUCUCUCUCUCUCUCUCUCUCGUUCUUUUAAGAAGUGACCAAGUUUGAGUUUUUCCUAGUAUGACUCAGUCAAUUAGAUAUUAGAGAAAAAUUUAAAUCUUAAUUAUUUGAUUGUUAUUAGGAUUUGGAGUUAUAUUAGAUUAUAAUUUAUACUUUUUUGGGCCUAUAUAUGAAGAAAAGAGAUCAACCGGUUCAAAUCUGAGCACAUCCCUUUCUUCGAUGUGUAAGAAAACGAAAAUCCAAAUUUUCUGCACAUCCAAGAUCACACAAAUAGAAGAAAAGAACGAAGAACUAGAAAAGUCACAAUAACAAGCACAAACAACUCCAAAUAUGAAUUUAGCCAACUUCUCCAGAAAAAUCAAAACACCAGACAAUAAAAAACUAAAAAUUUAAUACCAAAUAAAAACUUCAACCCAAAGCACUUUACAGUGAAAGUUCACGAGAGAAGAAAAGAGGCUGAUAAAAUAUUACCCAUCUCAAAUCUAAGCAAAAUAUAUAUGUACUGAAAAAAUAUAUAUAUGUUUCUCUCUCUACUUGACUCUCAUAUGACUCAAUUUGACUCAAAAGAGAAAAGGUUAAAAAAAAAAAUCUGUUUAAACAUUUGAUCCAAUGGAUUCCCACAAAUACUAUUACUAAUCAAAUGUAAUAGAAAAAAUAAAAAUAAAUAAAUUUAGCAUAUAUAUAUAUAUAUAUAUAUAUAUAUAUAUAUAGGCCGUGGCUACUAUACUAUUAUGAGUAUUGGAGCCCUCGUACUCAUAAGUUGUUUUCGAUGAUGGAGCUUCCGAAUCGACGAUCCACUCUGUUAAAUAUGAUCUAGAGUAUUUGAAACUUCUAAAAAAUAAAUUUCGUAAAGUUUCGAAAUCAUAAUAAAGUCCAUCAAGUAGGUAUAAAAUGAACGGUCAAAAUCGAACGACGUCCUAAAAAAGGAUGAUCGGAUCCUUCAAUUCAAGAUCGGAGUUAUUGAUCUUUAUUUAGGUAGUGAAUAGAAUUUUCUAUCAAAAAUUCAACAAAUUCCGAUUCUUUUACACCGUUAAACUAGCAAGUAUCCCAUACCGGCCAUUAAAAAUUGUCAAAUUUGUGAGCUCUUGAUCGUAAGGUAAAUGAUGUCGAAAAAUUAUAAAAUUUGAUUUCUAGAAGUUUUAAAUGAUGUAAAUAACGUUUAACGGUAUGGAUCGUCGAUUCGGAAGUUCUAUCAUCGAAAACGAUUUAUGAGUACGAGAGCAAUCGUACUCAUAAUAUAUAUAUAUAUAUAUAUAUAUAUAUAUAUAGAGAGAGAGAGAGAGAGAGAGAGAGAGAGAGAGAGAGAGAGAGAGAGAGAGAGAGAGGAGCGCCGCUGUGCUCUCCGUGCUCCUGAGCCGUUUUCGAUGAUAGAAUUUUCGAAUCAACGAUCGGCUCCGUUAGACUUGAUCUACCGCAUUUGAAGUUUUUAGAAAAUAAUUUUUGCAAUUUUUUGAUAUCAUUUACCUAGCAAUCAAAAGGAUUCAAAAUCAAUAAUUUUUAACGGCUGAAAAUAAAAAUUUUAUAAAACGUGGUAAUAUAGCGCUAAAAUUUUUAAUCAGAAAUAUUGAUCUUAUUGUAGAUAGUAUAAAGAAUUUUGUAUCAAAAUUUCAUCUGAUUUGAAUACUUCUACACCGUUAAACUUGAAAACGACAAAUAUCAAUCAGUAAAAAUUAUUGAUUUUGAACCCUUUCGAUCACUACGUAAAUGAUAUCAAAAAAUCGCAAAAUUUAUUUUCUAGAAACUUCAAAUAUGCUAAAUCAAUUCUAACGGAGCCGAUCGUCGAUUCGAAAAUUUCAUCAUCGAAAACGGCUUAGGAGCACGGAGGCCUCCGUGCUUCUGAGAGCACAGCAGUCCUACUCUCUCUCUCUCUCUCUCUCUCUCUCUCUCUCUCUCUCUCUCUCUCUCUCUCUCUAUAUAUAUAUAUAUAUAUAUAUAUAUAUGCAAGAUGUUGUGAUAUGGUGGACCACUGCUUAUUAAGUCCCCUAAUAACUAGGAUUUUCAACGCCCCACCGAGUAGGAGCGAAACUCUCUAGCGUGAAGGUCAUUGUCGAAUUAAUAUUUUUCAAUAUAUUUUUUAAAUUUAAUUUUAUGAAAUUAAUUUUUAAAUUCAGGAAACAGUAGUAGUUUAUUUGAUAUGAACACAUUGUAAGAAAAGGAAUAUAUAUGUGUUAUUAUGCUUUUAUUUCUUAUAAAGAAUCUUUUUUUUCAUGAAAAAUAUCGAAUUCUUUUCUUACGCCUUUAUGCCUUUGUACGUAGUAUAUUAUUUUUUUUCUAAAAAAAGACGAAAGGAGAGGCGUAGAAAAGUCUUUGGAAUAUUCUUCGGCAAAUACAAAUCUAUCUAUCUUUGUUCUUUAACUACAUUAAAAGAGGGUUUGGGGACCUAAGGAUGGCACGUGCCCCCACCCUCUCUCUCUUUCUAUAUAUAUAUAUAUAUAUAUAGAGUUAGGCUGGUAUGCUAUCGGUAGCACGAAGGUCUCUGUGCUAUCAAAUUAUUUUUAAUGAUGUGGCUCUCAAAUCGACGAUCGGUUCCGUUAGACUUGAUCUAUAUUAUCAAAAGUAUUUGGAAAAUAAAUUUCAUAUUUUUUCGAUAUCAUUUGGCUAGUGAUCAAAAGGUCUCAAAAUUAACAAUUUUAACGGUAGAUGUGAUGCAUUUGUGAAUUUAACGGUAUAAAACAAUUCAAAUCUGAUGAAAUUUUUAUAGAAAAUUCUUUUCACUAUUUAGAGUAAGAUCAGUACCUCUGAUCUUAAAUUCAAGUCUUUUAUUAUUAUUUUCUAUGAGAUUUUUAUUUUCAGUCGUUUAUUUUUAGACUACUCGUUUGAUGAGUAAAUGAUGCCGAAAAAUAAUGAAAUUUAAUUUUCAAAUACUUUAAAUAUUUUAGAUCAAGUCUAACGGAGCCGAUUGUCGGUUUGGAAGCCGCAUCAUUGAAAACAACUUGGUAGCACAAAGGUCUCCGUACUACCGAUAGUAUACCAGCCUAGCUCUAUAUAUAAUUGAGCUCCUAUACUUUUAAAAGUCCCAAGUUGUUGGUGCUUGUAGAUUUUUGACCAUUAGAUUAAGGGAUGUACGGUUAGGAUGAUAUAGCCCCCCUAGGGUUGAGUGGGUGAUUGGUUCAAUAGUAUAAUCUAACGGUGAAAAUGAUAAAAUGUGUAGAUUUAACGGUAAAAAAUUUAUAACAUAUUUUUUAAGAAUUCUCUCUCUCACUCUUUCUCUCUCUCUCUCUCUCUCCUCCGUGCGUAAAAUUAUAUUUCGUAUAUAGUAGUGAAUCUAGUAGUGAAUCGAUUAUAACGUAUUUUUUAUGAUAUUAGCUAAAAAUAAAGAAGCAUAUUUCUAUGUAAUUUCGUCUCCCGUCCGUUUUACCUAUUACUGUUAGAUAAAGCUUUACUGCCAGACAAUACAUAUCUCAUAUUUGGCCCCAUAAAUUUUUUUAAAGUAUUUUUAAAUAUGAUUAUAUAUAAUUAGAUAUGUUGAUAGAGGGGCAUUUCAAUUUUUAUUAUGGUUGAUUAUGUAGACAAUAAUAACUAGAUGGAUCUAAAUCACCAAUCCAAAAUAUUUAAGUCUAGUUAUUAUUAAUUUCUAUGGUGGAGGCGUCUUAUGAUCAGAUUAAGAAUGAUAUUUAACUCUAAUAUCAAUUAUAACAAUCCGGCCUGCUAACAAUAAUAACUCGAUGGGCUCAAAUCACCAGUCCAAAAUACUUAAAUUCAGUUAUUAUUACUAUGAUGGAUGUCUCACAUAUUCCAAUUAGAAUCAAUUUUCUAUCAUAUGUGGGACAAUUGGGAUGUUAUUAUUGCUAGUAGACUGGAUCGUUACAAUUGGUAUCAUAGCGAAAUACCGACAGAAAGUGUGAAAAUUAAGUGCUAUGCGGGGCAAAAUGCUAUACUACGGGUUUGUAGAAGCCACCUCUUGAACCGGCAGAGUCACUUAUAGAAUCUUACAUCAUCGGUAUUUUUGGUCUAUAUAUUUGUGAUCCGAUUUGGAUCUGACGAGAACGUAAGUAUCUAAACGGGGAGAGUCUAACACCACAAUAGUCUCAUAUAGGAUGGAAAAAAAAUUCUUAUUUCCAAUAUAUAAGGCCUUACGUCCUAAUAAUAAUAAUUGGGCUUAAAUAUUUUGGAUCUAUUAUUUGGAUCUAAUCUAACGAAUUAUUAUUGUUAUCAGGUUGGAUCCGAGUUAUAAUUGUUAGUAGGUUGGAUCGUUGUACUAACAAAAAUAAAAAAUAUAAUAAUGCCAAGCAAGGCCUUAAGGUUAAAUUAUUUACUUUCGAAUAUCCAUCAGCUUUCUCAUAAGGGCAACUUUGUGUUCAAUAGUUAAAUACUAGUGAAAUAUCCGCGCGAUACUAUAGAUAUAAAAAGAUUUUUAUAAUAAAUUUUAUUUUUUUUAAUAUUUUUAUAUAGUUUUAUAAAUUUAAUUAUUAAUUAAAUAAAAAUUAUAUAAAAAUAAUUUAAUAGUUAAAUCUAUUUAAAUAAAAGUCAUUAAAAUUAAUAUAUGCGCAAAGUAAAUUUAUACAAUAAUUUAUUUUAUAAAAAUUUAUAUGAAAAAAGAUUUGAGAUAAAUCUAUCAAAAUAAUUUAAAAAAAUCAAUAAAUAGAAGAAAAUUAAAAUUGUAGAAGAUAUUGUUUAAUAAAAUUAAUUAUAUAUACACACAUACACUAUAUUUCUAAAAUUUUACUUCUGAAAUUUAAAUUCUGUAUUUUUUUUUUAUACAAUGAAAUUUUAGGGCGUAAUUUAAAUUCAUCUAUCAAUAGAUUUUAUUACGCAAUUUUAUUAUGAUGUAUAUUAAUAAAUUAAAUAAUUAUAUUAUAAUAUAAUUAAUAUUAUAUAUGAUAAUGUAAAAAAAAUUUAAUUAAUGUAAUUAAUUUCAUAGAGUUUAGUAGAAUUUUAAAAUUUUAGACUUUCGAAAGCUUAAAAUUGAAUAAAUUUAUAUAGUUAAAAUUUAAUCAUUUAAAUUUAAUAUAAAAUAAAAUUUAAAAUUUAAAUUUGAAGUAUCUAAAAUUUAAAUUUUGAUAUCAAAAAUUAAAAGCUUUAUAUACUAAUUAUAAUAUAUAUAUAUAUAAUAUAUAUAUAUACUAAUAUAUAUAUAUAUAGUACGAGAGUGAGGGCUCACUAUGCUAUCGGAAGGCAAGGCGGAGGGCGCCCAGGCUGGGGAGAAUUUUUGGAGUCCUCGUGCUCUUCAGCAAUCGGCGUUCGAUAGUUGCGACUUCGAAUCGAGUCGAUGGCGGCCACUCCGUUAAAUCUUGAUCUAAGAGUAUUGUGAAGUAGCUAGCAAAAAAAUUUUAUGAUUUGCAUACAUCAAUUUGCCCUAGUGAACGAAGAGAGCUCAAUACAUCAAAAGGGCUGAAAAUAAAAAUGCUUACAAAAAUGUAAUAAACUGACAUUAAAAUUUAAAUCAAAUCUCAAGAUAUUGAUCUGUUUAUAUAGUAUAGAAGAAUUUUCUAUCAAAAUUUCACCGUGAUUUGAUAUUUUAACUAUCACGUAAAGCUUGCAAACGCACGUCUACGGUUCUCAUUGAAAUUUGUUGAUUUUGAGCUGCCAUUCGAUCAAUUAGGCAAAUAGAUAUGAAAAAUAAUAUAGAUUAUUUUCUAGGUGACUCCAAAUAGCUCUAGAUCAAGUUUAACGGAGCCGAUGACGACGAUUCGAAAGUCAGGUGCACAAUCGAAAACAAGCUGGAAGCAAGCGGAAGGUUCCAGUGCUUGCCGAUAGCAUAGGACCUCACUGCUACUCCUACUCAAUCUGCAUCUCUCUGCGCCAUCAUCCAUCCUUCCUCUAUAUAUAUAUAUAUAUAUAUAUAUAUAUAUAUAGAGUAGGACUGCUGUGCUCUGAGGAGCACGGGGGCCUCCGUGCUCCUAAGCCGUUUUCGAUGAUGGAAUUUUCGAAUCAACGAUCGGCUCCGUUAGACUUGAUCUAGCGUAUUUGAAGUUUCUAGAAAAUAAUUUUUGCGAUUUUUCAAUAUCAUUUACCUAGCAAUCGAAAGGAUUCAAAAUCAAUAAUUUUUAACGGCUGAAAAUAAAAAUCCUAUAAAAAGUGGUCAUAUAGCACUAAAAUUUUCGAUCAGAAAUAUUGAUCUUGUUGUAGAUAGUAUAAAGAAUUUUAUAUCAAAAUUUCAUCUGAUUUGAAUACUUCUAUACCGUUAAACUUGAAAAAUGCCUUGUCCAGGUGCUCCCGGUGCAGAUAUAAAGUGGUCAUAUAUUCUCGUUUUCGAUCUUAGGGUGUUCAAAUCAACGAUCCACACCGUUAAAACUGAUCUAGGGUAUUUAAAAUUUUUAGAAAUAAAAUUUUAUAUUUUUUCGACAUAGUUUACUUUGUGGUCAAAUCAUUUUAAAAUUGUCAAUUUUCAAUGACUACUAUAGUGAGUUUGGAGUUUAACGGUGUAGAAGAAUCUAAAUUUCUUCGAAUUUUGAUUGAAAAUAUUUUAAACUAUCUAGAUUAAGGUUAACAUUCUUGAUCUUGAAUUUGAAAGUCCUAUGCUCAAAUUUUAAAGAAUAUUCAAUUUUCACCGUCCAUUUUAACAUAAUUUAUUUACUAAGUAAACGAUGUCGAAAAAAACUAAAAUUUUAUUCCUAAGAACUUUAUAUACUCUAGAUCAUAUUUAACGGUAUUUAUCGUUAAUUUGAACACGUUAAGAUCGAAAAUAAGACUAUAGUAUCGGAGCUCCGAUACUAUAGAUAGUAUAGUAGCCUAAUUCUAUAUGUAUAUAUAUUUUUACUAUUUGAGUUCUAGGCCAAUCCAAAUAUGAAUAUAUCUAAUAUUUUAUGAAUUUUAAUUAUUAAAGUAAGAUUCUAAUUUUCUUUCAAUAUUUUAAGACCGACAAUCUAGCUUACUAUUUACGAGUGAGUUUGUGUUCAGCUGGUGUAAUAAAUAAGCAAAAAAGAAGUAGCUUCUUCUUCUGAAUUUGUGAUACUAUUUCUAUUGAGUCCAUACCAUCGGAAGAUCUGUCAAUUCGAAAGAAAAUUGUUACAUUAGCAUUUAUUUCGGCAACAUUAACAUAUUCAGCAACCAAACUUUGAAUUGCGGCCAAACAUGAAAAUUAUUGAAAAAAAGAGGAGGGGAGAAAAAAACAAAGGUUUUGGCUUCUCAUGCUAUCUCUUUGAACCACCACCACACCCUUCAGUGUCAUCACUUGGCAUCUUAAUCCAUUCACUGCUCCUCCCUCUGCUCCUUCCACAAGUACAUGCUUGUUUGUUUAUAUGAUGGGGACAUGACCAAGAUAAAAGAGAAAGAGGAGGAAUAAUGAGAAGAACAUGAAAGGUUAUUGAAGGCUCAAGUUUCCUUUUAAGCUACAAAAAUGGUGGGGGUUGAUGAGGAUGCUGCAGCUCCUCCUACUACCAAUCCAAAGAAGCAGCAGUUACUCUCAUCUGCUAUGAAGAGAACCACUGAAUGGUCUCCCCCUCUUGCUCUCUUACUUUUUUUUUUUUUUUUGUUAUGUGCAGUUCAUUAAAGAAGAUAAGAAAAAGUACAUAGUAUGAACACUCACUAUCCUAUUUCAUUCACCUUUUAACCUUUUCAACUACUGUUGCUGUGUUUCCAAAUUGAUAUGUUUUGCUUGUUUUGUUGUGUAUUUGAAGAAGCAGCAGUUACUCUCAUCUGCUAUGAAGAGAACCACUGAAUGGUCUCCCCCUCUUGCUCUCUUACUUUGUGAUUUUUUUUUGUUAUGUGCAGUUCAUUAAAGAAGAUAAGAAAAAGUACAUAGUAUGAACACUCACUAUCCUAUUUCAUUCACCUUUUAACCUUUUCAACUACUGUUGCUGUGUUUCCAAAUUGAUAUGUUUUGCUUGUUUUGUUGUGUAUUUGAAGAUACAUAGGUUGCUUUUAUUACUGUGUUUUUACAGUACUUGCACACAAAAGAAAAUCACAAAAUUUCUUUAUUAUUAUUUUUAUAGGAUUUUUUCACAAGACAUUCCCAGUGACAUCACUGUUCAGGUUGGAGAUGCCACCUUCAACUUACACAAGGUGCUUUAAAUAUGUGAGAAAGUAAUAUAAUCUCCAAACUGUUUUAUUAGAGCCCAACUCAAAUGUUGAGUUCAAUCCCUUCUUGCAGUUUCCUUUGAUUUCCAGAUGUGGUAAACUAAGGAAGUUGAUCUCCCAAUCCAAUGACGCGCAAAUCUCCUAUAUCGAAAUCCCCGACGUGCCUGGCGGGCCCGAAGCAUUCGAAUUGGCGGCGAGAUACUGCUACGGACUAAACUUCGAAAUCACGACGGAAAACAUCGCGACGCUCCGUUGCGCAGCUGAAUAUCUCGAAAUGAACGAAGACUACGUGAUCGGAAACCUGAUCAGCCAAACAGAAGCAUUCCUAGAGGAAGUAGCAUUGAUGAGCCUCUCGAAUGCCGUAAAUGUGCUGCGCAAAUCUGAAGAGCUUCUUCCGAUCUCUGAGAAAGUGAAACUAGUCAGUAGGUGUAUCGAUGCGAUCGCGUACAUAACCUGCAACGAUAGCCAGCUCUGCUUAUCGCUGAGGGGUGAGAGUAGCCAUGAGAGUGCGGGCGCUUCUCUGGCGUCGCAGCCGAAGGCGAUUGUGGAGUGGUGGGCUGAGGAGCUGACGGUGUUGAGGAUCGAUACGUUUCAAAGAGUUCUCGUGGCGAUGAAGGCGCGGGGGCUUAAGGAGUACGCACUCGGGCCGCUUAUCAUGCUAUAUGCGCAGAAGUCUCUGCGAGGCUUGGUGAGUUGCCUAGUUUAUAAGUGAACAACAUUAUAGUUUGAAUCUCAUAUCCAAAACUGUUAUUUGAAUCUUUAUGAAUAGUAAUGUUUCAUAUGUGUGUAACAUAUUCCUCUGCAUCUAUCGACACCGGAAACUCGGUGCAGGACAUAUUCGGGAGGGGAAGGAAAAGGAUCGAGCCGAAACAAGAGCACGAGAAAAGGGUGGUCCUCGAAACCAUCGUGAGCCUUUUGCCGAGGGAGAGGAACACAAUGUCGGUAAGCUUUCUAUCGAUGCUUCUGAGGGCGGCGAUAUAUCUCGAAACAACCAUAGCCUGCAGGCUUGAUCUGGAGAAGAGGAUGGCCCUGCAACUAGGCCAGGCUGUUCUAGAUGAUCUGCUGAUCCCUUCCUCUUCCUGCAACGGCGACACGAUUUUCGACGUGGAUACAGUCCAGAGGAUCCUGAUGAACUACCUCGAGCUCGAGGCGGAGGGGAGUCGGUUGGGUUAUACGACCGACGACGAUUUCAUUUCUCCGCCGCCUCUGAGAAUCAGCGACGUAGAGCAGGUUGGAAGGCUCAUGGAGAUCUACUUAGCUGAAAUAGCUUCUGACCAGAACUUGAGUCUUGUGAGGUUCAUCGGCCUCGCUGAACUGAUCCCUGAACAAGCAAGAGUUACCGAAGACGGCACGUACAGAGCGAUUGAUAUAUACUUGAAGGUGCAUUGCAUUUUCAACUUACAAAUUUCUCGCAUGUUCGUCUCUUGAGGCGUGCAAUUUGAAAUGUAAUGCUAGAUUUAGUGAUCUCCUAGUAGUAAUGGACACUAUAAUCUUUGUGAUAGUAUAUCUUGUAUUGAUAUUCAUAGGCUCACCCAUCUUUAUCCGACGCGGAAAGGAAAAGGGUUUGCGCCUUGAUGGACUGCCAGAAGCUCUCAAGAGAAGCUUGUGCUCAUGCCGCUCAGAACGAUAGGCUCCCGGUGCAGAUAGUAGUCCAGGUGCUUUACUACGAACAGCAACGCCUUCGAGAUGCAAUGAGUGGUGGCUUCAUGUAUGGGGAUUCGCCUGCGCUUUCCUUAAAAGAGACUACAUUGGGGACUAGAUAUCACAAUCCACCGGACGAGCUGUCGCGCCUUCGACGAGAAAACGACGACCUCAAAAUGGAAGUCCUGAAGAUGAAAAUGCAAUUGAAAGAAUUAGGCAAUCGUUCGGGAAGCAUACCGUCUGCGAAUAAGCCUCCGCUGCCGAAGAAGUCGUUCAUCGACUCCGUUUCUAAGAAGCUCGGGCGCCUCCCGUUUAUGCGUUCGGAUAGCGUUAAGCCUACAAAAACAAAAGCAAAGCCUCCAAAAGACCGAAGGCACUCGAUCUCUUGAUGUAUCAGUGAUUUGCUGAAUUUUCUCUACCUCUUGAAUUCAUAGGUGUUUCAUCUGUAAAAUUGUUGCAUCUUUAAUUGUGUUGAGACUUGAGAGGUAAUUGAUGAAAAAUGUCAUGUUAAUCUUUUUGAGGUUUGAAGAAAGAUGAUAGUUCUGUGGAGUCAUGUAAUUAUCUUUGGUCGCUUCAUGUACAUAGUAACAUUGUCAUAAAUUGGCUAUAUUUGAUCCUGCUCAAUAGCUAUGAGUUUAUAGAAGUUCACUUGUUCUUUUGCGCUGCUAAUAUUACUGAUACAUCAGUUCAUGAAUUGAGUAAGAAUGAGGUAAGCAUCCUGUUGGGGGGGAUUGUAGGCUUAAAGGAGCCGGCAUCCUGCAAUUAGGAUUAAUGGUUAGCGCCAAUGAUCCGACAAUAUGUACCUAAACUAACAACAGCGACAAAUACAUUAAUAGAGGAUACGAUGUUCGCAUUUGGAGCAUAUCAUUAUACAAAAAGCGUUUAUCGCGAAAAGUCUAAUGACAUGACACCCUCGAACCGGAAAAUGAAAUAAUUAAGAAGUAUGUAACAACUGCUGAUAUAAUCUGACAUUUUUAUCUUUGAUAAAAUUCCUGAAUGAUUACAUGGGAACUAACUAACAACAUCAGACAUGUUAAUAAAAGGAUAUGAUACUAGCAUCCAGAGAAGUCUAAUAAGCAUGAUUAAUGAUGGAGAGUGAUAGAUCAUUGGCAUCCAGGAUCAUAGGAUUGACAAGUGAUGAUCAAUUAAUGCGGAGUGAUGGAGUAUCCAGAGAAGUCUAAUAAGCAUGAUUAAUGAUGGAGAGUGAUAGAUCAUUGGCAUUCGAUUAAUAUAUAAUAAGAUAUCGUACAAUGAUUAUAUACAUCUAUCAAAGUUCUAAUCAACCAUCCGUUAUCUCAAUUUCGUGCAUUAUAUGUGAUGAAUUAUUGAUUAGACUGUCUUUCUGUGGGGAGGCUCCCUAUAUAAUUUUUUUUCCCUUUUAUACUUCUUUAGCAGUUGACUGAACGGAGGACGACAUCGUUGUAUGAAGUGAUCGCAAUUCUAAACUUGAAAUUGGAAUGUUUUACUUCGCUGUAACCACAAAUUAGGAAGAUACAGAUAAACUAUAUGCAAAAUUAAGUUCAUUAUGCUAUGCUAUGUUCAAAUUUAAACAUUGGUAGAACCAAGGAGGAUGCUUUAGCCCAUCCUGCUUCAUAUGAUCAUCGAUAUUAAAUCCGCUCUUCCUCUCAUUCUGAAGCCUCGGAGCUACAUUAGAUUGCUGAAACAGUCCCCGUCUGUUGUUAUUUACUAUCUGCCCCCCAGAGUCGGUCGAAGAUGAAGAAAAGCUCGGCCCAGAAUCCGUAGUAAGUGAUGUCUCUUUCCUUCUCUUCUGGUUUCCGCUGAUUCCUGUUGCGAGUGUCAGCUCUAGAUCACUCUCUUCAUAUUCAUUCUCAUUAUAUUCUUGUGCAGGGACUUCAAACGAAGGCUUCGUCCGAUCCGAGUAAUGAUAAGAUGGCUGAUUUGCGUCCUUCAUAUGUGUCAUUAGCUGCUUCUGAACACGAUAAAGGCGGUGGAGUUCACGAACCUGAAUCGAGCAUUUGAAAUGAAAAGUUAAUGAAAAUCCUUCGAGAAUGGGCAGCGAUGGGCAUUAAUCGAACAAUGGUAAGGCUUGUCAUGUGCUCUUUACCUGUUGUCUGAAUGUUUCUUCAUGCUUCAGUAUAGCGAUCUUCAUGCAUUCCUUUUCGUUCCGUUCUAAGUUCUCCUUCAUUUCUUCUUAAAUUAUUUCAAAUUUAGCUAUGAUACACUCUGCAAUGGUUAGUUGAGUCGCAAAUAAUCACAGCAUUGCCUGUUCCUGUCACUAUCUAAUUUGCCGCCGACUCUGUUCUCUUCCCUGCCCAAAAAUAAUUUCAGAGCCAUUACAUAAGUAUUUUACAGUGAUUUAAUAACCAAAUCAAGUGAAUUUAUUCACUGCCUAAUCAAUUACAUAACUCAAAAAACUGGAAAUAUGAAAAACCGGAAGUGUAACCGAAUAACUUCUUCAGCCAUUUCUUUUGUUAACUAUCGCAAAUGUCGUUGUUAAUGCAAAAUCCUAUGUUAUUUCACUGUUAUUAGAAUGUUUGGUGAAAAACUUUGUUGUUUAAAUUAGUUUCUUCUCCAAAAUCUAGCUGGAAAUAUUUAUUAUCCGGGACUAGGUCAGAUCUAGAAUGAGGAUUGGUUUACAAUAUAAUUUAGAAUGAGUAUUCCAAAGUAAUCUCUUUGAAGGAACACAUAAGUAGUUCUCAUAAGUUGUUCACUAACUAAAAUUAACAGAGGAGCAAUCUUUCUAAUUAAACAUGAAAAAACAGGCAUAUCUUAACUGGAGAUACCAGAAAACAAAGAAACUUGAGAAAGAAAUAUGAGACCUUACAUAUGUACAAAAUCAAGGCAAAAAGUAAACAUAGGGGGAGUUUAAAUCUCCCAGCAACUCAUAUAUUAAACAUAUUUCAUUUAACUAUGAACACAAUUCGGUUUUCGAAAAGAAAAUAGGAACUCAUAAGGCAUUUGAAGAUUAAAAAAUAUAACAUAUAAAAAAAGGGGACAAUUCCUCCAUUUUCUACAAAAAUGAGACAUUGUUUUUUUAGCCAAAAAAACAAAUUUCAUGAAAUUCUCUUAUGGCACAAACUUACAAGCUCUUGCAUGGUAAAAGCAGCAGCAGAAAAAUAGCUGUGCAGAAGACCAUCUAACUCUUUUCAGAAAAGAAAAAUGAAAAGAGGUAACAAAAGGCUUCAUGCAGAGCUUGUUUACUUACCAUGCUAAGUUGCAAAGCAAGAUGAUAUAAAGUGAAAAAGAGAAUUCUUAAAAAUAACUCAUGGAAAGGAGAGAGAGAGAGAGAGAGAGAGAGAGAGAGAGAGAGAGAGAGAGAGAGAUAAUCACAAGAUCAUGAUUCUCACCUGAGAAAUUCUAUGAUCAACUUUUUUUUUUUUUUUUUUUUUCUUUCCUCCUUGUUGUCUCAAUCUUAGGUUCUACUCAAUCUAGUUAUUAUUUGAAGCAGAUGAGGGGAUUGUAAGAUCCUAUCUACACAGACUCUCACCAGAAUAAAUAGUGGGCUCUCAAGGAUUGCCAACCAAAUCUAAGCAGCCCAGGCCAAAUGCAGGCCAAGAAAAGACAGAGAUAAUUAAAUAGGAGGGCCCACCUGUAAUAUAAUUAUUCAAAGAAAAUAUUAGGUAAAAAUGUAACAUAUGCCUUUUAAAUUAGACCACUCCUUUUAAAUGAGAAACCCUAUAGCUAUAGCCUAACAUUAAUGAUUGAAUUCAAUUGAGAAGAAGGUAAAAAAACAUACAUAACUUACCUCAAAUAUAGACCAAUUUGAACCAACUACUCAACCUUCAGAAUUUUAAUUCUAUUACUCGGUCUUUCAAUUUGUUUAACUUAAGUUAGUCUACAACGAUAUUUUGACUUUAAAAUUUAAAUGCAUUAUUUAUCUUUACUAAUUUAAUUAUGAUACUUCAUAUAAUUUUCGCAAAUCAAACAAAUUAAGAAAUUGGAUAGCAAAAUUAAAAUUUUGAAAUGUUGCCACAUAGUUCAGAUAAGUUCUGUAAGUUUUUACCUCAGAAAAAUAACUUGAAUUGUAAUAAUAGUUAAAUGUCGAGAUGCGUCCAUCAAAGAAAGUAAGUUGAAGGAGCUAUUUUAGAACGGCUUGUUUUCAAGGGGAUCUCCAUGCAUUUUUUCUAACCAAAAUAUUAUAAAUCACUAGCUAGUUCAAAAGAAUCAUUAAGCAGACAACUUAACAUGCAAUAUGGUAGAUCACACACUCACAUGUGCCCUUGAAUUCUAUGAUCAUAUAUAUAUAUACACCCAGUUGUCUCAGCACAUAAAUUAUUGCUUGAGUGUCUACUUAAUCUCCUCAUGUUAAUUAUUAACUAAUUUUAUGCUACCACAUGCUAUGGUGUUUGUGUGUGAGUGUGUAUAUAAGAGGUGGUGGGGAUGAGUUGGGCUGGGUAUAAAUUGGAGAUGAGACAUAAGUUUUUGUUGGUCCCAUCAAUUAGUUUUCUGGGGGGUCUUCACUGUAUAUAUUCUCUUGACUUUUUGGAGGGAUUCUUCUAAAUUUGGACAACUAAUAAGAAUCCAAAGGUGAGGGGACAUGGCAUGAUUCAUCCCAGAACAUGUUUCUCAUGCAUGUCAUCAUCUCUAUCAUCCAUUAGCUGGAUUUGUCCUCCUUGUUUGCUAGUGUAGUUGGUGGGUCAUCUUCUUACAAUUGUUAUGCCCCUCUUUAGUCCACAAGUCAAUUCCCAUUCACAAUGGUCCCACCACCCAAAAAAAAAAAAGAAAAGAUUAAUCCCUUAUAGUAACCUGGAAAUUUUUGGUUCAAUAGAGAGCUACUACAUUAUUGGUCUUCUAUUGUGUUGGAAUUGAGGGGGAUUUUGAGUGGAAUCUCUAUUGGAGGGGGUUAUAUAUAUGUGCUUUGACUUUAAAUUUUAAACUAAUUUCUUACUUUAAUGAAUUUAUAAUUACGAGAAUUGCAUGGAGUAUGCUAACUAAACUUGUAAAUAUAAACCACAUAUUCAAAAUUUGAAGUUAAAACAUGAACUUGGUUGAAUGGUUGGAUAGUAAAAUUAAAAUUUUGAAAAAUUGAAUAGCUGAUUCAGAAUAGUUCAUAGUUCAGAUAAGUUCUGUACGUUUUUACCAAAGAAAAUUCAAAUCUCAAGUCCACUUUCUUCUGCAAUAAGUUGUUUUGUUUUUCUAAUAUUUGAAUCUGCCUAUCUACUUGGGUUUUCCAACAUGAACUUGGUUGCAGUAGUUUUUAUGGUACAGUGAUUCAUUAAUUUGAAGUAGUGUACUGUGUGAGACAAAACUCAUAGCAUAAUGAUAAUAAACAAAUAAUUAUGACAUUUUAUCAAUCUAAUGCGGUACUGGUCCCUAUCUAGUUAGCAUAAACAAAAGAAAAAAAGUUCCUGGGUCGGUAUCAGGACGAUAAAUCGGUCAUAAAAUACGAUGAACGGUGAGAAUUAAUCCAUCGACAAAGACACUUCACCACUUCGCUUUCGAUCAUGAAUAACGCAACGAUAAUUCAUUUUUUUAGAGAGAUUACAGUAUAAUCAUCUAGUAGGCUUAGAAGUACUUAAUUAAUAUCCUUUACAUUCAUUCUGCUCAAAUCAAUCUAAAAAUUGAUUGGACUCAGAAUAUUGUCAUUGUUGCAUAUAUAUAUAUAUAUAUAUAUAUAUAUAUAUAUAUAUAUAUAUAUAGUAAAUAAAUAAUAUAUAUAUGAGUCCAUGCUAGAAUGCUUGUAAAAGCACCAAGUAGUUAGUGCUUGUAAGUUGUUUCCCGUUUACCGUUAAUCUACUUUCGCAUCGAAUUUUCAACCAUUAGAUUAUACUAUUCAACCAACCACCCACUCAAUCCUAGAGGACCCAAUCAUUCUAACCGCAUAUCUUUACUCCAAUGGCUAAAAAUGUACAAGCACCAAUAACUUGUUACUUUUAAAAAAUAGGGAGCUCAAUUCACUACAACAAAACGGUCUAUAGCGACACUUUUAAAUAUAGGUACAUGUCAAAAAAGUACUGCUAGCUAAAAUUACCGACACUUUUAAAAAGUGUUGCUAUAUGUGGGGUCGCUAGGUAUAUAGUGACAGUUAAAGAGUGUCGCUAUAAUCUAAAAGAGUGCUGCUAAUUUACCAACACUUAUUUAAGCAUUUAGCAACCGCCGAAACUUUAUCUCGUUGGUUGCGGUGGCAGAGGAGGACGACAGUAAAGACUCUUCGUUUAGAAUUUCAGUGGAUUGAGUGAAGAGAGAAGAAAAGAUGGUAAUUGAUUUUUCUUUUUUUUUUCUUUUCUGUUUGUAAUCGGGCCAAAUGGACUGGGUGUGGUGGAUUGAGUAGAGUAAUUUUUUAUUUUUGGUUGGAUCGGGCUUUAUAUUUAGGCACUAGUAGAUGUGUUUUUAAGUUUUAGAAUAAAUGGGACAUUUACUUAAAAGUGUCCCAAGCAUGUAUCCCUAUAACCUAAUUCUAUUGUAGUGAUUAUAUAUAUAUAUAUAUAUAUAUAUAUAUAUAUAUAUAUAUAUAUUCAAAAGGAUAAGGAGACAACUUGAUUGGUACAACAUUUAUUUGUCUAAUUAAUUAAGUUCCAUUAGGUAGAAACUAACGACUUGCAUGAUUAUGCCCAAAAAAACUAAAUAUUUCACAAUCCAAUGAGCUAAAAUAACUUAUGUAGAUCUUACCAAAGGUUAGGUACAUUCUCCAAUGGGGCUAACUACUUAGUCAUUUAUAAUUAAUAAUUGAUAUAUUAAAAAUGACUUUAAGAACAAGGGGGUGGCACAUGGGUUUGUGUGCAUCAUUGGCCUAAGUAAUAAUACAAAAGCUCCUUCCAUUUUCUUUGGGCUUGGUUUUUGUCCUUGGUGUGUACUCAGAUACAUAGAUCCUAUGUGUAUAUAUAUAUAUAUAUAGAGAGAGAGAGAGAGAGAGAGAGAGAGAGAGGAUCUGAUUCCUAUCAAUAAUGUGAACUGAAACCAAAGAAUAUUUGCACGUAGGAACUUAGAUGUGUGGGGAAACUCUGAUAACAAACACAUGCAUGUGGGGGUGGGACCUUGUGUGUGUGUAUAUAUAUAGGAGAUUUUGUUUUUUUAGAAAAAAGUAGCUUGUUACCGCUCUAUUCAUUAAAAUUAUGAACUAGGCUCUAUUCAUUUNUUUGAUCUGUUUCUUCCCUCCCCGAGGCCUUGGUUGUCUCACACCUGUAGCCUAGUUCAUACUUUCUAUAAAUGAAGCAGGUAGCGUGCUACCUUUUUCUCAAAAAAAUAAACCUCAGUUGAGAUAAAAAAAAAAGGUUUAACAAAAUACAAAGUAGCUACUUUGCCGAGGUGAAUUCUUCUCAUAAAUUUUUCAAGUAUCUGAUCUUAUCGACUGUUAUAAAAGAAUCUGUGUUAAUCAUUUUUAAAAAUCGUAUUGUUUCUAACAUUCCAAAUAGCCGACUAGCAGGCUAUCAGUUUGGUCAGCCUAGAAUGAGUAAGCUGAUUUCUAAAUGUCGAAAUUCACUUAUCCUAGACGUGGGACACUUCGUCACCUAGAUCUAUCGAUUGAAUCCCCUCUAAGACUGUCACUAUUAGGAAUUUAGUAAAUACACUAUCGAUUGAUCCCCUCUAAGACUGUCACUAUUAGGAAUUUAGUAAAUACACAUUGCGUGAAUUGAUGGUUCAUAGUUUUCUCUUCCAACCCGCAUAGUACAUAGGCUAUAGUUCUCAUCCAUCAUCUUUUAAAUAGGUUGUUCACUGUAAGAUGCCUCUUCUUAAGAACGAGUCAGGUAAAGAUUUUAACUCUCAAGAAUAUUUCGAGACUCUAAAUUUUACUAGCACGUGCGUCCCUCAUACCCCAUCACUAAGGGCGGCAUAUAUUGACUUAACGGUGAAACUUCUAUUGAAACUCCACUGUCAAGCCACUUCAUCCGGUCUCAAUUCUACCUUGAACCCUGAAAUUCUAUCCUUGAAUGCUAAGAUGCUAGGGUUACUUCCAUAGUCAAUAAUAGUGAUUUCUUUUUAAGGUCGUACUUCAUUUCCAUCCAUCGCUCGCCAUGCACAGUGAUUCCUCUUAGGAGAAAUUAUUGCAUUCACAUUGGGGUAUGCAUAUCCAAAACUCAAAUUUAGAAGUCUUGAAAUAAAAUAACCAAUUAAGCAUUGGGUAUGAUCUACAGUACUUAAAGUAUUGGCACUACAACAGAAUUAGAUUAUAGGGAUACAUGUUUGGGACACUUUUGAGUAAGUGUCCCAUUUAUGCUAAAAUUUAAAAAAAUAUCUGCUAAUGCCUAAAUAUAAAGCCCAAUCCAACCAAAAAUAAAAGAUUACUCUACUCAACCCACCACACCCAGUCCAUUUAGCCCGAUUACAAACAGAAAAGAAAAAAAAAAAAGAAAAAUUAAUUGCCAUCUUUUCUUCUCUCUUCACUCAAUCAACUGAAAUUCUAGACGAAAAGCCUUUCCUGUCGUCCUCCUCCGCCACCGCAGCCAACGAGAUAAAGUUUCGGCGGUUGCUAAAUGCUUAAAUAAGUAUUCGUAAAUUAGCAGCACUCUUUUAGGUUAUAGCGACACUUUUUAACUGUCACUAUAUACCUAGCGACCCCAUAUAUAGCAACACUUUUUAAAAGUGUCGGUAAUUUUAGCUAGCAGCACUUUUUUGAUAUGUACCUACAUUUAAAAGUGUCGCUAUAGACUGUUUUUGUUGUAGUGUGGUGGGUAGCUUUUAUAUAUUUUGGAUAAUUGAUUUUUUCAAAAUUAUGACCGUUUGUACUAUUUAUACAUUAUAAAUGAUAUCUAAUUUUAAUUUUUAAACUUUAAGACACCUUAGUUUGAGUGUUGAAAACGCUGACGAUGUUGAAUAUAAGAUGUUAAACCAUCGUUGUGCCAUAGUGAAAGCUUUUAGGGGGAAAAAAGAUUAUUUAAUAUAAAUUUUAUAUGAUAUACUAAAUGUGAAACCUAUGGGACAUUGUUUAAUUUUCUUUUUUUGAAUAAAUUUUCACGUAUGUUUUAUAUCUAUUAAAAAGUCUUUGACCCCGUUUGGAUUGGACACAAGAGGGGGAUGAGAGCCUUAUCCUCCCAAUUGUACCCAAACAAAAAUUUUUGGAUUGGAACAAGCUUGUUCCCACUAAAGCUUGUUCCUACUCACCCCCUGUUGCUAUAGAGAGAGAGAGACUUUUGUUUUAAAAUACAAUUUAAAUUUUUAAAAUUUGUAAUUUGAAAAUUAAAAUUUUAAAUUUUAAAUUUUAAAAUUUAAAGUUUAAAUUUUAAAUUUGAUAUUUUAAAAUUUUAAAUUUUUAAAUUUGAUAUUUUAUAUUUUGUAAAUUUAAAUUUGGUCUUAAAUUUAAAAUUUAAAAUUAUUUGAUAUUUUAAAAUUUUAAAUUUUUAAAUUUGAUAUUUUAUAUUUUGUAAAUUUAAAUUUGGUCUUAAAUUUAAAAUUUAAAAUUUAAAAUUUUUAAAUUUGAAGAUUUAAAUUUUAAAUUUUAAUUUUAAAUUUUAAAUUUUAAAAGUUAAAAGUUAAAAUUUUAAAUUCAAAAUUAUAAAUGUAAAAUUUAAAAAAUUAAAUUCAAAUAUAAUAAGAGGAAUAAUAUAAUUAUUUUUUAUUUAUAACUAUUCAUUAUUCUUCUUAUUCUAUUUUAUCCAUCCAAACACUAUUUUUUUUAUUCCCGAAAACAACCUAAUUUUCAUCCGAAUGCAAAAUUGGUCUAGUUUUCGUUUAUAAUUUAACUUGUAUCUAUCCCUGAAAUAAGUAGUUCUUACUUAAUUAUACCCAAACCAAAUGAAGCCUUUGAAUCCACGAAAUUAUUUUUUCAACGGAUAAUACUUUUUAGGCUAAAUUAUAGAAAAUCCUCUUAUAAUACUUUUUUUUUUUACUUUUCCUCCCCAACUAACUUUCAAAAUCUACAUUACCUCUCAACAUUUCAAGUUAUUGCAUAUAGCUCUCCCCUCCAUCAGGGUUUCAUCACUAUUCUGUAUAUUUCUUAUAAUUUAUAUCGAAAAUAUCCUUUAAGACGAUAGAAAUAUGUUAAAAAAUUAUUUUUUCUUAUAGACGAAGUAAUGCUAAUUUGAUUAUUUUAUCCUCUCUAUUAAUGUCGUAUUCCUUUAAAAAUAUUUCAGAAAUUUUAAAGGGGCAAAAUAUAGAUUUUUAAAAGUAAUGAAGCAAAGGUGAGUAAGCGGAUAUUUAUAAAAAAAUUUUAUAUAUUUUAUCCUACUUUUAAUUACAAAUUACCACUUUUAGUUCCGAAAGUUCCGCUUCUUCUUUAUAAGUUGUUUAUGUGUCAAAUUAACAAAAAAAUAAGUGAAACUCCCAAACUGCAUAAUGUAAAUAAGCCAAUCAAAAAUUCUCAUGUCAUCUAUGUCAGCAUAUCAGCAGUCUAUAAACGCACGUAGCAUUCUUUCUCUACAUUGUGGCUAUCCUUAUUGUUGGAAGCAUGAUUUUCUCUGAUACCUAUUAUUGGGAGCGUAAUUUUCUCUGAUAUUAAUUGUUGGAACUAGUAUUUGUGCUAAUACCGAUUAUAGAACCCAGAACAAAACAUAAUAUGAAGAAAAUAUAUUAUGGGAGGAAGAAAAAAAUAAAUUAAUACUUUAUUAAUAAAAAGUAAUUAAUUAUAUUCUGGACAAUACCCAUGGAAUUAUAUCUACCGUGACUUAUUCCUACGCCUAACUAUAUAUAACUAUCGAGUCAUAAGAGAUGAUAAAUCCAACUCUUACUUUGGAUAAGUAACCUAAUAUUUUUUGAUAAGUUUAGAUUUAUUUCUGUCAGAUUCAUCUCUUAAUAUUUUGUUGGUUAGACAUAAGAGAUAAGUUUAAAUCUUAUUCAAUUAUUAGUAUUAGGAUUUUAAUUUAUGUCUAUACAUUAAUACAUAUAUAUAUAUAUAUAUAUAUAUAUAAACUGCUGCAAAUGUGUGAAAAAUAAUUCACUACCGAAAUCUAGUCCAAGAAUAUUUAAUAAAAUUUUUAGUUUAAUUUGCUGCAAUACUCCUCUCCAAAUGAUAUCGAAGCAAAUUACGCUUCCAACACUUAGGGACCGUUUGGUUAGAUAUAAUUAUAAAUACAGUGUAGUUAGAGGCACAAGCAGUUGAAAAUGUAGCCGUUACAACUAUAUCCAUUCUGUUUGGUUAGAUGUAGUAGAAAAUGUUGCAAGUAUAAAUAAUUUAUUUGGUUGCAUGCAGUUGAGAUAUAAUUUCUAAAAUUUUAUUAUUUUAUAUAUAUGAUGGUGAGAUUACCUCCUAUGUAAAAAAUAAAAAAAAAAUUUGUUUAAAAAAUAAUUGAGCAGGUAAGUAUACCUUUUAUUUAAAGUUACUCUCUGAGUCUCUUCAACUACUGCGGCCAAUUUGGGUAUAGUUCGAACUGCCGUAUUUGGGCCUCCUGCAGUUUUUACUACACCAGUUGGAGUUAAAUAUAUUAAACUAAACACUAUAGGUAGCAUUUGGAUUGGGGAUAAGGAGUGGAAUAACCCCUUAUCCCCUCUUUAUACCCAAACGCUAAUUUUUUAUUCGAGAAUAGUAGUUCUCGGUUACCUAUAAUAACCGGAUAUAACUAUUCCCAUCAACAUCUCCAUUUUCUAUAUAUAACUACCCAUUAAUUUUCUUAUUCCAUAUUAUCUAUCCAAACGCUAUUUUUCUUAUUUCCGGAAAUAACCUAAUUUUCAUCCAAACGUUAUUUUUCUUAUCCCCAUACUUGUACCUAUUUCUGUAAUAGCUAGUUCUUACUUAUACCCGAACCAAACGCUACAUAGUUAUAACUACAGUGCAGUUACAACUGCAUACAACAAAACGGUCCCUUAGGGGGUGUUUGGUUCCCUGUAAAACUGGUCCGAAAAGUUUUUUUCGAUCGAAAAUUUUUUUUCCGAUGUUUGCUUACAAGUAAAAUUUUUUUUCGGAAAAAUUGUUUUACAGAUUCUCCGAAAAAACCCCAUUUUCGUUUUCCGCCAGGUUUUCGCGGGGGCGGAAAACGAAACUGGUCUCAAAAAAUCACGGCUCACAGGGCCUUGCGCGCACGCGGUCCAGGAGAUCAUCUUCAUCUCAUGGACCCGCGAGAGAGAGAGAGAGUCCACGGUGGACUCUCUCUUCCUCUUCCAUUAUAUAUAUAUAUAUAUAUAUAUAUAUAUAGUAAUUUAUUUUAUAAUAUUAAAUAUAUAUUAUUAUAUAUGAUAUUACAUAUUUAUUGUAUAAUAUGUUUUAAAUAUAUUUUAUUUAUAAAUAUAAACUAAAAAUAAUAAUAAAUAUAGUAUGAUAUUUAUUAUUUAUUAAUAAUAUAUAAUAAUAUAAAAUAAAAAAUAUAUAUAUUAAUUUAUUUUUAUAAUUUUUUCUUUCUUUUAUUUUUAAUCAACUAAACAACCGUAACGGAAAACUAAUUUUUUUUUCUACAAACCAAACGUUAAAGAGCGUAAAACCUUUUUUCCUCCGAAAAAAAUUUUCUGUGAAAAAUUUUUUUCCUCAAUUUUACGUGGAACCAAACACACCCUUAGCAGCAGAUAGCAUUCUGAUGACCGAGAGGGAAUUAAUAACCCUCUUCUUCUGCAUAUAAAAUACAAGAUUUUUCUGGGAACAAAGUUGUACCUACCAAAAUAUGGGCCUCUCUCUCUCUCUCUCUCUCUCUCUCUCCUAAUUCUCUUUUGGUUUCUUUCUUCUUUGUGAAGACACAAAUUCAAAUGAAUUAAUGGGAAGAGUAAACGGAGAGGGUGGGGGAGGUAAAAGGGGCCGACAUUUGAGCACGCGUUGCCGGAGGGGGGGAGAUUCACAGCCUGUAUGGGUGCGGUGGGUCCCACCCUCUUUUGGACCCUGCGAAGACGACGACGAAUCAGGGCCCCACAUCUUAUUAUGAUGGUUAAUGUCGAAAUUUUAUAGCUUUUCGCCUUUUCCGUUAAGUGAUCAAAUAUAAAAUCUUUAUUUCCGAAAAAAUCUGAAAAUUUUUCUAUAUCUUAAGAUGAAAUUUUAUAAAAAUACUACGUGCGUUUGUGUAUAUAUAUAUAUAUAUAUAUAUAUAUAUAGAGAGAGAGAGAGAGAGAGAGAGAGAGAGAGAGAGAGAGNUUGGGCCUUCCACUGCAGCCUUCUUACAAGUCCUAAACAAUUCAGACCUGUUAGUGAUUAAUAAUGUAAAAAAAAAUAAACACACAUACACAUACACACUUAAAUAGUGUAUACUUUUUAAUGUGUGUAAAGGAGAGAGAGAGAGAGAGAGAGAGAGAGAGAGAGAGAGUGAGUGUGUGAAUGAACGAAAGUUUUUAUUUUUUUAAAUUAUUUUUGAUAAUAAGACAUUUAAUUUGACAAUGGGUUCUAUUAGAAAUGAUCUACGUUGUCAUAAAACUAUCAAAAACUCAAAUUUUAUAUAUUUUUAAUAUUAUUUGUUUUAUUAUCGAAAAUAGUUUUAAAGUACGAAAACUUCCGUACUCUCUCUCUCUCUCUCUCUAUAUCUAUAUAUAUAUAUAUAUAUAUAGUUUAAGAGGCCUACCGCCAGAGUUUUCAUUUUUCGCUCUAGAGAAGUGAAGAACGAAAAAACUUAAGUUUUUCAAAAAAAAAUCCAUAAAACUAUUUUAUGAGGAAAUUUUUGUACAUUCAGAGGAACAAUCAGCUGAAAAAAUAUUUUUUGAGCCGAAAAUUGUGUUUUUUUUUUUUAGAGAGAGAUAAGUAACAUGCUACCCGUUUCGUUUAUUUUAUUUAGAAAUAAAUUUAGCUGAAAAUGUGAAUCAACUAGGAUUCGAACUUGGGUCUCGAGUACCAACUACCAAGCCCUUUGCCACUUGCUCUAUUGACUGCCGGUGAGCCAAAAAUAGUGUUAGAUCUCGUUUUACGAGGAACCAAAGGCACCGACAGCAGCAGAAAAUUGCAGAGUUAAAAAAUUCAGGGAAUUUAUGUGUGGUAAUGUUAAAAUGUUGACAGGGCCAGUACAUGAAUUUUGUUCCACAUUUCAAACCUGCGACUCUCAUUUAUAGAUUCUUUUCUCUGAGGAUCUUUGCUGUGGACACGAAGAAGGACCACAAUGAAGAAGCUCCAAAGAGAGAAAUUAAUGGCUCCUUGACCGCAGCAGCAGCAGCAGCAAAAAAUCAAACUAAGUAUGGGGUCUUAAAUUCGAGCUGCAGUUGGGAAAACCACUGAAGUAGGGAGUAUACGAGACUGUUUAAGCUAUGAAAGCUGUCAGUGACAUUUUAAUAGGCUCAAAACACGAAAAUACCGUAAAACUGUUGUUUCUCUCUAAAAAUUUAAAUUGUUAUAUUCAGUAUGUAUAGACCAUGUUAGCUCCUACAUUUACUUUUAGAAACCACAAACAACACAAUAAGAUCAGUGGAAAAGAACUAGACCGGUAUACUAUCAGUAGUAAGGAGGCAUCAGUCCUAUUAAGUUGUUCUCGAUGAUGCAGCUUUCAAAUUAACGAUCGGCUCCGUUAGACUUGGUCUACACUAUUAAAAGUAUUUGAAAACUUAAUUUUAUAUUUUUUCGACAUUAUUUGGCUAGUGAUCAAAAGGUUUCAAAAAUGACAAUUUUAAUGGCUGAUGUGUUGCGUUUGUGAAUUUAACGGUGUAAAACAAUCCGAAUCUGAUGAAUUUUUUAUAGAAAAUUUUUUUAUUAUUUAGAGUAAGACUAGUACCUCUAAUUUUAAAUUCAAGUCUUUUAUCAUCGUUUUUUAUGAGAUUUUUAUUUUCAGUUGUUCAUUUUUAGACUACUCGUUUGAUAGGUAAAUGAUAUUGAAAAAUUAUAAAAUUUAGUUUUCAAAUACUUUCAAUGGUGUAGAUCAAGUCUAACGGAGCCGAUCGUCGAUUUGGAAGCUGUAUUAUCGAAAAUAACUUGGUAGCACAAAGACUUUCGUGCUACCGAUAGUAUGCCAGUCGAACUCCACUGAAAAAAUUCACUUAUAAAUAACACAUAUAUAACCUAGAUCUGUCGCUGUCAUAAUUUUGUUUUCCUUUCCUUUUGACAGUGACACCGAUGCACUCAUUUUCAUGUACUAUUGCUUGCUAAUACAAGGAACUUAGAUAUUUCCUCAUUGCAUUUAAGAAAAAUAAAAAAAAAUAAAAAAACUACACUUGAUAUCAUCUCUUUACCCACUUUGAAUGCUAUAUUUAUGAAUAUAAACUAGCUACAUCUCUCACUAGGUCAACACAAAAUUGGUUCCAAACAAAAGACUAUAUACAUUUUGUCCACACUCUAACUUGUGUGUCCCACUUACACCUGAUCCACACAAGUGGAGCACUCUACUUGUUCCUUCGAAAGCAUAAUAAUGGGUUUAUAUUGGAGAGAUGAUGGUGAUGGAUGUGCCAUGGUUAAUUAUCUCAUAAUAUAUUUUUGGAAAAUUGUUUAGUAUAUAGUAAAUUAUAAGUCAAUUAUAUAAUAAUUUUUUUUUCUUUUUUAAUAUUUAACAUAUAAAAUUAAUAUUCAGGUCAGACAUUAUGUUUUAAAUCUGAUCAGUCACAACACUUAGAUGCCAAAAAAAAAAAAAUAGUACUAAUUUCUAUAAGGAUAAACUUCAAAUACCAUUCCUGUGAUUUCGCACUUUCUCAUUUUAGUACCAUGUGAUUUAAAGUAUGUCAAGUUAGUAUCAUGUGGUUUCAUUUUUAUUUUUUCGCAAGUUUUUUUUUAAUUAAUAUUUUGAUAAAUUAUAUACAAAAAACUCACAGAUAUCCCAUAUAGUUUUAUCGAAUAUUUAUUUUAUUACUCUUUAGUUUUAACUUUGUCACUGAUUUAACGAAAAAAAUUAAUAAAAUCGAUAAUAAAAAGAGAAAAAAAUGAAACCAUAGUACUAAAUUAAUAUGCUUUAAAUUCUUCAUUUGUUACGAUCUUUACUUUCCAUUAUGUUAAAUAUGUGUCACAUCAAGUUUUGGAUCCAAUCGACAUCUAACGCAUGCCUUCAUCUAUCUUGGCCUUGCUGUUAUCCUCUUGCAGGAAGAGAAAGUCUUCUUUUCCAACAGUGGUGAGAGCCGCAAUUAAAAAAAACAAAAGUGAUAUAAUCAUUAAUUUUAUCGCAUUAAAAAAGAAAACUUUAAAAUACUUUUAUUAGGUUUCUCUUAUCUCCUAAAGCAUAAAAGUGCACCCAUGUGAACAUCUCAAUCCAACAAGUAUGCAUUAUUUGCUAUUAAAAAAAAAAAAGUGUAAUAUGAAAAUAUAUUCUAUUUAUUUUCGUAAUAAAUCAUAGAGUUUAUUAAAUAUGUAGAUUCAAUUAAGAUAUAUACAUUUUGCGUUUCCUGAACCAAAGAAAAAUAUAGCCUAAACAAGAAAAAGGCUAAGCCAAGGCAUAUAAAAAGAGGUAUCACAAAAAGAAUAAUAAUUUACAUAUAUAGUUGCGUACUUACAUAUAUUCGGAUAACACUUUAACGGGGAUUUCUACAACGAUAUCUCAUUAAAAAACUCCUGAUUCGUUUUCACGUGUUAGUUUUGUUUUAAUCUAAGAAUUCGUUCCGUUUGGUGUUUUUUAUAUUGAAUUUCAAAACAAAAAAAACUCUAGAAAGAAGAAUUAUAAGCUUUGGAUUAAGAUGAAAGGCAGUGAGACAGGAACUUUUCAACGAAGCGUUGUUGGGGAGAUCCCUAAUGAAGUUAUUACUUUACUUUGUGUACGCGUAUCAAUCGUGCAUGGAUUAUUAUUACAAAGUUACAACUGAGGACCUAUAUAUAAAUAUAUAUUUUGGAAUCUAUAAAAUUAAGUUUCAAGGUCACAAUUGGCGGGGGGGUCCCUGAUGUUCCUUCUAUAAUAUAUAUAUUUGGCUUCUUGUGGAUUAAUUGGAAUAAAGAAUCCAAUAACAACUCAUAUCAAUUCAUGGAAACUUUUGCUUUUCCCUUAAUAAAAAAGAAAAGCUACGGUGAGAAAAGUCAUGGGGAAUUAAUGGCUACUCUUCUGGUUCUUUGUCCUCACUCCAUGGCCUUCACAUUUUCUUAAUUUGAUAUUAUUUGAUUCGGCAAUAAAAUUUUUCCGAUUUACUUUUAGACUAAAAUACAGAAAAGUUUUGUCUUUUUUUUUUGUUUGCUAACUUUUAAAAUAUUUACAUUUUAUCCUUUUAAAAUUUCAAAUUAAUGCAUUUAGACCUCAUUCGUUAGGUCCGUCACUAUUCCGUCUAUUUUUUUAUAAUUUAUACUGAAAAUAUUCUUUAAAAUGACAUAAAUAUAUUUAAAAAAAAAAUUUCUUAUAGAACAAGGGUGAUUUGGUCAUUUUGCCCACUUUCAUUGAGGUUGUAACAUUUUAAAACAUUUUGAAAAUUUUAAGGGGGCAAAAUAUAAAUUUUUAAAAGUCUGGAGAAAAAAGUAAAAAAAAAAAAGGUAUUUAAAUAGAGAUUUUCUGUAUUUUAGCUUUUUUAAUAUAGAUAUAAUUUUUGAAAUAAGUAGAAAUUAAACAAAUUUUGUGUUUGGAUGGCAAUUGAGUUAUUCUUGCAAAUAAAAAGAAAAUAUUAUUUGGACUAUUAGAUUGAAUAGUGGGAAUAAAAGUAAUUUCAUAUUUCUUAAAAAAAAAAUUAUCUAGUUUAUGAAUAUCAAAAUAUCAAUUAAAUAAUAACUUAACAAGUUGAUUAAUUAAUUAACUAUGAAAUAAUUGAUUAUAACAGUAAUUUCAUAUAUUUAUUAAAAAUAAUUUAAUAAUUAUAAUAAUUAAUUAACUAAUUAUAAAAUAAUAUAUUAUAUUAAUUAUAUUAAUAAAGGAACUAAUUAGAUCGAAUUAAUUUCUAAUUAAUUAGAUCGAAUUAAUUUCUAAUUAAUUAGAAUUAAUAGGACUAGCGUUAGUUUGCUCUAUAUUGAUGUUUAUGUAUUUGGUUUGGGCCAAAUCUUUUGACCCGGCCCUGCGUCGAUGCGCGACCCGUAGACGCUACGAGAAUCGGCCCAAUUUCCUCGAACAAAUUGAGCAAAUAGAUGCCAUAUUUCAAGUUUGCUUCACAUCCGCCACCUAUCACUACCUAUCACUAUCAUCUCAACCCUACAUCUCUCCAUCAAAUGGCUAAAAACUCAAAAGCACCAACCCCUAGGUAUUCUAGCUCAACACUUAUAUAAUAUAUUAUAUUAUAUAUAUAAUAUAUAUUAUUAUAUAUAUAAUAUAUGAAUUAGGCUGGAUGGAAUACUAUUAAUAGUAAACGCUCUUUUUUGCUAUCAAGUUUUUAACCCUUGGAUGAAAAUUGUAGCGGUCAGGAUGAUAUUAGUCAGUUAUAGUUGAGUGGUCCCUUAGGGUUGAGUGGUUCCACUGCUUAUAGUAUUUAAUCCAAUGCGUUAGAAAUAAUGAAAAAGUUGAUCCAAAUGCUAAAAACCCCGGGAGCAACAAUGAGAUUUUUGCUACUAAUAGUUAACCCAGUCAACUAAUAUAUAUAUAUUAUAUAUAUAUAUAUAUAUAUAUAUAUAGAACUGAGCUCCUAUGCUUUUAAAAGUACCAAGUCAUUGGUGCUUGUAAGUUUUAGCCCUUGGGAUAUAAGGAAUGUGCGGUUAAAAUUGUGUGGGCCCCUAGGGUUAAGUGCGGUGGUUGUUGAAUAGUAUAAUCUAAACGGACGUGAAAAUGAUCAAAGCGCGUAGAUCUAACGGCAAAAAUUUACAAGCAUCAAAUACUUGCGUACUUUUACAAGCACCAUAGCCGGACUAUAUAUAUAUAUAUAUAUAUUAUAUAUAUAAUAUAUAUAGAGUGAGGCUAUUAUGCAUAUCGGAGCCAGCGAGCUUCCGUGCUUUCAGCUCCUCGUUUUCGAUGUUCCGACUUUCGAAUCGUCGAUCGGCUCCUUAAACUUGAUCUAGAGUAUUUGAAGUAUCUAGAAAAUAAAUUUUUAUGAUUUUACGAUAUCAUUUGCCCUAGUGAACGAAGGCGGUUCAAAAUCAACGCUGAAAAUAAAAAUCUUUACAAAAAUGUAAUAAAUAUGACAUUAAAAUUAAAUCAAAGAUAUUUAUCUUGUUUUAUUAUAGUAUAAACAAUUUUCUAUCAAAUUUCACGUGAUUUGGUAUUUCAUACACCGUUAACUUGCAAACGCUCACUACGGCCAUUUUAAAUUUGUUAAUGUUUGAGCUCAUUCGAUCACUAGGCAAAUGAUAUCGAAAAUUUUCUACGGUACUUCAAAUACUCUAGAUCAAGUUUAACGGAGCCGAUCGACGAUUCGAAAGUUCGCAACAUCGAAACGAGCUGAAGCACGGAAGGCUCCGUGCUUCGAUAGCAUAGUAGCCUCACUACUAUAUAUAUAUAUUAUAUAUAUAUAGUGAGGCUACUAUGCUAUCGGAAGCACGGAGCCUUCCGUGCUAUAUAUAUAUAUAUAUAGUAGAGAUAUUAUACUAUUGAAAGUAUGAAGGAAUUGAUAUUUUCAACAUUUUCGCCUUUAGAUUAAAAAUUAUAUGGUUUGAAUGAUAAUGGUCCUCCAUAGGGUUGAGUUAUUUCCAGGAGUAAAAAUAUUAAUCCAAAGUUUAAAAUUGGUCAAAAAGAUUGAUCUAAAGGUCAAAAGUCAAAAGCAUUAAUUCCUUUAUACUUCCAAUAAAAUAAUAACUCUUUCACUAUAUAUAUACAUUGAUUUUGUUUAGAAAUUUUUGGAUUUGUUCGAAUCCGACAAUACCCCUUGAUCAAUACAAUGCUGUCAAAAUAGUAUUAUUAAACGAAGCACCUAUAUAUCUUUAAUUACUUUUUUUCUACAACAAGUUUUGCUCUAGUUUUGCUGCAAGAAAAGUUCUAAAUAUAUAUUCAUUUUGUAACAAAGAUUUUUCCAGUGGAUUUUUAUACAGAAGUCUAGUAACAUUUUUUUUUUUUUUUUUUCAAAUUCGCCUCCAAGAUAACAGUAACUUUUGCUCACCAACAAAAAAAUAUAUAUAUAAAAUAUAAAAUAUAAAAUAUCAACAAAAAUGAAAAUUUGGGGCUUUACGCAUACCACAAAUAUUAGUGGGCAUGAGAUGCAUUGUGUCACUAAAUUAAGAUGAUUUAUUGUCUCAUUCCCAGUAUUAUUUAUUUAUGAAAUUGGACCUGGUAUUAUAAUUGAGUUAUCCUAGUUAGUUAAGUUAAAAAUUUUAUUAGAUCUAGUGGGUACAUAAAAUAUUAAAGGUUAAUUAUUCUAACUUUGUUUGCAAAUAAUAAUUAAAAUUAUUAAAUUUGAUGGGUACGACUAAUAAAUUUACAAAUUGUCAAUUUAACCAACUAAACUCCCCUCAAUGAAAAACAUUUGAAAAUGCGCUUUUAAACUAAUUUUCUUUUAAUUGACACGCGAAUUUAAUUAUCUAAACAUAUGUUUCUUUUCCUAACAUGUCAGGAGCUCACACACUCGAUUCAUGAAACGGAUCUACAACUUCAACCCGCGUAACCCGAUUGACCCGACCCUGAACCGAACUUAUGCAGCCCACCUACAAGUAAUGUGCCCUGCGGGUCGCGAUCAACACGGACCCGUCUAAGCCCCGAAAAUUCGAUAACCGGUACUACAAGAACCUUCAGCAAGGCAUGGGCCUCUUCAUCUCGGACCAAAUCCUCUUUACGGACCCCCGAACCCGACCCACCGUCGACUCCUGGGCUGGGUCACCAGGCCUUCGGACAGGCCUUCGUCUCGGCCAUCACCAAGUUGGGCCGGGUCGGGGUCAAAACCGGGUCGGAUGGUAAUAUUCACCGUAAUUGUGCUAUUUUUAAUUGAGAAAUGUUAGAGAGAGAGAGAGAGAGAGAGAGAGAGAGAGAGAGUUGGGCUUGAAUAUUAUUAAUAGUAUUUGCUCUCUUUUACUAUCAAAUUUUUAUCCUUUGAAUCAAUUUUUUUUUAUCAUUUUUAACUAUUAGAUUAAAUAUGAUAACCCAAUAGAAACUACUCAACCCUAAGAGACUAAUAUCAUCCUAAUCUUAUAAUUUCUCAUCUAAGGGUUAAAAACAUAAUAGCAAAAGGGUCAAAUACUAUUAAUAGUAUUCCAUUUGAUUUUUAGAAGUUUUAAAUUCUCUAAAUAAUAUUUUUGAUUUAUGAGUACUAGAGCGAUUGUAGAGUACAGUAACCGAACUAUAUAUAUAUAUAUAUAGAGUGGGCUGGUAUGCUUAUGGAAGCACGAAGCCCUCCGUGCUUCCAAGUUGUUUUCGAUGUUCGGACUUUCGAAUCGACGAUCGGCUCUGUUAGAGUUGAUCUAGAGUAUUUGAAGUACAUAGAAAAUAAAUUUUGUGAUUUUUUGAUAUCAUUUGCUUAGUGAUCGAAGGGGCUCAAAAUCAAUUAUUUUAAUAGUCGUGGUGAGCUGGUUGCAAGUUUAAUGGUGUAGAAAUAUCCAAAUCAUAUGAAAUUUUGAUAGAAAAUUCUUUAUACCAUAUAAAAUAAUAUCAAUAACUUUAAUCUAAAAUUUUAAUGUCAUAUCAUCAUAUUUUGUAAGAUUUUGUAUUCUUCAGACGUUGAUUCUGAGGUUUCACCUUGAUCAAGCUAGGCAAUAAUAUCGAAAAUGCUACAAUAUUUCGUAGAUGCUUUCAAAUCUCUAGAUCAAGUCUAACGGAUGGCCCGAUCGAGAUUCGAUAGUCCAACACCUCGAAAACAAUGACGCGGGAGCCUCCGUCUUCCUACACCAGCAAUCCUAACCACUAUAUAUAUAUUUAUAUAUAUAUAUAUAAUAUUAUAUAAUAAGUAUACUAGCGAUGAGAGAGAGAGAGAGAGAGAGAGAGAGUAGGCUACUGUGAGGCUAUUAGAGGCAACAGCAGUUCUUGUGCUCCUAAGUUCUUACCCGCCCAUCAAUUCUUGCCUGGAUGGGUUAGGGUAAUGAGAGAGAGAGAAAUUGAGAGAAAUUCAAGAUAAGAAAAAUUGCAAAAACUCAAAUUUCUCUCCAAUUACUUUUUCUUUUUUUUUCACCCUAACCACCCAUCAAAUUUGAUGAGCGGUUAAGAACUUAGGAGCACAAGGACUGCUGUGCUCCUAAUAGGACAGUAGCCCUACUCUCUCUCUCUCUCUCUCUCUCUCUCUCUCUCUCUCUAUAUAUAUAUAUAUAUAUAUAUAUAUAUAUAUAUAUAUAUAUAUAAGAACUAGGCUAAAAUACUAUCAAUAGCAUCAAUCAUCAAUCUAUUGGUGCUAUUAGGUUUACGCUUGGAAUAGUCUUCAUUUAGAAUUGUGGAGCAAACACCAUUUCACCUACCACCACCUAUUACCAUCAUCUCAACCCUACAUCUCUCCAUCUAAGGGCUAAAAAUUCAAAAACACCAAUCCCUUAGUGCUUUUGAGAGUAUUCUAGCUCAACUAUAUAUAUAUAUAUGGCUCCGGCUACUAUACUAUUAUGAGUACGAUCGCUGUCGUACUCAUAAAUUGUUUUCAAUGAUAGAGCUUUCGAAUCGACGAUCCAUACCGUUAAACGUUAUUUACAGCAUUUAAAACUUAUAGAAAUCAAAUUUUAUAAUUUUCCGACAUCAUUUACCUUACGAUCAAGAGGUCACAAAUUUGACAAUUUUUACUGGCCGGUAUGGGAUACUUGCUAGUUUAAUAGUGUAAAAGAAUCGGAAUUUGUUGAAUUUUUAAUAGAAAAUUCUAUUCACUAGCUAGAUAAAGAUCAAUAACUCGGAUCUUGAAUUGAAGGAUCCGAUCAUCCUUUUUUAGAACGUCGUUCGAUUUUGACCGUUCAUUUUAUGCCUGCUUGAUGGACUUUAUUAUGAUUUCGAAAAUUUGCGAAAUUUAUUUUCUAGAAGUUUGAAAUACUCUAGAUCAUAUUUAACGGAGUGGAUCGACGAUUCGGAAACUCCAUCAUCGAAAACAACUUAUGAGUACGAGAGCUCCAAUACUCAUAAUAGUAUAGUAGCCACGGCCAUAUAUAUAUAUAUAUAUAUAUAUAGAGAGAGAGAGAGAGAGAGAGAGUCCUGAGCUAGAAUAUCACCUAUCGAUAGUAACACCGGGUUUUACUACCGAUUUGUUUUCGAUGAUAGAGCUUCCAAAUUGACGAUCGCUCGUUAAAUAUGACUAAACCAUUUAAACUACCUAGAAAUCAAUUUCACGCAUUUUCGUAUUAUUCUUUUGUCCAUCAGUGACACAGAAAAUGAUGGCUAAAAUGAAUACUCUUUAAAAAAUGAUGAUAGGAGUCUUGUAAUCAAGAUCAAGAGUAUAGAUCUUGUUUUAAUAGUUUACAGAAUUUUCUAACAAAAUUCAAUUGAUUUGGAUAUCUUUACGCCGUUAACGAGAAAACGCCUCUUAUCGACCAUUAAAAUUACAAAUUUGAAACCUUUGAUCAUUAGGCAAAUGAUGUCGAAAAGAUUUAAUUUGAUUUCUAAACACUUCAAGUGGUAUAGAUCUUGUUAACGGAGCCGAUCGUCAAUUUGAAAGCUCUAUCAUCGAAAACAAAUAGGUAGUAAAACGGCUCGUUUAUAUCGAUAGUAUAUCUAGCAAACUAUAUACUAUAUAUAUAUAUAAUAUAUAUAUAUAUAUAUUAUAUAUAUAUAUAUAUAUAUAUAAUAAUAUGAGUAAGGCUACUAUGUUUUUGGAACCACGGAGCCUUCCGUGCUUUCAGAUCGUUUUUGAUGUUGCGAUUUUCGAAGCGUCGAUCGCUCCGUUAAACUUGAUCUAGAGUAUUUGAAAAGUACUAGAAAAUAAAUUUUAAGAUUUUUCGAUAUCAUUUGUCUAGUGAUCGAGGGGGCUCAAAAUCAAUUAAUUUUUAUGACGUAGUGAGCCGUUUGCAGUUUAACGGUAUAGAAAUAUUCAAAUCACGGUAAAAUUUUGAUAGAAAAUUCUCUAUACUAUAUAAAAAAGAUCAAUAUUUUUGAUCUAAAAUUUUAAUGUCAUAUUAUCGUUUUGUAAGAUUUUUAUUUUCAGCUGUUGAUUUUGAGUCCCUUCGUUCACUAGAUAUAAAUAAUCGAAAAUCGCAUUAAUUUAUUUUCUAGGUACUUCAAAUACUCUAGAUAAGUUUAACGAGCGAUCGAUGUUCGAAAGUUCGCAACAUAGAAAAUGACUCCGUGCUUCAGAACAUAGCAGCCUCGCUAUAUAUAUAUAAUAUAUAUAUAUAUAACUUAAAAAAUUAUAUAAAUAUGCGUAUAUAUGGCGCAUCGAGCUACAGAAAAUUUGCUAUUUAUCAAAUUAAACUAUACGUUAAGAACAUCAAAAAUCAUAUGAUUUGGAAACUUAACAUCACCAUUAUUGUUUCAAAAACCAUGAAAAUGAUUUCUCCUGAGUAACCCAAUCAAAGUGUCCCUCCACGUGAGGAAAAAUGAUUCAAAUAUAUAUAUAUAUAUAUAUAUAUAUAUAUAUAUUAUUACUUAUAUAUAUAGUUACUAAAGAGAGAGAGAGAGAGAGAGAGCGUCUGGUAUGCUUCUAAGUUGUUUUCAAUGUUGGAACUUUCGAAUCGACGAUCGGCUCCGUUAGACUUAAUCUACAGUAUUUGAAGUAUCUAGAAAAUAAAUUUUGCGAUUUUUCGAUAUUAUUUGCCUAGUGAUCGAAGUGGCUCAAAAUCAACGGCUGAAAAUAAAAAUCUUACAAAAUAUGAUGAUACGAUAUUAAAAUUUUAGAUCAAAGUUAUUGAUCGUGUUUUAUAUGGUAUAAAGAAUUUUCUAUCAAAAUUUCAUGUGAUUUGGAUAUUUCUACACCGUUAAACUUGCAAACGGCUGACCACGAUCAUUAAAAUUAUUGAUUUUGAGUCCCUUCGAUCACUAGACAAAUGAUAUCGAAAAAUCAUUUAUAGACUCCAAAAUCAUUUAUAGGCAAAUGAUCACUAGGCAAACGAUAUUGUUUUUGAGCUUCGGGGAUUUCAAAAUUUGCAUCCAUGUACUCCUAGAUCAUGUUUUUCUUUUUUUGGAUUGGAACUAGUAUUUUAUCUCCCUAACAAUUUAUAGACUCUACUACGAGUCUAUAUACAUACCACAAUUUUUUGGUAAAAAUAAGGCUUAAUUACAAUGUCCCCUUUGCACUUGAGGUCGCGUCUCAUUUACCUCAUGCGUUAAAAAAAAAUUUUUGAGGAAAAAUGCGUUAAAAAUUUUGUUAAUUAUUCUCCUAUAUUUUGUCACUGCUUCAAAUAAGUUUAAAAAUUUUUAAAAAUUCAAAAAUUGGGUUUAAAAACUUGACAAAAACGAGUGCUACGUUAAGUUGUUCUACACCUCAAAUAUUUCUAGAAUUUGCAACUCAAAAAACAGAUAAAAAAUUGGAUAUAACAGAUUCUUCUGUUUUCUAAUAUUAUCAAUAUAGAUAUUUUAUUGAAUAAGUUAUUUAAUUAAUAUGAUUCCGCUGUAUCAGUUAUAACUAACUUGACAUGUCAAUUUAUUUUUGUAAAGUUUUACAGCUAAAUUCAAUAACUUAUUUAAAAUUUUAUAUUUAUUUAAAAUAUAAUUGAAGCAUUUUUCAACUCCUCUUCAUCUUCUCUGUGUACUGUUACUGCUGCUUUUGGUGUAGUUGGAUGAGGGAGAAAUUAGUACACAAGUCAAAAAAAAAAAAAAAAAAAAACAUUGUUAAUAAGAUAUUCAAGGGCAAAGAAUAAUCACUCUCAGGGAAUUGAAGGAAAAAAUAUGUUGUUACUAAAUUUAACUAAAAUUUUAAACUAAAGUAAUAAAAAUAAGAUAAAGAAAAAUAUUAAAAUUUAGUAAUAAAAUUAAAUUAAAUUAAAUUAAAAAAAUUAUAAAUGAAAAUUAAAGUGUCAAGUAAAAAACAAAAAAAAAGUUGGGUUGUCAACUUCAAAAUGACCUUUCGAAGGGGAGUUCCUUGUAGACCAUUGUUCCUUCCAAAAACCAAAGUGGGGUUCUUUUAAAAAGGCAAUGUUACAUGUGUGUGUACUCCCAUCCCAAAUGUGUGUACGAUAUGCAUAUCAUCUAUUUAAUGAUCCACAAUAUGCUCUUUAGAGAGCCAGACCCUCUCGAACCGGAAUUCAGAAGAUCAUAUCGAAAGUGCUGGCGAAUAGACUUGCGGCCAUUUUACCGUCGAUUAUAUCUCCGGCCCAGUCGGCCUUUUUGAAGGGUCGUUUACUAGCUGACUCCUUCGUUACUGCAAGUGAACUCCUUAAUUGGUCUGCUAAAGCCGGUAAGGAGUGUGUCAGCAUUAAAGUCGAUUUCGAGAAAGCCUACGACAACGUGAGAUGGAACUUCCUGCAUGUUAUAAUGAGGUGGCUUGGGUUCAGCGAGAUUUGGUGGUCAUGGAUCGAACAAUGUAUCUGCAACGCCAAAAUCGCUGUAUUGGUAAACGGAACGCCGACAAAGUGGUUCAAAACUAGGAAGGGGCUGAGACAGGGAGACCCGCUUUCCCCUUACCUUUUCAUCCUGGUGGCUGAUUGUCUUGCUAGGAUCACGGAAGCAGCUAGGAAGAAUAACCUGAUUCGUGGAAUCGGGCCUUCGGCUAAUUGCCAGACAGUACUCCUUCAGUACGCAGAUGAUACUUUAUUUUUCUCGGAGCCAAAGAAGGGUGCAAUGCGGAAUCUGCUGUUCAUCUGGAAGAUUUUUGAAUGGGCCUCAGGUCUCAAGAUAAAUACGAAUAAGACGGAACUAGUUUACCUGGGACCCAACGUUAGUAGAGCUAGUAGACUCGCCGAAAUUUUGGGAUGUACAGUAGGCAAGCUACCAUUUCGGUACUUGGGGCUGCCUCUUCACACCAGAACCCUUCGGAAGGAAGAUUGGGUCCCGAUUAUCAAUCGUAUUCAGGCACGCAUAGAGGGUUGGAAGGCAAAACUCCUCUCUCACGGGGGUAGACUGAUCCUGGUCAACUCAGUACUUUCGAACCUACCGCUUUUCUACUUCAGUAUAUUCAAAGCGCCGCAAUGGGUGCUGAACCGUAUAGAAGGUUUGAGAAGAGCAUUUUUCUGGAACCUCACCUUGUGAACAAGGUGGGGAGGGCCCAUCUCUCUCUCUCUCUAAAAAUUAAAAUUAAAAUUAAAGAUUUUAAAUAUUAAAUCAGAAAAUUUUAAAUUUAAAUAUUAAAAUUUAAUAUUUAAAAUUACAAAUUUAAUAUUUAAACUAUAAACAUUAAAAAUUUAAAAUUUAAAUUAAAAAAUCUAAAUUUUAAAUUAUAAAAUAUAGAAAGUUUAAAUUUAAACUAGAAUUUAAAUUUUAAACUAUAAAUUUUAAAUUUAAAACUUUUAAUAUUCAAAAUUAAAAUUAAAGUUUAAAAUUUUAAAUUUUCAAUUUUAAAAAUUAAAUUUUAAUAAUCAAAUUUUACAAUUUAAGUUAAUAUCUCCAUUUUAAUAAUAAAAGAUAGAUAUUGAUGGCUGAUAAGGUGAAAUAUGAGUCUAAAAGUAGGUUUGUGUUAAAAAGAUUAAGGUCGAAUAUGAGUGUAAAAGUAAGUUUGUUUUUUUAUGAGAACAAGAAUGCUUUUAGGUAAGAACAUGGAUAGGGGCCAUAUUGAUCAAGAACGAAUAUGGGCUUGGUUUGCUUCGCAAUCUAAAAUUGACUAACGGUUUAAAUUUUAGGCGACUUUAGUAUUGUUCAUUUCCAAUUGUCCUAAUUUUUAGUUACUUUUUCUUCGAUUUAGACCGAAGUAAAGUUCAACCAUAUUUCAUCUCGCCAGAGGGACACAAGAAUACAUCAUCAAGAUAAGAGAGAAAAAAAACAUCGAAAAAUUAAAUUGAUAAAUGGUGUGUUUUCUUUUAUAUACAACUAAGGUAAAAAUAUAAGAACAAUGGAACCUUACUUUCGAUACCACAGGAACGGCGUGAAACGACCAGAUAGAAAAGUACAACUCAAAUAUGUUGGAUGUAUACUUAAAACAUAUCUACACUUCAUGUCCAUCAGUCCGAAGUAAGCACAACAGAACUUCAUAAGUAAACGGUGAUAACUAUACCUGGAAUAUAACUAUCUAUCUAAUAAACCGGACAAGGGAGUGGAAAACCAACCAAUCACAACGAUUAUAACGGAAUAGAGAUUAAUGUCUUAUACCAAAUAGACUCUUCGUUCGACUUCGAAAUAAUCUGUAUUGGAAUUCCUUCAACUGAAGAGAACUCCAUACAUGGCAUACUAAACUUACGAUGUAAAACGAAACUAUCAACGGUAGACAAAAAAGCAAAAAGACAAGGAACAUUACUCAACUAAGAGGGUGGAAAACGUCUCUUUUUCUAAACAACUACUUCGGUUUAGAAAUAGACUUGUUUAAAGAUUCGAUUUACUCGAAAACAGAUCGUUCUUCGAGUACAAAGUCCAUUGUGGGGAAUAGUAUUAAAAUCGACGACGCCGUCUGAAACACGACUUAAACUUCCGGUUUAUUACCUUCGUGUCUCAUUACAUUAACUUUAUUAAAGUUAGUUAGUUAAAGGGACGACGCAUGCUUUCUACACUUUAAUUUGAAUAAUUACACCCGACGACUGGACACUUUUGAAGAGACAAACUCGACAUACAAUGUAUCUGAAAAGUAAGAAGUCAAAGAAAAAAGUCGAAUAACUUGUUCUUCGUCAACUAAAUUUCUUAUCCAAACCCUGCGGUGCGGCAAGUAAUAACCUCCUAAGUCGUUUAUCAGUUGACCUCCUGUAUCUACAGUAGGGAUUGCUUCUUUACGAAAAUCAUUCACGAAGUAUAGGUUGGAUUCCGUAAAAGUCAGACAAACACGCUUCUCCUCUUCUCCCCCCGACGAUCGCCACGUAACUGAAGAAGUAAUUUAAAGGGUUUGACGAAGAGUGACGUCUUUGUCUUCGUCUUCGAACUUUAACCUCAAAACGAAAACCUUGAGACUUUGAUAAAGUCGAAGUACAAUGCUCCUUUUGAAACAUUAAAAACAAACCUCAUCUCUUCAAAGUCUUCGGACCGCUUUGUCCGUGAAAUACUAACUACAGAAUGUCAAUAUACAUGGACAUGUACUGUUUCUUUAUAAAUAAUGAAAGACUAUCUAGGAGUCACUCUUUCCUAUAGAAUUCUCCUACUUCGGAUUGUGGAAAUUAGAUGUUGUAGCUCCAUGAUAGCCCUUUAGACAACCUUUUUACGCUCAUUUACUAAGAUACAGACUGAAGUAACAGACAGUAUGUGUACUAGUGUAGGAAAUAAAGUCCAUGAACUCAAAACAGAUUAUAAGACAAUACUAAGAGAUAGUGAUAGAGGUAAAAUUCUUAUGUCCCGAAACAGUUUAUAUACACAUAUCGACUCCUUACUAGAUGAAUAUAUAUUUACGGACGUUUCAGACUUAAAAGUAAAUGGGAGCUUUCACGUCAAGGAACGUUGUUUUUAUGGGUAUAGAGUUCAAAUUCCUGCUUUUGUUAGGACUAUUUUCACCUGAAAUAAACUUUUUACAUAUAAAACUUAGUUGAUAAAUCCUUGUUUCACAUAACAAUAUGUUAUUUGGUAAAACGUAAGGACCGUCUAUUCCGUGGUUAGUAUAGGUAUCCAACCACUUUAAAUAUCCAAUAUCACCCCACGUUGACGGUAAAGUUGGUUAGUUAAUCGGGGUAAACCAAACUCGUACAGGUUCAAGUACCUAUAUAAUAAAGAGUACUUGUUUAUCAACUUUGAACUUCGAUUUGGUGUAUAUUUGUACAUUGAUCAUAAUAUGUACGACGUCACUAUUCCCUCAUCAAAUAAGACGAGCACGAAUAGCCUAUGGUCUUACGUGAUCUUGACGACGACCGUGAGGUAACUAUGUCCAUAAAAUACCAAACAACACGUCCUAAAAAAAAGUCGAUAUGGGAUUUUAAACAUAAAAACGUGACUUUACACAUAACUCCCCAAUAUGGGAGCUUAAACACUCAAACGUAACUUUACACAUAACUUCCCAUAUAUAUGGGGAGUUAUGUGUAAAGUCACGUUGGUGUUUAAAACAGCCUUCAACGGACAAAAUGACUCAGAUGACUAAAAAGAAAGAAAAAGGGAGAAAGAACUAGACCUACAUCGACAAUAGUAACAGACUUCCUCUCUCUUAUUGUAGGUAAUAAGGACAAUCACUUAAACCACUUCUAGUUAUAGAUGACUACGAAUGUAACUUACCCAUAUAGUUCUUUCACGGAGAAUUACGAAAGAGCCGUUAAGCUCGUUGUCCCUAGUAAAGCUAAGUUGACCAAUAAAGGACAUUGGAAUAUGUGUAGAAAACGUUUUUAAAACUAAAAACUAUGUAGAAUUUAGAAAAAACAUGUAAAGUCCAGGGACCACUGCUUGAAUUUACCCAGGCAGCGACACGUUUACUACUGGACCAGCGUUAACGAAGGGUCUUACCCUACCAGUAUCAAUUGAUGACAUUAUUCCACUCAAUUUAUAAAAAAAAUUCGCUCUCAAAUUUGUAAAUAAACGGCUCGAAACUGCAAGAGUCUACGGACUUAACUAUAGAGUGUUUUAAAUUUAUGGAAGAGUUCUUCCUUCUUGUACUUUCAUUCAGUCAAUUUUUUUUUUGUUAUGCUGAUCGGUCGAAAGAAAACGACUAAUUAAUUUACUAAAAAACCGUACAAAGAAUUUGAGAAAGGUAGAAACUUACACAGGUGAAACAACCAGGUCGAAGCACGUAAACCUUCUUCUUGUUCCCCACACUAUAGGUACUCCGACUUCCUCCCCCUAUUCUACCGCCGCUACCUAUAUUAUGGGCGUCGGCACGUCUUUCUAGACGUCUUCGACUGACUUUCAAGACCGUUGUCCAUUAAAAAUAAUGUAAGGGGUUAGAACUUGUGUAACUUACCUAAUGUAGUUCUAGAAUUCCAGAACUGACAACUCAAAUUCCGGCCAAGAACCACCUGGUCCAGCAACGUAAGAAAGAACAAGAAAUCUUCGAGUUUACGCAAACCUUCAUGAUUACUACGGAUAAAACUAUAGAAACCGCUGCACGGACAAUACACUGUCCCCAUCUCUAGAACCGGGUGGUACCGAAGAAAAACGCAGACUUUCACCAGCUCCUUUCGCACAAGGAGACUCACGUAAGGCUGAUAGUUACAAAUUAUCUUACCCGAACGCUCCAAUGUUCCAUGUCAAACACAAGAAAGUGAAGUAACUUCUCAGAUAAACGAAGUCGUAUUUUAGAGGGUAGAGAAUAUAUUUAAAUGACCGUGAAUUAAACCCUAAAAUUAAAGAAGUUAAAAAAGAUGUAGGUAGACUCGCAAAGAAAUAUCAACGGUGAAAAAAGACAAGAGAAAUAACCCUUGUUUUCUAUUGUGUCUCAGCUUCUAUGUAAAAAACACGUGAAAAAGAAAUUAUAAAAGUUAUUUUAGAGUCAGUUUCGUCUACAUAUCCUAGAAUAUAGGAACUUCUUUGAUUUUGUGGGAAAAACGUUUACAAAAGAGAAAGUAAUAUUCACACGAAACAGCACGUUAGAUAAUUAUUAACAGAACUUAGAUAUGGGUAUAUAAACGUCGAAGGCGGUCUAGUAGCAGAACGACGUCAUAAACAACAACCCAAAAGUAAUCGUCCACUAAAACGGUCACGUAAAGGGAAAAGGCAACCGUGAGACGAACAUUAUCUAAUAUAGACGAUUGUUAACUCUGAUAAACUGAAAGUCUUCUGCCAGUUUCACUACUUGUUCACCAAAAUCAAUCGGUCUCACCGUGACAUUUGUCUUAUUUCCAAUCCCUGUAUGGAUAGGUUAGUGCAAGACGCUCCAUUUUAGAGAGAGAAAGAGAGAGAGUACCGGUUCGAACUACAAUAUAGAAGUAAUUACGAAAGGAACUAUCAAUUUACUGACCUAAUCAAACGACUAAGUAACAUGACACAGUCAUAACGGUUAAACAGCUUCUUUACGAUAAGAACAAAGAAAUAGCAUCAAACAGACCUGAUCGAUGAUCGAUCCGGCACGUAAAAGAAAAAACCAAAAACGUAAGAUACCAAUAAAAUACUACCAAAAAAAAAAAAAAAAAAAAACUGAUCAAUGUGUAAAUAUAAAUAAUGAUAAGAGACAAACGUGAAGAAUAAAUAUUAGAAUGAGAGACUGUAGGGUUCCCCCCACUAAGACUACUCUAACCUCGUACGGCCCUUCUAAGUCAGACGAAGAAACUAAAGACGACGCCGUCAACUACAACAACGGCUACUGACUUCUACGAGAAGAUGUAUGCCUUUCAAAACCUAAAUAAUCGUCACUUCUUCUUAAGGAGGUCUCUAACCUACAAUUUAUACUUCAAUGGAUAGGAGAAGCUGAUUGAAAACGACGUAUGUCAACCUCUCCCUUCUUCUUAUAUCAUAUCAUUAAGCCACCUUUGGGUCACUUCCACGUCUCGUAAGGUAUACACUGUCCGAUAAACGGAGGUUUCUAAGCAACAAGGCAUACCAUACCAGACCGGGGGUGAUUGGAAGUGUCUGUUCCUUAAAAGUAGUAGACUCUAAACUGCGUCUCCAUUAGACAAACACUUUGCAAAACUUCCUACAAACACUUUUACAGACGUCGUAAAUAAAUGUUUAUCCCGACUAGACAAUGACUAGUUAAGCUUGUGGCAAGGUUAACAACAUCUUGAUACCAGCUCUUAAGAACAUGACACUAACCGUACAUCAAGUAAACUUUCAUCGUAAAUCAGCGUUUAAGAUAAGUACGGUAAAUUGGUUAAAAGACAGCAUGCACUGCUCAAAAGAAAAGUAUUUCCGGUAACUCUCUACGACAACUGUUACUUUACUGUUUUUUUCUCGGGUAUUGUUUCCCCUUUUUUUACGAAGAGUGUUCAUACGACUUUUGAACGCUCUUGAAGUUGCUUUUGGGAGGUCUGGAAGCCAAAUAUGCAAAUGUGCACUCCGCGAGGGGUGUGAUCAAAUAUGAAACAAGUUGUAAAUGAGUUUAAUGAGCCAGGAUAACACGCCGUCUGCACAACUAUUUGAAAGUGGCAUGACUGCUCUACAUAAAAUAAAAUUACUUAUUUAUUUUUGGCACGAAUAGUUUUAGAUCUUUUCUUACAAAGUGGGACUUCUUUAAUGUGUUGUGCUCCUUCUUUUCCCAACACGUGAUUUUGUCGCUGUAGUGUCUCAGUUUAAUGAUGAUGUUUCUUUCUGUACGUCUGUACAUGACUAACUAUCCGUUCAUGUAAUUGUCGGCUUUGUGUUUUAUAAUCCUUUUUUGUUUGGUUUUAUACUGGUUAAGUAGUUUUGUUGCUUUCGUUGGGUUUGAUCAAUUGCAUUGUUUCAUCAUGAUAUUAUGAAUUAUUGUGGUUCUAGAAGUCGGUAAAGUUUUAUACGAAAAGUGUAGAAGUUGGGACUUUAUGUCGUCUUUAUUUUUUUUUUUUUUUUUCCUUUUCUUUUCUUUUCUUUUUCUCUUUUGGCUAAUCAAUUGAUUAUUCUUGGAUAUCAUAUUCCUCAUUUUCGGAUAUUAUCCAGAAUCGUUUAAACUUUAGUCAUUUUAUUAAAGUAUUUUAAACUUAUAAAACUAAAGCGACGUUCUCUCUCUAUCUACGUGUCUUUUGUUUCGUCAAUGGAACGACCGCUACAACAACCUCUCGGUCAGUUCGGGGAGUAUGUUGGGGAGUGGUCUACAUCGUGUGCACGAGACUUACAUGGACGUUAGUGGGGGUGUUUUGUUUAAGUAUUACUCCUAAGUUUGUUAUUAUUUUCGAAAAGAAAUUUUUUUACUCCCCCGGUCUAAAGUUGUUGACUUUCUCUAAUGACACCAUUAACAAUAGACAACUAUCUAAACCUGGUACUAAACUUAAAUAUAGUGAAUUCUUAAACUUCUUCAGAACUACUUCCCCGUCGUUAGAGUAGUAACGGUUUAUAUAUAACGUAAUAAAAGCAAUUUAUACCUGGGAACAUUUUAAUGGAAUUAAAAGUAUAUACGGGAAUUUUAAGAAAUAAAGAAUACACGAAUUAAGGACGUUUUUACUGGAGAAUUCUGUGAGAAACAUUAUACUUUGGUUGAAGUGGGUACUUCGCCUACUGUGGGGUUCCCCUUGUAUACUCUUUUAGGUAUGUAAUACCCCAAUUUAUACAAAUAUCUACUAGACACCCCCGUAUGUACAUUUUCGGGAAUUUUAAAUUCCUAAGAAGAAGAUACCUGCAUGUGUAGUCUUGUUUGUUUUAAUGUUAUUUUUUUUUUUUUUAAUAUGUCGAACUAAUUCUUGCUCACCAUAUACUACGUAUCUAAUGUCGUAUGGUCACGGAGACUGCAUCCCUCACUUCCGGUUCGAAUAGCCACUAGAGUCGUCGUAAGUAUCGUAAUCCCUCUAGAACGAACAAGCGUUUCUGCUCGUUGUGCCGUAGCGCGUUGAGUAGGACAGCGGUAAUGUUUCUUCUAGUAUUCUAAAAAAAUUUUUUUUUCUUUAUAUUGAUCAAUCAUGAUGAAAACACCUUAAAUAUAAAGAAAAAUGUUCUGUCUUCUUUCAUAAGAAAGGUAAUAUGUAAAAACAUUCAUAGCUUUCAAGCAUUAUAUAAGGAUACGUUAUAUUUUGUUCCCCGUAACAUUAUAUACUCCUUAUCAGUUUCAAACAGUUCCCUCUCCUACUCAGCUGGAGUAACUCGUAGGACACCUCGAGUAGAGAUCGGAGCUGUUAUGCUAGGGACAGUAACGACAGCUGCUGCUUCUAUUCCGGGACGCACAAGACCUUCAUUACGGAGGUGUUACCCGCCUAGACAAAAAUUUCUUGUAUUUUAUAUUUGGUUUUAGUAGUGGAACAAUUGUUUUCCCUUAUUAUUAUUAUUUUAGGGUUGUUAGUUUUACCAUAUAGUCCUAAUUUUUUACAACGAGAGGUUUUGAUUAUCUAUUGAAUCUUUGGUUUUAAAAAAUGACGUCUUAGAAGUUGUCACGGAUUAUCUGUUUUCCUUUCGUGUUCAUCCUGGUUUUAAACCAGUCUUGUAAGUUGGUUGAGGUCGUCAUGUAGUUUAGGAAUUGAUAUUUCGUCACCAUGUUUUCUUUCUCGUAUGGAACAGGACCGGUGGUUGUAGGGUAUGCCACUUCGAUUACAAGAAUAUGAGGUGUCAAAGGUGUAACUUAGGACGUAUAAAUUCGGGUUUUUUUAAUGUUAUGUUUGGCUGUCUUCUUUAGACUUUGUUUCACGUUAUAACUAUGUAUUCUUUAUAUACCGUCUCUUUUUGUCCAUUUAUUCAGAACUAGUACAGUGUCCCUAUUUUAUUUUUGUUGUUGUUUGUCACUUAGUAAAGAUAUUUAAACUUUCAGUGUGGUUCCGAUUUAGUUAGAUUUAGAUGUCGUCAAUGGUUAAAGCGACAUAGGCGGAAAGGGAAGAGAAAUUCUGGGUCUAGGUAAACAUUAAAGUAGGUGGUGAAAGUAAAUAAAGGAAAAAGUCUUGACAAAAUAAACAGUAGAUUUCUGAGGAUGUGACUUUUCGUACACGCUGAUUAAAGAAAAAAUAAAAAACCGUCGGUAGAUAAAAGAUAGUCGAGUGUACCGUAGACAUCGUCUAUUUUGAACCAAUAAUAUUCUUUAUGUUAUGUUAGAUUCAAAUUAACAUUAAAAAAAAUGACGUUUACUCAACAUUCGUAAUUUAUAUCGUUAUUACUCUUGAAGGAUUAUUGAAUUAAAGAGUGUAAUAAAAAGAGUAUUCGUUGUGUUCCCAUUCUUCGAAAAGGGUUUUUUAGUCUAAUUAUCGUAAAGGAGCACCUGGAGGAUUUUAUUAAGUUAUCUAGGUGUGCUUGUUUUCUUUCUCGAUAGGAUUAAAGCGACGUUUUCCUGUACUUUUUCGGAUACUUCCCCUUUAUGUCAACAACGGAGGGUAGUCGUAUUUCUUAAUGUCAACAACUGUAACUGCCAGCGAUACCGUUUGGAAAAAAUUUUGUAUGGGGAUUGUUUCGUACUAAGAUGAAAGGAUCGUUACAGGCGUGUAUUGGUAUAUUAUGUCGUAUUGUACUAACGUUCGUAAUCUUGAACUAAGUAUCGUAACCUUGAACUUAGUUAAUUAUCGAGAGAUGUUUAAGGUAACGAAGGAGAGACAAGAGAACGAUAUAACUGCUACUUUGUUUACCGUUAAGCUACAAUGGUUCAUUUAUACAACGUCUAGUUUAGUUACAUCAUCGUCCGAAGUAGUAACGUAUUCCUUUUUUGAUUUUCCUAGUUUCCGAGUGGCUAGCACCCUUACCACCACUGCUAGAGAGGCUCGAACUCGAACAUCUCCUACCAGCAGAAUGGUCGGCGUAGUUCGGGUUGGUAGUUAUAGGAGUAGAGGAAGAAGCGUUUCUCCGCCGAUUUCUCGAAGCACUUCCACUCGGGGUAGAAAGGAGAGGACAUUGUUGUGUGGUGUUGUUAAGUUGAAUCUAGAGAUGUCUAGGGUCGUCUAGGUUUGGGAUUACGUUGUUUGAUUGCGGUUUUUGUAUAGUUUGGGGGGUUUAGAUGUUCUAGAUUGUCCUUACCCUUCGGCUUUGGUUCUAAAUGUUGUAGUUUAAGUUUAUGACGUAAGCUAGUUUAUCUUUUCGAUAAUUAGCUAUUUUAGCUAGUUGUUAUCAUUAAUUUUAGUUGGGUAGAUUGUCGAUUCUGCCUUAUUGUCCUGAUUUUCUGGUGUUUUGGAUAUUUUUUUGGCUCUAGCUAGCUUCUGGGUACCUUAUUAUUUCCUCUUACUAGCCUUAGCUUCUAGGUUAGUUUUAUUUGUAUCUUUACCUUCUUUUUGGCUAGUUAGGUAGUCAAUGUUGCUAAAUUUUCCACUUAGCCUCUAGGCUUUGGGAUUCUUGUUGCUCUAGCUAGCGUCUAGGUUCUCUCUUAUCUCCUUUUCCUAGCAUUAGCUCCUAGCCUAGCCUUUUGUCUCCAGCUAACCUAAUGGGCCUGCUAGAGAGCGAGAGCAGCGCGCGAACCCUAGCCUCAGAGGCGAAGAAGAAGGAGCGAAGGAGGAGGGAGAGAGAGAGAGAGAGAGAGAGAGAGAGAGAAGCGCUCUUUUCCUUCCUAGCCUCUCUCUCUUGUCUCCUUUUGCUUGCCACCCACCGAAUCCGACUAAGCGGUGAGGCAAAAAUAUCACCCACACCACGCCUUUCCUCUUUUAAGGGGCAUCUUGACCAGAUAUCUGGUAAUUGAAACAUCCAGCUCUUUUCUCGGGGUUUACUGAUUUAUCAGGGACAUGACUGGGCUAAAAAACCGGAUCAGGGACUUGUAAAAAUAAAUUUGUAAAAUGAAAGAAGAAAAAAAAAAUGUUUUUUCGAAGAUGAAUAAAUGAGGAGUGAUGAUUAAUUUUAAAAAUUUAAAUAAGACUUUAAUAUUUUAUAAAAAGGACUUUAGGUUAGAUAAAUCAUUUAAGAUCUUUUUACUUCUAUAAAAUUCUUUUUAGAAUUUUGGUUGUUCUUAUAAACCUAGGAGUUGUUUUUAUAAAACUAGGUCAUUAUUUAUUUUAUAAAAAUUUUAUGACUUAUCGUAUAAUCUAUAAUAGGGAAUUUUGUUAUAUUAAUACUCACGAUCUUUUUUAUUUUAUUAAAAAUCUGUAUAUUUUAGUUAUAACUUUGUAAUAAGAUCUAUAAUUAUAAAAAAAUUUUAAAUAAAAUACAAUCUUCAAAAUUAAGAUAAGAUGUGCUUUCAAAAUUUUCUAAUAUAGUUUUAAUUUUGAGAGCAAUACAAGACCUUCUGUUAUUUUUUCAUAUCUCUUAAUUUCCUAAUUUUAUUUUUCAAGUCCUGAUGCAACAUUAUAACCUUAAAAUGUCACUGAUAAUUAAUCUAAAACGAAAUCUUAACGAGUUAUUAUUUUGUCGCCACCCCCUAAACAACGCGGAUAUUAAACCAACCCGAGUCCCUAAUGCACCACUUUGCCCACAUCCCUAUACAUAAUAAUCCGCCUUAUACUUACGCUACGAAGCGCAGUUGGAAUGCGUGUACUCUUCGCAACAUCGCGCUGGCUUGGCCUGGCCUUAGUCGUAUACGACAUAUUCAACCUGGCCCGGCCUAAACCUGGCCGUGUCACAUUAUUUAAAUUUUUAAGUUUUACUCUAUGCUCUCUAAGGUUCUCAAUUUUUAAGUUUCGUCUCGAAGAAGUUAAAUAACAUAAACUUUAUCCUAAUGUUAUUGUGUUUUCUUUUAUAUCUAAAAGAAACCACCGGCAUUCAUUUUAAAGUUAGGUGAAUUUUGAAGUCUCGAUUUUAUAUAUAUUUUAUAAUCUCUGAUUUAACGUUAUAGUCUUAUGAACCCGGUGAUAGGCAAAUAAAAUGAUAUACUUAUCGUUUAAAACCCCCCUCUUUUUCUUAAAUCCGAAACAAACCUAAACGCCCCUCUAACGCAAUGCAUGCCACCCUUUCAUGCAACCUUUUUAUAAGACAAACAAAGACAUGCAUUAUAACGUAAGGCGUAUAACGCUAAUCAGCCAAUGCGAUAUAAAAGACGCCAGGGUGGCCUCUUGCGCUUUCGUAUAGGGAUAUACGAAAAAAGUGUUGAGGUAAAAUAGAUUAUCGCAAUAUAUCCGGAGUUAUGGUUUGAUUCGGAAUAUUUAGCAUUCGUUCCAAGCAAUGUUACCUCCACCAUUCAGUAAAAGUUUUUUAUGAAGAGUGAAUAUCACUUUUUUAGUCUUUACAAUUGAAAUACAAUAUUAAGUUCUCGUACUCUUAACUUAAAAUAUAAUAGAACAACUUUUGUGGGACGUUACGUGAGAAAUUGAAAUUAAAAAAAAGGGAACAGUUUUCUUUUUUUAAAAAAGAUAUUAGGCGAUGACUGUACAUUUUGAUGACUUGAUCGUUACCUAAUCUGUCUCUUGUGUUUUGUACUAAACCCACCUUUUAUAAUAUGUUUUUUACAAGUGGUUUAGUUGUUACACUAAAUGUACUAACGCCUAGAGUAGCGUUUAGCGAUCAUUCUAGCGUUACAAAAAGAGUCUCGAACUGUGCUAGCUCGAUUCGAUUGAAUUUAAGAACAGUAAAUAUCAUCUAGUUUUGAGUUAGACCGAGUAAAUUAAGCACAGUUUAAAUGUAAUGGGUAUUUCUUGAAUAAUCCAUAGGUGGGUGUCAUAUAUGAAUUGAUUUAACUUAACACAUCAAGACUCAUAUUUGUAAUUAUAGUGUAGAACUCUAAUAAAAGAGUUGUACCGACUGCCAUUUAAAAUUAUAAGAUAUCAGAAAUCCAAUUCUCUCAAAUGUGCACAAAUCAACACGGAAUUUAAUUUUCUCGUGCUCGAGUUCGGGUUAGAGUUUAGGUUGGGUCCAAGUUCAAUAAAAUGGGACUUAGGGUAACACAGUUCACAGGAAAAAUUCACGUGCCACGUUAAAGCAGGAUAGUAUAUAAAGUUAAUAAAAGUUAGCACGACCAUGUAAACGCCAUAGAUACUCGUUAUAGUUCGAGAUUAAAACAUGUAGGUAAAUUUAAAUCUCGGUUACAAGGUAAGGUUAAUACCAUGGAAAAAAAAAGUUAAUUUAGUUUAUAAAGCUGAUUUUACACAUCCUUAAAAACUUAAUUUUUUUAAGUUUAGAAUCUCACGUUCCUCCGUUAAAUAAUCAAACUCAAAGCUUUAAAGGUUGGGGAUCUAAAAAAAAAAAAAAAGUUUUUCACCAUGUCGAGAGCUUUACUUGUAUUACUUGUCUAAAAAAACAAAAACAUAUGUUUUCUACUGGUAAUAUUUUUAAAAAUUUUAAAACUUUAAGCUUAUUUAUCGUUUAUUAUUCCUCUCCCUACUCCGUAGAGAGAGAGAGAGAGAGAGAGAGUACAUAGAAUCGAUAAAAGAACCUCAUUAGGAUAUAGAGAUGUUAUUUUAGAGAUAACAAAAGGGUUUUUUUUUUUUUUUUUUUUGUUAGAGCGGGGAGGAUAUGACAUAAUGACAUCAGAUAUUUAGUGUAGUGUUUAGAGAGAGAUUUUUUUUUUUUUAUGUUAAAGACGUUUUUAAUUUUUUUUUUAGGGGAUCGAAAAGUGACGAUGAUAAAAAUGAGCGGGGAAAAGAGGAGGUAUAGUGGGGCUGAGGCAAGAGAGAAAGAGCGAGAGAGAGGGAGAGAGAGGUAAAGCAAGAGGUAAAGCGCCUCGAGGAAGCUCCCUCUCCUCCCCCUACUCCGUCUAGGGAAUCAGAGAGACUAGGGGCAGCUAAAUAGCGAAGGGUGUCUCAAGCUAGCGCGGGGGUUAGCCAAACUAAGCUCCACUAAACGAAUUUUAAAGGCUAAAAAUCCAAAUAUCUACCUCAAGCCUUUAUUUUUUCGAUUUAAAAGUGAUGAACAUCAACGAUUAAAACACGCGAAAGAGUCUAAGGACCAAAUUUACACGUGUCCGCCUCUCAUAAAUCCUAGAUAUGUACCAAAGAUAACUCAAAAUCCCAAAAAAAAUUUUUUUAUAUUAAAAACCGAAAUUCAACCAAAUCUGAAAAAGAUCUCAACGACGGUAUAUUUCUCUGGGGUAAAUACACGAACAACAAUUCAACAUAACUAAAAGAAUGAUAUAAAAACCGAUAUCUCAACUAAAUCUCAAAUCGUCCUCAACAAAAAUACCUCCUUUUUGUUUUCUUAAAAAUGAUUUCGUCAACGAUUAAAACCUGAAAAUACGACUAAGUACCCAAAUAAACACAACACAAACUCUCUCUAAAUUUUAGAUAGGUAGCAAAGGUAACUCAAAAACAAAGGAAAGGUUAAAAAACGAAAUUUCAACUAAAUAUGAACGGAACCUCAAUAACGAUAUAUUACUUUGAAGUAAAUUCUUGAGUAAAAAUUCAAAAGAAACAAUGAAGAAUAACUAAGGAAUCACUAAAAAUACUUACACCCUCAAAACCUUCCUAAAAAAAAUGGGGGGUUGUCGUCAAUGAUGAAAACCUAAGAAUGAGAUAAACGAUCCAAAAUUUACGUAACCCAGGUUGUCCUAAAUUCUAGAUAGGUAAAAAGCGAAACCCAAACUUAACAUAAUUUCUAAAGCAGUACUUGAACCUAAACAAUAAUAUUAAAAAAAACCGUCUUUUACUAUUGAAAAACACACAAAGUAAGAAACAGGUAUAUAUUCGUUCCUGACGGAAAAAUAAAAACAGCCUUAAAACGUAAUUAACUCGGCGACAUCACCGCUUUCGAGUCUUUUAAGAAUAGAAAUCUCUCUUGAUUAUCCUCUAUAAGUAUUUUUAAACUAACUCUAAUUUAUACUUUCCUAACCUAACCUAUCUACCGAGGUCUUUAUUUCUCUAUUUUAAGUGACACUAGUACUAUCUAUUAAUUACUUGGUAGGUGUAUCUCUUUCCAGUCUAUUUGAAUAGAAAUGACAGGAAAAAAAAAUUUUUUUAAACAUAUAUUAGAAUAUUAUCCCACCACGCCUCUAAAAUGCUAGUUUAUAUGAAUUCUGCCAAGUGUAUUACAAAUCCUAUACAUGUUUAACCACUUAUAUAAUAGUACUAUUAUAAAAGUAAAUUUUUUAAAACGAGUCAAAGAUUACUAACUCCCAUCGAAGUACCAAAACCAGUCUUCAGCAUAGUAAUAUAUAUUAUCUAAAUCUACGAGACACACUGACACACAAUAGAAUGGAUAGGAACAUUAGUCCGAACCUGUUUACUGAUUACGUUUUUUCCCUUGACUUUGAUGUUAGUACGGUUUCCUAGCCUAACUAAGAGGUAGGAAACUACUUCCAUCGUCAUCGCCGCCUAGUCGAUUACCUCCUCGGGGACAAAAUUUCUUCCCUGGAACCUGAAGACGACUUCUACGGUAAGAGUAGCUGAUGCAAUUCUUCGUGCCCCUCCCCUUGACCUUACGACAAGUUUUCUUAAGCCCGGACAGCGCGACGCCAUUCUCGACGGCAGAGGCUACCCGAUUAGUAGACUCCGGUUUGAACUUCUCUCCACGGUAGUGAGUUCUCCUCCUCCUAUUCUAGUAAGUUGACGUGCGAUACAAUCCCUUGUUUACCCGAUUUUACCGACGAGCACAUUCAUUUAUAAAACAGGAAACAUGACGUUGGAAUAAAUCGUAUCACUACGGAUUACUGUCACGUAAAACGUUAUCCAGGUGUUUGAAAUUUUUACAAAAUAAUGGAUUGGAAAGUGAUACAAACUAAAUUGAUGGAGAGUUAGUUUUGAACUACCAUAAACCCUUGGAAAGAUUACUUUAUAAGACAAUAUAGUACCUUACAAGACAAUGAAGUACCCUAUAAGACAUUGAAGGAGAAGGAGAAGAAGAAGAAGCAACCAAAAUUUGCUGUUCGUAGUUCAAGAUCGUCUUGUAUUAUACUCAAAGACAAGAGUUUUCAUAGCUUUGUCAUCCAACGUUCUAACUUUAUAAAAUGAGUUAUUUUACGUUAUAUCAACUCCACUCAAGAUACGUAAAAUGGAAGAAAUAGGAACCAAAACAAAAUCGGAUACGAAAAACCAACGUCGUGUAUACAGGCAUUAAAACAGUAUUCAGAAUCAUUAUAUUUGACUUGUUCAGAGUGAAAUCGAAGAUGGGAAGAAUUAUAUAACUAAGGAGGAGGAGCCUUAGACAUGAACCAGUACUUAAGUAAGACUGCGUAUAUUUCGACACAAAUCAUGUUUUUUUAGGAGUAACAUAUUAUUUAAGGUUCAGGAGGAAACGGACGCUGAGAUAAAAUAUUUUUCCGUAUAAUACGUAUGUCAAUCGAACGUAUGAGGGCGACAAACUAUUACGAGAACUACCAAUUCAAGACAACAUAGAUAGCUACUUCAAACCUAUGAGGUAGACAUUUCUUACUUCAUGUAAAGUAUAUUUCACUGUCUAUUUAAACGUUUUCUUAUCAAUAUAUAAACUACAGAGUUAUAAAAACCCAUACACCUCUUAUAGUUAUCUGUGUUCUUGAUAUAAAGAAGUUGUACCCCAAAAUUGACUAACCUAUAGACCGUGAGCAAACCGAAGAAUUUUCGAGAUCUGUAGAGGCAAUGAACAUAUAGAAUCAAUUUCUCUUCACUGAAGAACGAAAGAGUAUACAGAGCUAGAACAUACUUCUAGAUAUGAAGAAAAGGAAGUUUGUCAACAAAAGACGUUAAAGUAAGAUACACGAAAAAAAAGUCCAAUAUCACUGUCUCCUACUCAUUUAGCGGGAUUCCGAGGAAUUGGAGAUUAGUAUCGAAAUCAAAACAGGAAGCGGAAUUUUAAAUACCUAAACUCAGGGAUCGGAAGCGAUAAACAUCGUUAAGGUAAAUAAAGGAGGUUCAACCUAUAUAGGUGUGUUAGUGGUGUAUUGAGGGCACAUUCACCGAAAACUGAAGAGUAUACCACUAAUACACCAUAAGAUAGGUCAUAUUCCUUUUUUUACCCUUGUAUUGUCUUACGAUUUCUCAUGUUUGUUUACCUUUACAACCCCUUAGUUGACUUUAUAAAAUCUCCAACCCCCGGACGCUACGUUAUAUACACUUUCUCCUGAUAAAAUAUGUUGGGACUAUUAAAGAAAAACUCUAAACAAAUUUAAAAGGUCUUAAUUUGAGUUUAUACGAAAAAAAGAAGUCAAUGGUCCCGCCUGUCUAUUGCUCUAUUUCUUGAUAACCUUGUGGGCCUAUUUCUUCGCAAACGCUUACCCCAAUGGUUAAAUGGGUCUUUUAUAGUGACAAGUUCAUGUUUUGCUUUUAGUCGUUAGAGUGCAGCGAUCGUCGAAAUCGUCGUCAAAGGGACUUUCCGGUUUGAUAUAAAAGGUGCCUUUGUUACAACUGAACGGAAUAUAGUAGAAGCUGUUAAAUUUACGGUUGGGUCCUCGGAAUAGGAUGGAUGGCGGUGGUUUGAGAUUAAAAAGAGAGAGAUCGUACGCAUAAGUCUCAAACCCCCACGUUUUAGCAACGAAGUGCUUAAGUUACUUGGUGUGUUCUGUCGAAUUACUUUGCUAGAGAGAAGGGUGACCCGAAGGACAACAACUCGUUGAGAGGUCAAUAAGAAUACUAGGACUGGGACCGUCAUUCUUGGGUCUUCGCGGAGAUCACUCACGAAAACCACCACCGGUAAGGGAAAACUUACCGAAGAGGAGACGAAGAUUCGGGGAAGUUCCCCGGCACUUCAACCUCGAGGGAAGUGAGGUUAUAAGACUCUGACUAAAAUGGUGCCUACUAGGAACCAAUCUAUUUCGUCAACUAUGAAUAGACGUUAGAGGACGAUGUUAAGUAAGCCACGUUUUGUUGUGAAAACGGAGAUACGUUUUAUGGCCAGAAAAUCUUAGGGAAUAAUUGUAUAGUGGUUGACAUUUGUCGAACCUUUUAGCCGGUACGGGUUUAUCAAGACCAAGAAGUCAAAACUGUUGGUUACUGAACCGUCUUCGAGGACUCUAAUUACAGAUGUUGGUUGCGAACCAUCCAAUAUUACUUUAUCGAAGAGGCACCUCAUUUAAAGGAUGAAAAAAUUUACUCACGUGCGGAGGAGAAACGUCGUCGGGCGAACUACUCGAAGGUGGGGGGUUGAGCGGAAAACCAUUCGUAGACAUGACGAAAUAUAUUAUUAGAGCGAAACACACAGACCGGGAUCGAAUACAACUUCGAAGAGACAAGGUUCUUCACCCUGUCAGAUCGUAGUCAGUUUACCUUCAAACCUGAAGAACAACACCAUUCUUCGACUUUACUUGAAAACUUGGGGUUUCUCGUAUUUGAGAAUUGAACUUCAAAGACGAAAACAACAGCACCCUUCAACAACGCUAAUCACAAAAAAGUUUCUCAAAACAUCUUAAUAAGAUAGAUCCGGUCUUUCAAAGACCGAAGAGGUUUUCGUCCUUCAAGAUGAAGCAUAGAAGACGACGAUCGACGUCGUGUUCCGACAAACUGUCCCAAAAAGUUACAUUUCGUUAAUCAGGAAGUCUGUCGAGAUGGAUCGUUCGUAAAGAGGACUUCGAGAAAUAAAAUCUACGCAUUGAACUUUAAGUGUAAUGAUUUUGAAGGUGUCCUAGCUUAUAAUAGAAACGAAGACCACUCGUUUAAGGUCCGGGUGCCAGUUCGCUUGUUCUUUGGGAUAGAGCGGGCCUAAAGAAUUCCGGUCUGCUUAACGAACUAAGAUUGACCAAAGUACCUUCAAGACUUUAACGUUUUCUUCUAAUACUACAGUUGCUCCAUUAUUGCCGUGAAAAUCGACUUCUGAAAACGUUGUCCGGACAAAGAUAGCUAAGUUGAAUAUAUAAGUCAUUACCCGAGCCGGAGUUACGGAAGGGCACCUUCUUGUACGGAGUCCGAACAGUUUACAAGCUUUUAGGAACUCUAGAAAAUAGCUUCCCGAUUUAACGUCCUCUGGGGAAUAUUUAUAACACUAAAAGUGUAAUGGGACGACUUUAAAUCUUUGUUGUAGAAUAGGAUAACCGUGAGUACUGCCUCCCCUGCCCCCCUUCUACUACUAUAGAACCUCAUACGUCCUAAGUUAUAAAAUCGGCCUUAAUUGCCUUUGACGCUACAAAUAACCCCUAAAGGAAGUUAAAUCGGACAUGCACUUGAAUCUAAAUAAAGCCGAAACCCACUAAUUAUCAUGAAACGAUCACAUCGGUAACGAAUACAAAGAACAAACAUUGUCAUUUUAUAAUCUACAAUAUACGAACGAAAUUCGUAAGCUGCCCAAUUAAUCCCGAUCAUUAAAUGACACUUAACAACAACUUAUUAUACUCCCUCUAAUUGCUACAAUGGGCACUAUGAAGUUAAAGUGUAUACCUCCUCAAUAAACAAAAAGGACAAUUUAUCAAAUGACGACGUACCGAAUAAAACAAAGUCGUAAGUCUCAUAAGACAUCGAAAACAACGUAAGUCCCAUAAGACAUCGAAAAUAAAGUUCACUUAUAGUAAGCCUCGUACGAUAGGCAUGUGAAAAUCUAAUGCACAAGUAGAGUGUAAGAUAAGUAGGUUUCUAAGAAUAAAAAGUGAACAAAAUAGUUGAAUAAAACAUUUGAGAUCCUACGCACCCCACAUUUUAAAUAUGGAUACGUAUUCUCAGGUCUAUCCAUCGUAAAAGGAUAGUAAAUAACAAUAAAAAAAAUAAGGUGAAAUAAUAACUAAGAUACCAAAUAAACUAAACUUAAACGUAUUGCAAAAAUAUAAUAACGUAUCAUUUAUUCAACAACCAGAGAGAGAGAGAGAGAAUUCAACGUUAUCACCUCACGGAGAGGUAGUUAGUCUUAUAUAUAUAUAUAGAAGACGAAAGCGUCAACGUGAUUAUUAGUAGGUCUAGUACAGGGUACGAUAACGUUAGAGACACUUAGUAUAGUUUCGAGGAAAACGGUUGGAAACAAAGAGGACGAUGGAGUAAAGUGGCAACGGCAGCUUAACACUUUGGACGUGUCUUUUGUCGAACCGACCUAGCAGCACCACGUCAAACUACCUUUUCUCGGGAACUGCCUGUAGUGACGCUCUUCGCGACACUUCGACCAGUCGUGACGUCAGGAAACUACAUUAGGCAGUUAUGUUGACAUUAGACCACUAGCUAUAGCUACGUCCGUCGUACCUUCUCUUCUCUAUCAACCAGAAUGUCAAGGUCAAACGUCACGCGUCGUAGCUAAGCUGUUCGCUUUCCCCUGUUAAACACGAGUUUCGAAUGUUAGAAACGGCAGCGUAAGAUCAAGGUUCCAAAGAAAACUCAAAAACCAAAGAAACUAAUCACCUUAAGUACAAAGAAGGGAAGAGAUAUAAUAAUAAUAAUAAUAAUAAUAAUAAAAGCGAACAAACAACCUUCUACAUUAGGUUUGAAAGAGAUUCUAAACUACUCUCUGUACCAAAUAGAGGUUUCUCCAGUCUAUUUCUAUACUAUCAAAUUACGGUAGUUCCACUUUCUGUACUAUCAGGUUACUUGUGUUAUUUCGGAAUAGUGACAUGCACUUUCUUAAGAAAAAUCGAUGCAAGUCAUGUUUAUAUAUUAUCUUUCAACUAGUUUCGUUAUCUGUAAAGGCGACAUUCGUCUUUGUGUAACUACUUUAAACUGUACAAAGAAAAAUCAUCCUUUGUAGUUUUAUUUCUUUUUUUCUUCAGGUUUAUUUGUUUAGAUUGGUGUCAACUUCGUAGAUCAAACUUGAUGGUAGUGAGCUGAGUCGGAGGUAUCUUCUGUUCGAACUUUCUGCGUCGCCGGCUGAUCGACGCGCCCCUCCGUUCUGCCCGUGCUAGCCUUCCGCCUUUAGAAGCGCUUAUAGGAAGUUCAGUCACGGUUCUUGUAGCGCGAGAGACUAAACUCUAUGGAGGGAGCUAGAGCUGAGCAAGAGGAGGUGCGUUCGGUUUGAGCCGCGCUGGGUUUAGUGAGGAAAACAUCUACUUAGGUGGACGCCUCCACUCACUGACCUCGGUGGAAAUAGACAUUUUGUUCUCAUUAACGUACAAGCCGGAUUGAAAACUUUGUUGAAAUGAUAAGGCUUUUUCGUUGUACUUAUCGUUAAGAUCUAAUUUCAAAAACGGUAAACGAUUUGACAAGUUCCUCUCCUAUAUCAGAUAAUCGUAAAGAUCAUAUAAAAGUUUGUCAAAAUGAGUUAUCGUGAAUACGUUUUUGACAAGUUCGAUUUUCAGGUAAGGAUAGCUCUUUUUACCAUUUAUUACCGUAUUAGUGUGAUACUAGGAUGACAGGUUCAUAAGUGUUAUUAAAGUGCAUGAAAACCAACCAGACUGUGACCCUGUUCUUCCUUUCUUCUUGUCCUCUUUUGUUACUAUUCUAUUAACAGUUAACCGUCUACUAUUUAAUGAUAAAAAGCUUUAAGGCACUGAGACUUUAUUGUUUCUAUUCUAUUAAUGUACUUUUGAGAAAUAAAAAUAUAUGAAAUCAAGCUACAUAUGUAUAUUAAUUGGUUUAAUGAGGGUUUAAGAAAGACUUGACUUAAAACUUAAAAUUUCGGACGUAUCUCGUUUCGAACACUAACACUAUUCUCUUCAUUUAGUGAGGAGUGGACGUAUCUCGUUUCGAAGAAGUUCACGACUUCGUAAACUGUCGCUGGAACGGCUGCCCGAUCUUAGUAUUUGUCCCAGACGCUGAACUGAGAGUAGCCGUACGCGGCGAAGCAAUGGACUUUAUAGCUCAUUUCUUAGCUAUUCGUUGCUAAUAAUAUUAGGUGGUAUUUACCAAUUGAUAGGUUGGUAAUGAAAAAUUUCUAAUAAUAGUGGACCAACAAACUCUAAUAAUAGAAGUCAGUGAUGGCGGAAGAGCAGUAGGCUUUAACUGCUUUAACUGCGGCUAAGAAGUCAAUAAAGGAGGAGGUAUCGAAAGCUUAAUAGAGGCGGCGAAGGACGACUGAACUAGAGUCGGAAAUAGACAAGCAGCACGUAACUGAGCGGUAGCAGCCUGCUAAGCGAGAGAUGAAAUCCUCGAAGUAACAGCACCGAGCAUCGCUCAAGUGAGACAACCGAUAAGUGAAGUAGGAGUUGUUAGAGGAACAGCGUAAGAACUAGUAAAGGGCUGCUUUGGCACAGCCUCAUGAGAACCGGAAGCGAGUCGAACCUAAGCGAGAAGAGCGACUUAAGAGAGAGAUUUAGUCGCUUUAACCAGAGGAGCCACAAGAGAAAGAGCCGUUGCUUUAUUCCAGACUUAGAGCUUCCGGAAUUCAGAACAAAGUUCAGGGGCUCUUUACUGAGCGGAUAACACUUCGAGAGUACGGAAGAUAUAUUGUUUAGGGAGCCGCCUUCACCUUGUUUUGGGACUACCCAUCUUAACAAUAACAAUGACAACAACAACAAUAAUAAUAAUAGUAGUAGAAAGGGACGUCCCAAUAAUGAGAGUAGACGAACAAGUAUUCCUUCUAGUUUUCCUAAAGACGAACCAUUCUCCUGGCUUCCUCGGCUUGGGCCUUAACACAGUAGACUUAGCUUUCCUUCUAGUUUUCCCAAAGAAGAGCCUCGCUUUUGGACUCCUUAAACCUGAACUUUAAAACUAUUAAGGAGAUACCAUCCGUUUCUAAGUAAUGGUAGGUUUAGUUAGUUUAAGAAAAGGUAAAGGCUAGAGUGCUUGAAGGAACGGGAGGAGGACCGUUAAUUUAAAAGGUUAGAGACUAAGGAGAGCUAGAGUCUUCUGGGCUGCGAGUACUCUAAGAAAACUAGUAGGCGGCAGGUAAGGUGCUGAAAUCGUACUAGUAGUAGGAAGAGAAGAACACGAGGAAGGAGAAGAAGAAGCAGGAGCAGAAGGAGUAGUAGCAGAAGAACUAAAAGUCAAAGAAGGAGCUACGAUAAUGGCAGAAGGCUAAGCGCUAGUACUCUGCUAACACAACUGCGGCGUAGUCUCGGCAGGAAGCUACGACGACUGCCGACUCCUCGGAGUCUUAGGUUGUCUCCCACCUCGAGCAGUUCGUAGCCCUACUAGAGUCUCCGCAGCCUACUCCUAUAGAGGCUGACUAGUCCGAGUGUUAGUCUUCGUCGAAGCGCUACUAGUUGUACUAGUUAGAGAUGGAGAUGGAAUCCGAAAGGUGAAAAGAAAACUAGGAGGGGUUAGAGUGAACCAUAUAAAAGCAAGAAAGCUCUUUUUGGCACUAGUAGAAAGAGAGAUUGGCUAAAAAAGAGCGAUGCCGAGCGUUGAUUUCGAGGAAGUACUACGAAAGAGUGUUCUCUUCGUAGGAAACGAAGUGGUAAAUGUUCGGAAAAUGGGAGGAGAAAUCAAAGUCCGUGUAAACCAAGUGGUAUUGAAUUCUCCUCAGGCUCUUCUUGGCGCCACGUAUCUUAACAUCCUUUACUUCGGUUGUCUUCUCGCUUUUAGCUUCCUUUUAUGGACAUAUAAUACUCCUCUUUUGUGUGUUAUGUUUCUUACUUUCCUACUAGGGCUUGUGUAGGCGCUGAUCGGGAAGCGUAUACUUAACCUUAAAAGAACUACAUAGGGUGAUAAAGGAAGCUUGGCUAGCGGUAACGGCAGAUAAUUCGACAGGUUAGAUGUAAUGUAUUGGACUCUAUAACCUUUGUUUUCUUCCUUAUUACUCUGAUUAAGAUGUAUUAUAUAUAUGUGUAAUGUGAUAAGUUAAGCAACACGCUUUUAUUGCUUUUAUUCCAAACGAAGUUCAUUAUGAUUCAAGUACAACUUAUCGACAUCUUUUUAUUAAGUACUCCUAGGUUCACUUGAUAAUAAUCCUUGGUGAUAAAGUGAUAUAUAACCUUGUUUGUAGAAAUCCUAGGUUGCCCUACUUGGUUUACAUCUUGUGUUUGAAUGUAAGCAUUGUAUUUAUAUUUUUGUGUUUGUUAUGAAGCUAUAUUCGCAUCAAAAUAAUAAGACUAAAUCGAGCAAUGUUAACGUUGUAUGUUGGAGUGUUUUACUUUCGUGAAUCUUGAUUAUUAAUGGACUAUAUAAUAGCUGUAAUCAAUUUAUUUUCAGCUUUAUUUUGUAAUGUAUACCUAAUGUUUAAACAUGUUUUAAAAAAAUUUUUUUCGAAAUGCCUAAAAUUUAGACAUGGAGUCUUAGCACGUAACUUUUACUAUAACUAUCAACACUCUCUUCUUUAAUUUACAUAGUAUAACGCUGAGAAAACUUAGCUUAAAAUUAGGAGUUUGAUUAUUCUUUAUAUAUUAUAACUAAUUUAUUCUUCUAAGUAUAUGGUUUUUAAUCCUCUUCCACAAAGUUUCGGUUCUUUUAAACUCUUUUCGCUUACUUCCUUUCCUUAUUAAUGGGUAGUAGGAGAAGUAGUAGUAAAAUGUGGUUUUUUUUUUUUUUCUUAAAAGUGUAGUAGUAUAAAUAAUCUUUAUUUAAAAAAAAAAAAAUUUUUCUUCGCUCUCUUCUCCUAUACUAAUGGGUUUCGUAGGUGACCUUAAAAUAACCUUACCUAGUAUUCGUAUAUAGUCUAAUUUUAUUAUUAUUUUCUUUUAAGACUCUAGAGGAGGAUUGGAGAGAAAGAGAGAGAGAGAAAGAGAGAGUCUUUGUUUUUACUCGUGCUUAAUACCCCGCCUUGGUGCCGAUCUAAACCCGGGUGGUCCGUCGGUGCACAGUAGUGCAGUGUCCGACCCUAACAAUACGCACCGGUAAAACGUUUGUUCCAGGAGGAGAGAAAGAUUAAACGUUGCGUACCAGAGCUAAAACCUAAAAAAAAAAAGAAAAGACCUUAAACUCGGGCUUAAAGACGACUUUCCACUAAAAAAAAAAAAAAAAAAACCCCCAAUUCUUUUGGAAAGAGUUUUGACGUUUUUGUCUUUUCUUUUUACUAGGAUAUAACGCUUUAAUUUUAUUAUCACAUAAAGAGAAGAGUAACCGUAAAUUAAUAAGAUUAAAAACAAAAGAAAAAAAGAAAACUUAAAUUAUCAAAGAGCUGUAUAAAACAAGUUUACUUCCUAUUAUUAUACUUACUUUAAAGUAUAUCCUUUGAACAAUGACCCAAACAAAGAAAUUUGUAAUGUCGACUAGUGAAGCAACGUAAUAAUCUUUUUCGUGGUUUACUAGUUAAUUUGUAUAGCUGUAAUUAGGUCGCAAAAGUAAUUUUAUUUUGUAAGUCUAUCUUCCUUUUUUUCUUCUUCUCUCAAGACUAGGAGCGAUUUGUCACAAAUCUAUAUUAAAACAUAGAGGUUAAUUGGUUAUUUAUGGUGAAUACUUGUGUUUUAAAAUAGCCCGAUUUUCUUUGAUCGUGAGAUUUCAAUGUUUCAUUACAAACCGGUGGUCUUAUAACAAGUACAUGUCGAAGUCGUCGUCGUAGGAGAAGAGACAACUAGUAAAGAAGGUUAUUCUUCGGGACUUUAGACUUUGUGAGCCUACAAAAGCCUAGAAUUUCGCUAAUACAUAUGAAAGGUUAGAGGUAGAAGAAGAACUAGCGGGCGACAGGUACCAUAUAUUUGCGUAGCUAUUAAGGUCUUUGACACUUCUGUGGACCUGUAACAAGUAUUCAUUGGUUUUUAAGCCCAAUUAUUGAAAUACUCGUUAGCAUUCAUAAGCCAUUUUGACAUGAUUAGGUAUUUAGUCCAGCUUGGAGGUUGUUACCGUGUGUUCAAUCAGUCUAUCACUUCUUUCCUAGCCAAAAGAAGGCACUUCUAGUGGACGUUGUAUCCAAGGUCAUUUGGAAACAGGUCUAUAAAAUUUUUUAUCUUUGCGUUUAUUUACUCCAACCCUAGUGUCACAUAACCCUAAUAAGUGCGUGCGUCUGAUUAAUCGACGUUAUAUUGUCGUGGUUAGGUUCGUGGGGGCGCGCGCGUUUUUGUUGUGUGUGUGUGUGUGUGUUUUAUUUUCUUUUUCUUUUUUUUUUUUGGAUUCCUAUUAAGAAAACGUAAUAUCUACAAUUUAUAUUUUAUAAAAAGAUGAGUAUAGAUCGCUAAGAAGUGAAGAUCAGAGAUGGUCUGUGUAGUGUAUUGUGGUAUUCUCUUCAUCUACCCUGAAUUUUAAUAGUAUAACUCUUGUCUAUUUGGUUUGAUCGACACGUAGUUCAGUCAUUUUAUAGUUCUUUAAGUAAGGUGGAGAUUGUUUAUAUAUCCGCAUGCAAUCUCCCCGACUAAAUUUUCUCAUUAAGACUUCUAAACUAUACCCACUAAGAGUAUAAUCAGUAUUAUGGAAGCUGUUAAAUCCUGUGAUACGGUUAACUUUUCUAAACUUCUCGCCAUAAUUGUAAUUCCUAUAAAAAUAAGUGGAAUUAACCACUCUUCAGUAUUUUCUUCUUAUGCGGUCCUUGCCCGAAUCCUAUUUGUAAAGGUAGAGACUUCACGAGACAGUGACUCUUGACACCCAACUUUUUUUUAUCUCCUUUCUUUCUUUCCUUUUACUCCGUAGUAUUACACAUGUUUUCCAUUCUAUAUAUUGUCCGUGGUUUCUCUCUCUCUCUCUCUCUCUCUCUCUCUCUCUCUCUCUCUCUCUCUCUGAUUGAAAUGGACCAACCUCACCUAAAACACGGGGGAAUACAGUCACAUUUAACACCCCUGUUGGACUCUUUCAUUUCUUCUAGGAAGUUCUACGUGAGCGUACAUUAUAGUCUCGUAUUUGUCGGAUGGUCAGGCUAGUAUAUUCUACGUUAUAGGUCUAUUGUACUAUAGCUGGUUCGUACCUCUUUUCUCGUAAUAGCAGGGGUCGGAAAAUGUUCUAAAUUGUAAAAGUUAACAAUGAUAAAGCAAGUAUUUUAAACAGGAAAAAAGAAAAAGAAAAAAAAAAAGUGUUGGUACGGGAAAUCCCAUUUUGUAUAUAAGUAGGGGUUUUUACCUAACUUUUGUAGCAGUAUUAACGGUACAUAUACGAGUGCAUCGACGGUAAAAAGAUGUACCGUUAAUACUUGUAAAGUAGGAAAAAGUUACAUUACUUUUACAUGUUAUCUACGUUUCCAACUCCUAGUUAGACAUCGGCACGAUUUUAUAACUCCUGGCGGUUACCUUAGAUGGGUCUUAUUUUCCUGAUCGUAUUGUCAUUCCGGUUGUUAAUGAGUGGAACUAUUUCAUGACUAUACGGGGUCUACUACGAACGACACAGGUCACGCGUGACUAUACAAGUAACUUGACUAAUCUUAAUACUUAUUUUCUUUGUUUUUUUUUCCUUGACAUCUAAGGUUGAAUGGGUAGUUCUCCUAAAUGUCGUGGACCCUUGAGGAAAGGCUUCCUGUCGAACAAAUAAAACACUCAUUAGACCAUAAAAAGUUUAUUUUCUCAGUAAAAUAUAGAAGUUAAAUAGGUUGUUCAGUUUACUCAAGUACUUACGUUGAGUGUAACAUUAAAAGACGAACUUUCCGGUUGUUUAGUACGUGUACCUGUAAACUAACUACCUUCGAAAAAGGUCGCCGUUUUACCUUUAAAGGUCGAUGAAAUGGUUGUAGGUUCUUGGGUACCUACAACGUAGGAAGGGGAACAAGGAGAAAUUAGAAAAGUUAAUUCGGGAGGGAGCACGUGAUUGUAUUUUGUUUCUGGUGUUCUAGUUUUAGUUUGUUUUCCCUCUAAAAGAUUACAAAAUACCUGCUUGUUUAAUAUUUUCCCCCGCCAGUCGUACUCUAACUCUAACCCAUCCCAAAAACAUUCAUGUUAUGAUUUCACGUAUUAUCUUAUUUAAGUCUCCCCAAUAGACGUUAAUCGCAUUUAUAUAUAUAUCUAGUUAUUUUCGAAGGUCUCUUUGUUAAUAUUUAAUGAUACCGGUUUGAACUAUUAAAUAUCGUUAGUUUUCGAAUUUAACAGGUUAUAACUAUCAAUAUGGACCAGCUAAUUAAGACCUAAACUGUUUGGGGUAGGAAAUAAAGAUAUACGAAGUGCUUGAAGAAGUGUACUUAAUGUCGUAACUAGUAGGUUGACGUAAAUCUUUUUGUUAAUAAAAACUCAAAUGUCUUUUAGUUUGUCGGUUGCCGGUUCGUGUUUUCUUUGAUAAUUUUUUUUUGAUUUGUGUCCUUUUUGUGUCACUUAUUGAUCCAUAGUACUAAAGGAUAAACGGUGGGACUUUAUAACUUAGAUUGUGUCGUUGAGGAGUUUGGUAUAUAAAAGUAUGAAAACGGAACAAGGUCGUCACAACGAAGUGGUUAUAUUUAGUGAAACGAUUAUACGGUCGUUCCAUUUUUGAUUUUUGUCCAAAAUUAUAAAGUUCCCCCGUUAUAAUUAUCCUCCCAUAGUAUACCAAUUCGGUUUUUCCUUGUUAAUUCGUGGAUUUCUCUGCCGUAAUUAUAAAUUUUUUUUUUUUGUUGACGUUGGUAUAAAGGUAUGGCAAAGUCGUGGUAUCGUCCUUGGUGUCAUGCAGAGCAAUACGAGUUCGGAGGGGGGUACAGAGACAUCUCCGGAGAGUUAGAUGUAUUCUUUUUUUCCCAUUCUUUAAUAUUAAAAUUUGUUCCUUAAAGUUGGAGAAUUACAGUAUCAAUGGUUCUUUAAUCUUUAUCACCGACUAUAAAACGAAUUUAAAAAAAAAGACCGUGAGACGUCCAAAAAUAACGGGUUCAGUAAUCCGUUAAUUGUAUUCGAGGAUAUUCCACGGAUUCGCAAAGUUCCUCUCGUUUUGAAAAGUCUUCGAUAUGUUUUUCCGGUUUAAGUUUGUAACUACGGAUGUAAGUAUAUUGGACGUAUCACCGGUUUUUGUCCCUUUUUUUUUUCUCCUCCUUAAGAGUUCAUAUCUAAUGUACGAAUGUACGAUUAGUAUUCAUGUUUUCAAUGAUUGGAAACCCCGUGGUUGUGGUGGAACAGAACUGGGUUAUUGUAAAGGUUCUACCAGGUUGGAAAAGAAAUCUUACAGUACGGAGAUGUUCACCUGUCUAUAUUAUGUACAUCAUAUAAGAAACUUCAACGCCGAUAUAUUUAGAUGUCGUGAUAUAUUAGUUAAUUUCUGUUGUUUUCUCUUCCCACACUUGUAUGAUACAGGGUCACAACGAGGGGCGAUUAUAGGUAACAUAGUUGUGAGUUUUCACUCGUUCGUUAUCGACCUUUUCAUUAUAGUUUGACGCCCUCUUGUUUUUCAGUAGUUAUGAGCACCGUUUUUCUUACUUGUAAACUAUACACGACUUUUUAAAAGUAGUAUUCGGAGAUAUACUUACAGAGACUAUAUUUCCAUACAGGUCAUUUAUAUAUAUCUUAUCAACGUUAAAGUUGGAUUUACAUCGUGAGUGUUCCGUUCACUUUGAUAUUGUUUGGAUAAUCAUAGUAGAUGAGUAGUAUUCUCAUCAAUAUUAAGCAAUAAUUUUAAUCGUCCACUUUUCGUACUAUAGUUCCUGAAGAUGUAUAAGAAUGCUCAAACUUUGCCUCUAUCUUUUCAAUUCUGUUAGGUUUACAUGAAGUUAUUAAUUAGUCGGGAUUUUGGUUCGGUCGUUAAAGUUAAAAUUGACUAUCUUUCUUUCACUUCAUGAUUGUAACUGUGCAUCAGAAAGCGGAGCACUACACAGUUGGUGGUUGAAUCAGAGUCAACGACUCAUUUUUUUAUCAGGACCUUUUUUUCCUACUUUAACUCUUUACUACUAAUCUAAGUGUGAUAUGUUCGUACAUCCUAUGUAGGUCCUUCCGCUGUUCUUGUGUUCAUACGUAACUAUACAUCCAUACGUUCUUCCAUACGUUCUGAGUGGUCAAAGGUUCAUACCGGAUUAUAAAUUAAUUCUCUGUGUUUCUCCUUAGGGUUUUACAGUCUAGUUCGAAUAUAGUAUAAGUAGUUGGUAAUCUAUACUAGUGUCAUGAAGUGAUAGACCCUAAUAUGGUAUAUUACGGCGAGUACGUUUUGAUAAAAGGGAUUAACGUUAUUUUGUGUUCGUGUGGUUUACGGAAGAUGUACUGGUGAUUUAGGCUAAUAUUUUAUUCAACUAUUUAGUUGUUUUUGUUAAGUUUUAGGUUAAAAAUUAUCUUGGGUGUUUCGUGGUUUUGGUUUUAGAAGCUUUUUAGGAUGAUAUGUGUUGAGUUAGUUGGUAUGCUUCCUCGUUAUGUGAUGUAUUACUCUACUUUUUUCCUCCUUUUUUCAAUUUAGGGUUUGGUUUUUCGCAGAGUGAGCAGAGCUACCACUUCUCCUUUGUCAUUUAGUUGUUUUUAGGUUAAAAAUUCUGUUGGUUGUUGGGUUACCGGAGUUUUGGAGGCCCUUUAAGAUGAUGUCUCGCAGGUUACUUGGUAGGUUUCGUCGUUUGUGCGUUGUAUCGCUCUAGUCUUCUCCGCUCCUUCGCAGAGUGAGCAGAGUCUCUACUUCUCCUUCUCGUACUGCUCUCGCCUCUGCUAUCACUGCUACGGGGGCCUCUCGCACGCCGACAUCUUCAGGAGCAACUAGAAGCCCAUGCGCAGCUCCAAGAAUUCGAACAACUCCUAGAGGUAGAGGUUUGUGAUUAGGUUAGGUUAGCCCCUUUGUUUGGGAUCGGCUUCGUUAGUUUGGGAUCGUGGCGGGAGAGAGAGAGAGAGAGGGGUUUCUCCUUUAGAUCCCAAAGGCCCCGCCUUUGUCACGAGGCUAGAGUCGCGCCGCCUCAGCGUCUCCUCCGCUGCGCAGCUGUGCGUUGCUCUCUCAGGAAACCGGGAAACUGGUGGCAGCAUACUAUAAUUAAUUAAUAAAGAUAUUAUUACUAAUUUUAUAUUCCGUUUACGAUGUAACGAUACGAAUGUAUGUUACAUAGGCUAUUACGUCGCCUACUCGUUAUAACGCAUUUUAACGCAUGCACCGUCUAUUAGUCACCUAGCCAUAACAUAUGAAACAGGUGCAGCCUAAGGUGGCUUCGUAGCCGAACUCCAGUCCAUGUAAUACUGCAUGGGUAUCAUAAUCAGAAGCAUAACUAACUCGCACAUCGCGCCCCUCUAAAUGACGACGGGAAAACAUCCGACGAUUACCGUAAAAGGGGAAAAAAUUGGAAAAAAAAAAAGGGAGAGUAAGUGGAAAAAAAAAAAAUUAAAUAAUAGUAAAACAAAUAAAUAAAUAAAACUUCUUCGUGAGUCUUAUUAUUAGAGCAAAAGCCUACAGAACCUAUAGUAAUUUUGUUAAACUUGGUAGAAUUUUAGUGCCAUAAUAACGUGAUCUUAGAAUUUAAAAUUCAUAAUCCCCUAAAAAUAAAAAACCCAAUGAAACCUACGUGAAAAACCUAUAAAAUAACCCCUAUUAAAACCCCAUUUGACCUAUUACUAGAUCUUUUCAACGUUUCGAGUUGAACACUCUUGUCUUAGUUUAUUAUGAUAGGAUAUUUUGAUAAAGUGUUUAUUAGGUUUACCUCGCAUCAUUAACCUAAUGUACUCGAGUGAUAAAGGAAAAAACCUUUGAGAAAUGUAUAUUGAACCUCCUAAAAUGUGCGCGUUAAUUAACGUCGUAUACGCAGCCUGGUAAAUCAUGCUUUUACCACGAUACCUAUAUAUCUUUAUGUAUUAAUUUUUUCUUUUUCUAUAUAAAAUGUCAUUGAUCAUAAAAUUUUACGGUAAAUGUUCGUUCGUUUAUCUUCCCGUUUUUCGUAAAAUGAGAUAGUUUUAUUAUUACUGAACAGAAUAAAUGAAUCGUAGUGUCACGUACAGAGGUAAGUGGUGAUUACCUCUUUAAUUUGGACGUCCAAAUUAUUUUAUAAUUACUUUAAAUUUGGACGCUCUUUAAGAGUAGACGAACCUCUUUCUGUUGAUAAAGAAAGGAGAAACUCUAUUAGUAAAUAUGAGACAAACCUACCUCUCUUAUUUUCCUUUUUUUUUUAUUUCUUUUUUUUCUCUCUCUUUGCAAAAAUGGACACUUUUCUCCCUUUCUUUUUCUUUUUCUUUGAUUUUUAUGUGAUGAUGGUAUAUUUCAAAAUGUAUAAAUCUUGCCUUUUCUCUUUAGGUAUGUACUAUGUGUUCGGUGUUUAAAACGAUUUGAUACUUUCAAACCUAGUGGAUGUACCUUGACUUUCUUUGUUUUUUUGUGUUUACUUUUCGAUGUUGUCCUUAAUGUACUUUGGAUUUCGUGUUGUACGGGGCUUAAAACAGCUUUUCGGGAUUACCAAAAGUGGUUAAAUUGAUGUUCAGUGGUAUAUUAAAUUCCUUAUGGACGUACCAAGCCUGUAAGAUGUCAGGAUUUCAAUCCUAGAUAAUCGCUUUAAAAUCAAACUAAGAGUUGUAAAGUUCAAAACGUUAAACGUAGGGAAUAGAAGCUCAAGAAAACGUUAGAAUCAUGAGGAUAUUUAAACGAACAAUAUUACUUACCUUUAAAAGGUCAAUUGACGGUGUAUUAGUGGUGAACCUACCUCAAUGUACCACAAAUACCUCUAUGAUGGUGGGUAAAAUUGUUUCUAUAAAUUUCCUGAUUCUGACUAUAUCUUUUGUUUUAAAGCCCUGGGUUAACAUUAUGAACUUUCGAGCUCAUGUUGUUCACGUUAGAUGGUUAUUGAACUAUAGGUCACAACGUUUACUAAUACGCGGUAGAGUGACAAGAACAGUGGUAUGUUUAGUGUUGGGGCAGCAAAGUCCUUCCGUUUCAUUAGACCAUCUCUUUUUUUUAGGUUUUAAUCAUUCUGUUAAUAUUAAUUUGACAGUUCAUACGUAGAGAACAGCAAUAAUUGUGAGUUUUUUCGCUCUGUGUAUUUCGCGAACUAUAGGAUGCGUGUUUUUAUUAGUAAAAUUAAAAGAUUCGGCAGUAUCUCAUUUAUACAACAAAACGUUUCUCCGUCUACUGUUCAUAUAUAUUAAUGGUGAUCGUGUCUUUUUUCUCUACUUUAGGCCCCUCUUUAUACGAUAAGUUCUAAUCGAUCGUAUACGUGUGUGUUAAGUUAAUGUUUAACGGCUACAAACAUAGACUUUCUUCUGAGACCGUGUUUUACGCCACUAUCUUCUCUAAAGAGGUUUAUAUACUUAUAACCUCUUAUAGGAGAACAAAUAUGUACAAAUAUUCUAUAAUGAAGGCUUCAUUGAUAAGGCUCACGAGUUUACGAGAGUGUUUGAAUGGUUUAGUCUCUUCGAAUGAAAUGAUCUGAAAAAUGGUAUUUGUCAAUUCUGGCUGGAUUUUGCCCUUACUAAUAAAAAGUAAAACCUCAUAGUUUCAUGUCAUCCGGGCCAAAUUCGAAGUUCCUACUUCUCUAACUUGCCAUUUUCACUUACCAAUACAUGUGCUAUAGCGUCUUAACUUAAGAAAGACGCUUUAAUUAACUAGGUCUGAUUGUAACUUAGUCUGAUUGGUUUUCUCCAGUGCUUGAUCUUUUUUAAAUUCUAACGAACUAAUAACCAUAGUGAAUCUUUAUUGAUGAUCUUGUACUUUUUUUUCAUUCAUAACGAACCAAUUGUUCUUUGGUUUACCCAACUUGAUGUCUUUAUCUUCCUUCGUUCUUGUCACGAUGUAUUAUCAUAAUAGAUAGUUCGGCACUUUUUCUAAGUUGUUUUCUGUUCGUUUAUGUGAUAGAUAAAAUGCAGUUCGUUAUUUUUCUUGAUUUAAAGAUCUUUUUAAGAUUUCCUAGUUAUCGUUAUCGAAAUCCUUGACAUGCCGAAUAUUAGAUGUCUAUCUUUCAAGUUCCGUAUCUUCUAGUAAUAAACAUUGUUGUAAUGGUCUUUUUUCUUCAUUUUCUUUAUGGUCUAUAUUCAAUUACGUGUUUAAUAUCAGCAGUUAGGACACUUUCCUAAUUGGCUUUUUAGGCGCUGUUAAACCACUACGUGUAUUCGUGAAGAAUCGAGACGCCCUCGGUUUUGGUGGAUAAGAGAGUAGUAAUGACGGUGAGUGUGGUAUUAGCAUUCAGUUAAGCCAGUACCCUCCUUACACGAACUCGCGUUUCUUGUAAUAUACACGUACGGGAAGUAGUGGUACUAGUACAUUAUGGCCGACGGUAUUGUGUAAUCCACUCGUUGAUACCAAGUAUUUUGCACGCUAUAACGGGUAUGAAAAACGUCAAUACCAUUACCCAUUGUUUAAGACCCGAAGGCAACUAAGUAAGCAUGAACCAAGUGGGUUAUUGAGCCAGGGUGCUAAGGUAGAACUUCAGAAAAGCGGUUCUAUACGACAAACUUUCUAUAUUAGUAGAAGGAGUAGCAAGUACAGGUGAGAUUGGAGUAGUUAUUCAAGCGGGCAUAUAAGUGUUUAUUUACAUGGCCGGGCCUAGCCCAGGGUGCUUGCAUCCGGGGUUGGCGCUAGGGCGCAGAAUUUUUGGAGUUUCACUUCGGAUUAAGGGAAAACCCAGUGAGAUAAAGCUGUUAAUUUUCUCGUAACUGUUCUUCUUGGUGUAAGUCGUUAUUCUCCGAAAGCCGAGUGUUCGUUGGGAUCUCUUGAUAUCCCUUCCAGCGGAAGUAAAACAACGCGCGUGCUCGUUAAUUACAGUGGUCCCUCUGUCUGCGAAACCGUGAACGUUGGAACAUUACCAAAGUAAUUCGACUAACCAAAAUUUAUAAAUUGGAAUCACUAUAUACACUUUACUCACCCAGGAAAGAGUAACAGUUGUAGUAAUUGUUCCGUUUGUCCAUAUAAGAGUCACGGUCUCCUAUUUAGUCUAUCAUAUUGAGAGGGGGAGGGGCUGCCCAAGAGAAAGGUAAAAACUCAGUAGAAGGUUUGGCGUUCUGGGAGCCCAACGGGACCGAGAGAGUCGUUAAACAUGAACUUUUGUAACUAUGGUCUGAAGCGAAAGAGGAAGGUGCUCAAGACUUAGAACAUCUCGGGUAGUAUCAUUAUCUAAAAGGGCCAAACCGUCAACCCCAGAAAGCGCGAGGCGUGUUGGGAUUAAACCAAGAAAGCCAUGUUCGAAGAAAGGUUUCGUUCUAAAGGGGAAAGUUCGAAAACCAGGAGCAAGAACCACGAUGGAGGAACUGGUCACAUUUAGUUCUUUAGCUGUAGCAGAAGGAGUAAGAGCAUUGGCGGCCUCCUUUGUUAUGUAUAACGGUGCCCUAGUAGAACUAAUAGCUUAAACCGCCAGUACAUCAGUUAUGGACGGUACGAUCCCCGCACAUUUGGUUACUACGUGUAGAGGUAGGAUUUUAUCUUUUAUAGGGGAUGAAGUUGCGGUCCAUGACCCGGUUAGGAGAAGGGACGUAAUCGGAACUCUAGCAAUCGGUUGUACUAACGGGGCCGGAAAUUUAGGACCGCGGGCAAGUCCAAGCUGCUGAGCAGGUUGACGUCUUCGGCGGCGGAGUCACGUAGUUUUUAGUAGUACUAGCGGAGGUGUAAGAGGGAUCCCAGUAAUAUGCUUUGGGACUCCCGGCGAUAGAGUAAAAGGCCAUGGAAGGAAUGACCGAAUUCUCCGAACUGGAAGAACUGAAAACGGCUUAGCCUCGCGAGGCGUCUCGACGAGGGAUCCGCCCUGCCGGAAAACUAAAAGGCCGGAGAUCUUCUCCAGAGGCAUUGCUUUUACCUGAGUAGGAGGAGCAGGUAAAGUCACUUCGAGCCGCCCCACACUUUGCGUCUCUAACCGCACCGAAACUACCCCGGCAAUCUAGGUAAUGAUCGUUAAAAGCCUCCGGCAGGAGAACCAGAAAAGUGGCCUCAGUGAACUCCAACACGUCGCCGUUUUCUGCCUUGCCCGCCCCUUUUCAAUCUUCCUUAACCUCUAGGUUUUAGCGGGCUUCUCCCUGGUUUCCCCCAAUACGUUUGAUCACCACCUAACGAACUAACCAAUUUCAACAGCUUGUGGUUUACCCGCCCCUUUUUACCUCGGUCUCAAGAAUUCCCGAAAUGUAGGUUUCGUAGGACCAAACUUGGAACGCCCAAGAAGCCCACGGAGGGGUAUCGUUUGGUUUCAUGGACAUCUUGUUUUUCUAGUGAUAUAUCAAGAGUCGUUGAUAUUUUUUGCAUUAAACUUGUAUAUUAAUUAUAGAUUCGCACUUUUUAUAUAUGUAUGUUUCUCCUUCGUCAUUGUUGUUAUCAUUUCUUUAAUACUAAUUGACAUCUUUACUUUUCUUGUUUCACUGGUAUAUUUUAUCAAAUUUUAGUAGUCCUUUUUUUUCUUUUUUUUGUCUCUCUUUUAAAGAGUUACUUUGAUGUUUUAUUCUCUAUUUUCUUUUUUGCUUCUUGUUUGGAUCUUUUUCAAGGAUUCCGUGUUUUCACUCCUAAAUGUGUAUGUCACUUUGGGAUCUUUUCUCGAUUCCUUAUAUAAGCUGCUUUGUAUGUUUUUGGUUGGUUUGGGAUCGUUUGAUUUUUGGUCUUUUUUGGCCGCUUGCAUCGUCUCUAGGUCUUUUUAACCUUCGAGCACUCGUUUUUUUUAGCCUAAAAGCUUCACCCAGCUUCUCUAACUUCGUUAAGCUGCUUUUUUUAUCGAAGCCUCUAGUUUAAUCACCUAUUUAAUCCGCUCAUUUAGUGUCCUUUAAACCCCUUUCCCUCCCCUAAUGGAGCUCCUCGGCCUUUGGGAUCUUUAAACGUUAAAAAACGAGCAUAAAUCUAGCCACUUUUGGGAUCUUUUCUUAGGCUCUUAACCUAGGAGCUAGAUAAAAUCUUCGGAGUGGUCGCAAGCCCAAGGGAAGUUACCUAAACAAAAAUCCCUGUCUCCGGGACCGAAACUGCCCCUCUGUGCUCAAAACAUGCCUGCCGCAGGCGUACGCCUCCCCCUUAUACGCCACCUCUAACUUCUUACUCACUAACCUGCCAGCUAACGUGCCCAGGCGUACACCGCAUCAAGCAUGUUACUCGAGACGGUAAACUACCCAACCCUCGGCAACCUAACAAACCUCUAAGCACCACGGGUUAUAGACAGCUGGCGAACAACUGCUAUCAAUCUUCGAUCUAAUGCGAACAGGAGACGACUGAAACGUUGCCACGUUUUACAUGAAGUUUUACAUUAACCAAAGAAAGAAGAAAAAAAAAAAGGAAAAAGAUUAUAUAUGUGUUAUUUUGAUAAAUGGAUAGAUUGGAGAAAUAUUUUUUUAUAAAGGAUAGAUCGGAGGAAAACUUUUUAUAAGAGGUAGAUCGGAGUAAAAGUUUCUAAUCUCUUUUUUUUUUUUUAAAAAAAUUAUAUAUAAUUCCCCAAUUCACUUCCUCUAAUAGAAAAAGAGAGAGUAGAGGAUAAUUAAAAAUAUAGUUUUAUUAAAAUUAGGGUAAGCCGGAUAUUUAAAGUACAAAAUUACAUAAUUUUGGAUUUUAUGCUCUUUAGGUUUAUCAAAAACCUAGUUCUAGUAAUAUUAGUUGAGGAAAGCUUGGUACGUAUUAUAAAAGUAGUUUUAUAUUUUUCUAAUCUUAACCAACUACGCGGUACACUUUUAAAAGAUAAAACUUUAUUUAACUAUACUCUAUUUAAUAUGUGUUUUUAAUCCCUCACUCUUCCCUAGAGCCCCUUCCUCUCUCUUUUUUUAUUAAAGGAGGUGAAUUGGGAAAUUAUAUAUAAUUUCCAUAAUUAAAGAGAAAAAAAGAAAUUAGAAACUUUUACUCCGAUCUACGCCUUAUAAAAAGUUUUCUUCCGAUCUAUCCUUUAUAAAAAAACAUUUCUCCGAUCUAUCCAUUUAUCAAGAUGUGUUAUAUCUGUUUGUAAUUGGCAUGUGCAAACUUCGCACUGUAUUUGAGGUUUAUACAAAAAAAAAAAAAAAACUCUUUAUCCAUCGAACGAUGGACGAAGUAAGUAAUUCGUUUUACUUAAUCCGAAUGUAUAACCUCCGUCGGUCCCGGAGGCUCCGCUUUGGUUGCUAAUGUUUUUGUCUUUUCUUUUUGAUCUGAUGGAAUAUCGAUGGGAAUGUUGAUUCUAUGUUUUCCCGGGAUAUCGUUGGGUAAGUUUAUUCUAUGCUCUCCCUCUUUGAGGAGUCAGGCUUCUUUGACCAAUGGACCGGAGUUAGGUUAGACACUAGUUUCUUCACUGAGCAAGUUCUUGGGCCUAUCGUAAUUCUGAGGGGAGCGUCUUCUAGGACAACAAAGCGAGACAGGUUUGGUGGGUGGUCUAACGGCGGUUAGGCCAAUCUGAAAAACGAGAGUUGAGCCGUAACACAUACAAUGGAUUAAGUCGGGUUUAGGAGGACCGUGGGGGAUGAAGGCUAGGCGAAUACAGACGUUGAGGGCAUGUUUCAUCUUCCAUAGACUGCUUAUGUGUGAGGGCUUUUUCCACUAGUGACCAAAGACGAUUGUAUCGCGUUUUUUACGUCAUACCUAGCUGUACCGGGGGAGAAGCCUAUUAAGACAGACGCCAUUCGUUAGAGAGCGCCUCUUCAUAGGUUUACUUUUAAAACUAAAACUGGCCUUAAGACUCGGAGGUCUCUACUUGCAUCUGCCUCAGAGAGUCGGGACGUAGUCACUACUUGAGCAUUUCGCUAAACUGGCAUUUCUAAACUAAGCUUCAGGUAGAGGUGAAUUAACAUAGACCACGUAGGCUACCUGAUAUGACUCGUUAGUCUAAAAACUCGUUUCAGGAGACGGCCGCCCGCAGCGACAGUCAUAAGCGUUAUUCCCGAGACCAAUAUUUUGCGGUAGAGGUGGGAAAUAGUAAGGUCGUAAAACUUUGACACCGGAGGAACAACCGUUGCGACCUUACUUAUGGACCUUUAGAUCAUGACUCUCCCCAAAGAAGUUAGGUUUAUAGUCUGGUGUCGGAUUAUAAAAAGGGCAACGGCUCGUGCAUGCUUUGUGGUGUAGACUUGUGAAGAGCUGUAGAGUGGUGUGAAGAGGUGGUGACCCUCACCCCAGCCUUCCGAGAAGGGAGUAUAUUGCCGGAAGAAGACCAUAUUAUAUUUCUAAAUUAGUUGGAGGGGGUAUCGACUAAGCCGAGAAACUUCUUCGCGGUGGUGGUAAACCAAUCAUCUCGGCAUAAGCGACGAAGGUACAGAAACUGAGGAUCGGGGGGAAGAAAAAACGAAGAUGUUUAAUCAAAGGUUGAGUGGUCUGUACUCGGAGGGCAUUAAAAGCUCGAUGGANNNNNNNNNNNNNNNNNNNNNNNNNAGGGUUGAGUGAGUUAUUGGUUUAAUGUUGAAUAUAUAUAUAUAUAUAUAUAUAUAUAUAAUUAGGCUGAAAUACUAUUAAUAGCACUAAGCUAUUGGUGCUAUUAGGUUUUCAGCCCUUGGAUGAAAAUAUGUACGAGAUGUGGGCUCCCUAGGGUUGAGUGAGUUAUUGGUUUAAUAGUAUAAUCUAAUGAGUAAAAAUAGUUAAAAAGUUAAAUCUAACGGUAGAAAAUUUGAUAGCACCAAACGCUUGGUACUAUUGAUAAUAUUCCAGCCGAACUAUAUAUAUAUAUAUAUAUAUAGUCAUUGGAUUUUAGUGGCCACUAAUAAUAAUAAUAAUAAUAUAAAAAUAAUAAAGUUUGGCCCAACAACCUUAAAUACAUAUCACUUAAUCAUGUCGAGAAAGAUACAGUUACAGCCGUCCAGUUAGUUGGCCAAUCCACGCCUACCAACUAACCACAUAUCCAACCCGACCUACCAAUUAACUUAUUCUCACCACUAUUUUGAUACUACAAAUAUCUAGAAUCUAUUGCCAUUUUAAUAUUUAGUUCAAAUUUUUAUAUAUAAAAAGAUCUUUUGCUUAUUUAUUUAUUAUUAUUAUUAUUCAAAAUUUUUAAAGUUUUUCUAAAAUUAUUAAAAUACUUUUCUAAAAUCCAGUCUAUUAGUAAAUCCUAGAAAAAAUAGAAAUUUGAAAAAAAAAAAAUUUAAAAUUAAUAAAAGUACUUUGGUUCUUCAAAAAUAAAUAAAAUAUUUUUAAAUUUUUAAAUGAUAUAUUAGAUAUUAUUUCUUUAUAAGAAAAAUAUUACUUAUAUACUCUGAAAGAGUGUAUGCAGGUACACCUCAUCAUCCUACGAUUUAAAAAAAAAAAAAACAACUUAACAAUUGGGGGUGUUAAAUAUAUAUACACUAUCUUUGGGGUGUAAAGAUAGUAGUGCUCAAANUGUAGAAACAGAAUCCUAAGGCCUAGUUUUGUAUUGUUGUCAUUUUUUUUUUUUUACUUUUUUAAACACUAAUUUUGUAUAAUUUGAUGUGUUAGAGAAUUUUUUCUUUUUUUAAAUGUUUUUGUUAUAGUUGAUUAGAUUACCAUGUGUAUCAGGCUAAGUGAUAAAUACAAUUUAUCUAAAAAGAUUUGAAAAUAGAAAAAAGUUAUUUUUAAUAUUUUGUUUUUUGUCCUCGAGUAACACUUUAGAUGAAAAGAUGGUAAGCAAUUUAUUGUCCUCGACAACUCUUUUUUAUAUGGGAAAUUUUAUUUUAAAAGUAGGGUCAAAUGCAUACAGCUCCCUACAAACAUAGCCAAUUGCGGAUAUAUCCCUGCAAAAUCGAAACUCCAUAAUUGUUCCUACAAAAGUCCCAAGUUAUGCAGAUAUGUCCCUGCAGUUAUCAUCUGUUAGUGAGCUGUUUGUUUUUUAACAGUGAAGUCGUGAAAUGACCAUUUUAUCCUCACAAAUAUAUCCCUCCAAAAGUUUUCCUCUUCCCCUUCUCUUUCUUUUCCUUUUCGGACCGUCGAAAAAGACGACGGCGGCGGCGGCGCGGGGUCAGGUUCGCCGACGACGAAGAAAAGGCAAGAACGCCGAGCACCGGAGCUCUACCCGGAGCUCGUCGCCCUCAACGUCGUCCCCUCCCUCGUCGGCACCGACGCCAACGUCCUCGGUGACCACGACGACCCCGCACACGCCCUCGUCGCCGCCCUCGUCGCCAACAACGCCCUCGAGCUUCUCGUCUAGAAACUCGCCCGCCUUUCCUUCGAGAUCGACCCCGACGAGAUUCUUCUCCCUCGCCGGUGACGAAGAAGAGGGAAGAGGAAGAAGGAAGAAGGAAGAAGAAAGAAGGGAGAAAAAGGGAGAAGAGGAAGAGGGAAGAGGAAAAGGAAGAGGGUUCGCCACCGUCGCCGUCAUAUCUCCUCGCCGGCGACGAAGUAGAAGGAAGAGGAAGAGGAGGAAGAGGAAGAGGGGUAAAUACGUCAAUUCACACUAUAAUUAAUCAUGGUUAAGUAUUUUAAGCAUGGUUAACGAAAAUUUUCUAACAGAUCUGGACGGUAGGGAUAUAUCUGCAUAACUUAGGACUUUUGCGGGAAUAACUUAUGGAGUUUCUAAUUUGCAGGGAUAUAUCCGCAAUUUACUAUGUUUAAAGGAACGUGUAUACAAAUAACCCUUAAAAGUAAUAUAGACGAUAUCUAAAUUUUUAUUUUGACAAUUAGACCAUCUAAAUUAACUUUAUGAAAACCUCUAUACCUGUAAAUUUAUUCCCACCACCAUUUCGAGUGCUACUAUAAAUAUCUAAAUACUAUUGAUAUAUUAAUAUAUAUUUACAAUAUACAAAAAAAAUGUGUAAAAAUUCAUGAAUUCUAAAAUUUUAAUUUUGACAAUUAGACAUCCUAAAUUUUAUGAAAUAGUUUAAUUGUCCUUCUGAUCAAGCAAAAUUUUGCAUAUAGUUUUUCUAUAAUUUAAAAAAAAAAUUAAUUUUUUUUGUCUUUCUUGUUUUUAUAGGUAAGUAUGGUGAUGAAAAUAUAAAGUGAAUCUACCUUUAAUUUUAUUACUUUUCUGAUAUGUUAGAAUGGAGAAAAAUAGAUUUUUUUUAUAUUUUUAAAUAUUUACAAAAUGGAUAUAAUUAUUACUGUCAUAUUUUUAACUACAUACAUCUUUAAUUAUAUAUUUUUUUUUUUGUUACAUCCAAUCUUAAUAUUUUUUUAAAAAAAAAUAUUUAUUCUCGAAAUAUGAAAAUUUUUGAUUAAAAUUUAUUUAAUUCAUUCCACAUAAAAAAACUGCGGCGGGAGCGAUUUUCUCGGGUGGAGUUUGAAACGCGGCACACCCGUUGGUGGGCCCCACGGGCCGUCCCCAUCUCUCCACCGUACGAUCUCCGAAUCGAUGUAUCUUAAUAUGUGCGAUGACGUGUCGCUGUACACCGACGCACGGAAAAGGAGGAUUUCGCCACGUGUACGCCUAAGCGUCGGGCCCGAUCCACGUCACUCGACCGUUUUUGACCGGCACGUGUCCCUCUCCGGUUGGUUUAACCGGGUCGGUGACCGGGAGGGGCAUUUAAGUAAGGAAAAUAGUAAACACACUGCCCAUGUUGUUGUUGUUGUUACUUAUACUCGCUCCUCGGCGGCGAUUUACUCUCCUCUCCUCGGCGGCGAUGGUAAUGGGGUGGUGGGACCGCAUCGUGUUCCCGAUGCGGAGGGUCUGGAUCGGCGUCGCCUCCCGCCUCGGGAUGCGCAAGUCCGGUAAGAUGGACGGCCGCGAUCGAUUCUCGCCUUCGCCGGAAUUUUCCUUNCUAUUCUUUUUUUUUUCCUUCUUCUUUCUUCUGUUUUUUCAUUUCUGGCCUGACAAUGGCGGUGGCAGUUUGGAUUGUUGAGCAGCGGCGGCGGCGGUCUCGACGGCGUCGGCGUUUGUGCACAACAGCAUCGGCGGCAGUCACUACAGCAACGACGGCAGUCACUACAGCAACGGCGACUUUUCUCCUUUUCGUUUUCUCUUUUUUUUUAAAAAAAAACUCUUCUCCUCAUUCUUUUUUUUAUUCUUCUUCUUUUUUUUCUUUACUUCUUGCCUGACAACAUCGAAUGGCAGCUUAGGCGGUGCCAGCGGCGGCUUGGGCGGCGUCGGCAGUACGCACGACAGUGGGAAGCAGCGUCAGCGGUCAUGGUGGCAGUGGCGGCCGCGGGGACAAUGGCGGUCGCUACAACAACAUCAGCAGCGGUCACGACGGCAACAGCCACCGUUUUCCUUUUCUUUUUUUUUUUCUUUUUUUUUGUUUCUCUUCCACUUAUUCUCUGUAACUCGCUCUUCUUCUUUUUCUUCUUUUUUUUUUUAUCUCUUCUUCCUCCUCUUCCUUCUUCUUCUUCUUCCUCUUCUUCUAUUUGAAAGAUAAUUGAAAAUUUAAUGUCACUAUAAUUUUUUUUCCCUAAAAACACCUCCUUAAAUAUAUUUUUUUAAAAAUUAAUUAUUUUUUCGCAUAUUUUUUUAUUUUUAUUUAAUUAUUUUUUUUAAAUAUUAUAUUUAUAUUAUCUAUCCACAGCGAAGCGCGGAUCCUACACUAGUUAUAUUUUAUAACACAUCACUAUUACUCAGGAGGAGGAUCAAACAAACUCUCAUGUUAUUUUAUUCAUUACCGGUUAUUACAGGAUCGGAUGUGCUGCUCUAAUCACUCCAAACAUGUUCGUCGACUUAAUUUAGUAAUGCACACAACACUCCCAACUUAAACAAAAUUAUACCAUACAAAACAAAAUUUCAAAUUUGAAGAGGGAGACCGACCGUCCCUACGGCAAGUGGCAAAAUAUUUGGUGGUUGAUAUCCAAGGUCCCAAGUUCGAGUACUAAUUGAUUUACAUUUUCAGCUAAAUUUAUUUUUAAAUAAAAUAAACGAAGCGGGUAGCGUGCUAUCUAUCUCUCCAAAAAAAAAAAAAAUUGAAGAAGGAGAGAUUUAAGUAACCGUAUACAACAAGAAGGGAGGAUUCUAAUCGACUCUAACACUUUACUGUGGAGAUAUAUAAUCAAUAACCAUCUCAUUUUCUUUACGGAAAAAGGCUCAUUCAAUACUUGCCGAUCACUGCAUCUGCAUUCAUGGGACAUACAAAAAGCCCAAACCACAAAGCAAAAGAGUAGGCCGCUCUGAUCCAGUCAGUUUCAGCAACAAUCAUAGAUGGUCCCUCAUCUACUGACUUUUAUCUUACACGUCCACUCUGUAACUGACCUCAUUUUAAUUCAGCAAUGUCUGGGUCAACCUUUUCCGUUGACCAACCCUUAAAAAAAAAAAUUCAAAUACCACCCCUAUUAUUUUGCUUUUUUUUUUUUAUUUUAGUACUAUACGGUUUAAAGUNUCUCUGUGUAUCGCGUUUUCACCCUUUUUUUUUUUUUACCAUACUUGUUUGUUGCGUUGUACGUAUUAUUAUUAUUAUUGUUAGUACUCUAAAUUAGAAUUAGUAGUGUAUGAUUACUUUUAAUGAGUAUCAUUAUUAGGGAUAAUUUUAUUUUAACUCGUUCUAGAAUUAGUAGUGUAUGAGCAUUGCUUCGAUUUUUUUUUUUUCUUGGGAAUUAAUGUUCAGGAGGAGGAAAAAUGAAAAAUCGAAAUUUUAUGGCCCGGAAUGCAUAUAGUGGGAUUUUUUUGUUUGUUUUUUUAUGCUGCCUCUCAAUAUUUAUUUAUUUAUUUAUCUAUUUUUCUCAAUUUGGAUUUUUUUAAAAAAAAAUAUUUCAUGAAAUUAAGCAAAAUUUAAUAUAAAGUAGAAAAUGAGACAUAUAAUUUAUUUUGCGCUCGAAUUUUAGAAAAUUUAGAGAAAGUAAUGAAACUAUUAUUAAUUUUUAUUUUAUUAAAAUUAUUAUUAUUAUUAUUAUUAAUGUUGGGCUUAAGAUGGGUCCAUAAGGUGGUUGGCUAUACUUAUUUGAGGUGGACGGUGUUAAUAAAUAAUAAAUAAUAAAUAAUAAAUAAUAAUUAUUAUUAAGGGGAAAGAAACAGAAGAUACUAUGCCUUGGAUAUUGUAAUCAGAAUAUUCCCGAAGAAUAUUCCCUCUAUGUAUGUGUGUUUUUUUAAAAAUUUUUAAUUAAUGCUAAGCACGAGAUUUGUGGUGAGUGACCACCAAAAUAAGAAUCGGCACUGUAUAUAUUCUUUUAUUUUAUCUUAAAAUAAUAUGAUAAUAUAUAUAUGUUAAUAAUAAUAUGUAUGCUCCUACCACGUUCUUUGUGGGGUCUUUUUAUCACAGCAAUUUGUUUGUUUAUAUAUAUGUAUGCUAGUGAAAUGCGCUCGCUGCGGCGGAUCGAUUUUAUAAAAAUAAAUAAAAUUAAAAUAAUAAAAUAUAAAUAAAAGAAAUUAAAGAAAAACAAUAGCUGCUAUAAUAAAAGCAUAAGAAUAAAAAUAUACAAAGAAAAAAAAUAUAAAAAUUAUAAAUUAUAUUUAUAAUAGCAAUAACAGUUGAGAAUUAAAAUAUCAUAUAUCUAAUUAAAAUAUGAGUUUGAAAGCGUCACAUACUUUAUAAUUUGAGCAAGAAAAUAUUGCCCAUUAAAUUUGAGGACUAAAUUAUCACGCGUCUUAUAAUUUUAGGAUCAAUAGUGUAAUUUAUUCUUUUUAUAUUUUAAUUUUAUUCUAAAUGAAGACCGUUGGUCUGUUUUGUUCAAUCAGUAAUUUUAUCAAAAAAAAAAAAAUUGUUAAGCCAUCUAAUAAAUUUUAAUAUUAGAUUUGAGUCAAUUACUAAUGCUUUUACUUUAAAAUUUGAAUGCUUCUUUUAGCUUUAUAGAUUUAGUUACUAUACUUUAUGUAAUCUUUGUAACUAAAUUUAUUAAAAUAAAUAAUUAAUUUAAACCUCAUCAAAUUUUUUUUUAUUUAUUUUUGAGUAUAUAAUCUAUAUGUAAUUGAUUAAUAUUAUAAAACUAAAUUUUUUAUUUAAUAAUGUAAUCUAAACUAUUUAAAAGUAUAUAUAAAUAAAGUCUGGUUGGGAUUCUAUCGAUAACACCAAACGUUGGGUGCUAUUAAGUUUUUCACCGUUAGAAUUAAGUCUGUGACUAUUUUUAUCCGUUAGAUUAUACUAUUAAAUCAAUAACUUACUCAACCCUAAAGGGCUCACAUCAUCUUAACCAUAUAUUUUUUCAUCCAAGGGCCGAAAAUCUAAUAGCACAAAUAAUUUGAUACUAUUAGUAGCAUUCCAGCAUAGUUCGUAUGAAUAUUUAUAUAUUUUAUUUUUCUAUAAUAAAAGAGAAAAAAAUUAAAUUGAAUUAAAAAAUAAAGUCUAACUUUAUAAUGAAAGAAGAAAAUUAAAUUAAAAAAUUUUAAAAAAACCAUUUCUAGUGGGCCCUACACACUCCCAAACCCACCGUCCCACUCCCCCUCCUCCUGCACGAAAAAUUCUAAAAUGCAACAGGUGUAUUAGUGAUGUGGCGUAAUAAACCAAUCAAAUGUAUCAUUUUAAGAGUAUCUGUCCAAUCAUGAUUCAUGAUUGUAAAAAAAUAUUUUUAUUGUACUCUUUGUUUGAAAAGAAGGAAUGUGAUUGGCUUGUUAUUGAUGACAUUGUGCAAGUGUGACAGUGUAGAAUUCCUCCUGCACGCGCUCCCCCGCCACGUGGCAUCCGACUCUCAAUUCAUGAUAUUUAAUUUAAUAGAUAGAGAGAGAGAGAGUUGAGCUGAAAUAUUAUUAAUAAUAUUUAAACUGUUUUGUUAUAAAUUUUUUAGCUGUUAGAUCUAUACUUUAAUCAAUUUUAUCUUUUAAAUCAUACUAUUCAACCAGCUAUCCACUUAAAUCUUAGGGGGACCACUACUAAACCCUAGGGAUCACUAUUAUUCUAAUCUUAUUAUUUUUAAUCUGAUAAUUAAAAAUUCGAUAGCAAAAGAGUCUAAAUACUUUUAAUAGUAUUUCAGCCUAAUUUUCUCUCUCUCUCCUCUCUCUCUUCUCUCUAUAUUAUAUAUAUAUAUAUAUAUAUAUGGGUCCGGCUACUAUACUAUUAUGAGUACGAUCGCCUUCGUACUCAUAAGUUGUUUUCGAUGAUAGAUCUUCCGAAUCGACGAUCCACACCGUUAAACGUCAUUUUACAGCAUUUAAAACUUCCUAGAAAUCAAUUUAUAAUUUUCGACGUCAUUUACCUUACCAAACGAUCAAGAGGUCACAAAUUUGACAAUUUUUAACGGCCGGUAUGGGAUACUUGCUAGUUUAACGGUGUAAAAGAAUCGAAAUUUGUUGAAUAUUUGAUAAAAAAUUUUAUUCAAUACAUAUAUAAAGAUCAAUAACUCCGAUCUUGAAUUGAAGGAUCCGAUCAUCCUUUUUAGGACGUCGUUCGAUUUUGACCGUUCAUUUUAUACCCACUUGAUGGACUUUAUUAUAAUUUCGAAAAUUUACGAAAUUUAUUUUCUAGAAGUUUCAAAUACUCUAGAUCAUAUUUAACGGAGUGGAUCGUCGAUUUGGAAGCUCCAUCAUUGAAAACAACUUAUGAGUAUGAGGGCUCCAAUACUCAUAAUAGUAUAGUAGCCAUGGCCUAUAUAUAUAUAUACACAUAUAUAUAUAUAUGCUAAAUUAUGAGCCGUUACUAAUUGGAUAGCAUAGUUUUUCCUUUUUUUUAAUUAGUGGCGGAUUUCUUUUUCUAAAAAGAAGGAUAAACUUUAAUUUGCCUCGGUGUAAUGUUUUUCUUUUUAGAGAAACAGAUGGUUCAAAAGAUCUUCUGUUCGCUUUAUUUAUUAAGCAAAUAAAUUAGGCAAUAGAAACUGAGUCAACUAGGCUUCCGCAUAGUUGAUUUUACUUUAAAAAGUUAAAAUUAACUAUCCUAUUAUUUAGUGUGUUUUUUUACUUUACUAUCUUGUUAUUAAAAGAGUUACAAUAAAUUAUCCAGUAAUUUUAUUUUUAUUUUAGUGUAAGGACCCGAGGUUAAACUAUUCUGUAGUUUUUUUUUUCAGUGAAUAAAGUAUAGAAUAGUUAAACACAACUUUUUGAAUCAAAGACCGACUAUCUCUAAAGCAAGUGGCAAAAGGCUUGGUGAUUGGUACCCGAGAUCCAAGUUCGAAUCCUAGUUGAUUUACAUUUUUAGCUAAAUUUAUUUCUAAAUGAAAUAAAUGAAGCGAGUAGCGUGCUACCUAUUUCUCAAAAAAAAAACCUUUUUGAAUCAAAGCGGCUAAAAAUUCUUACCCAAACAGAGCUUUGGAUUUUAGUUCUUCUUUGGGCUGCAUGUUCACUUGCUCUGGGCUCUUAUGGGGGGACCAAUUUCUCUUUAAAUUGUUGAAUUUACAUGGGCUUGGUAUAAUGUAGCCUCUAUAUUAGUAGAGGUUUGGUUAGGUUACUGGGGUUGUCAAUUUUUGUAUUUUCAAAUUUUCAAAACGUUUUUGGUGUCACAUUGAAGGAGAGAUUCAUUAGUUAAUUUGCUAAGAGCCUGUUUAGAUGUUUCUUUUUUUUUUACCCUUUGCAGGAUGUCAACAGAUCGGAUUCGGGACGGAUUUUUACAAAUCCGAACCUAACUCCAAACCCGAAACUCGAACCCGAUGAAUUUUAAAAAUUCAUAUCCAAAUCUGAACCCGACCAACAAUCCUACACCCGAACCCGAAAAUUCGAAUCCGAAACAAUUAUUUCUCUUUUCAAUAUUUCAAAAUAUAUUACAUUAAAUCUAAAAUUUGAAAAUACAAAUUCAAAUAUAACAUUAAAUUUUUAUAUAUAUAUAUAUAUGUAUAUAUAAUGUAAAAUAAAUACGGGUUCGGAUCCAGUACAAUCAAAAUCCAUAUCCGAAUUCAUAUCCGUUGGAUUUUUGUUUUUGAUAUCCAUAUUCGAAACCAUAUUCGUCUAGUAUCGGAUAAAUCCGUUCUGUUCGGAUUCAAGUUCGGAUAAAAUUUCGAGUGACACUCCUAUUUGCGCCGGUAGGAGAAUGAAGUAACCAUCACUCUUGUUUCAGAGUAUGUUCCUUCUUUGAGUUUCAUCUGCAAGACUGCAGCUUACUCUUAUCCAAACAAGUCUUAUUAGGGAAAAAAAAGUUAUUCCCAUGUCACUACUUAAAAUGGAAAUUUAAGAUGCAAUUAGCUAUAUGUUUGAGAUAGCUAUUUGAUGCUUCAUUAGGUGAUAAAUAAAAAGAAUAAAGGCACAUAAAAACAAAGGAAAUGUCAUAGUUAAAAAUUAGUAGAACUAAAGAGUAGAUAUGCACAGAGAGAGAGAGAGAGAGAGAGAGAGAGAGAGAGUACCCAAUAAGGAAAUGAUAUAAUAAGCCCAGAAAAAACUGAUGAAAAAGAUUUAUUGGGAAUAAUUCCAAACGUAAGACCGUUCUAUCCGUCAUUCGUACAAUUUUAAAUUUUCUGUUGUCCAUACGACGGACGGUGGAUGAAAUAGUCUCACAUUCGAGAUUUGUCUGCACUAAAUAUUUAUUUCAAAAUGUAGAUUAAGAUUAAAUAGCUCAUGUAAUACAUGCUUUAUUUGAACGAAAUAAUUUUCCUGUUUUUUUUUUUGUAUCAAAUACAAUUUUUGUUUUGGUUCAAAUUAACCUGACCUUUUAAUCAUCUUUUGCGUACAUAACCGAUGAAAUAUGAAUAAUAAUUUAGUAAUAAAACAACAAGUUUGAUAUUUUCCUGAUAAGAAACAGAGUUUGUAGUGCAAUUUGACCUCUUCUCUAUAAAAAACCUUUUCUACAAAUUUACCUCAAAAAAAAAAACUAUUUUUUCAUUCUAGUCCCUAAUCUUCUUUUUCACCAUUUAAGUUUCUAAUCUUUAGUGUAAUUUUAAUUUAACUCAUUGUCUUUAUAAUACCACUAGUUUUGAUGAAAAAUUGCCAUGUAGCGAGAUUCAAUUCUUAUAUAUUGUGCUCUGGAGCUCAACUGGACUGAUCGAUUGGACUAAAAUAAUUAUAGUUUAAUUUGAAAAAUAUCAUACUAAAAAAAUAGUCAAGUAAUUAAUCAGUAGAGCCAACAAGUGAUUCUGAUUAUAGAAGAAAAGUUAUUAUUAUUAUUAUUAUAUUAUUAUUAUUUUUAUAUAUGACUAAAAUAAAUUGUCUAUAAUUUUUUAAAAAUAUAUAUAUAUUUAAUAUACAUUAAUAAUUCGACUUCAAUCAAAAUUUAGGUGAAUUUCUAGAUCAUAAGCCUUUUUUAUUAUUGUUCUUUUGUCAAAAAAUUAUUAAUAUAAAUAUUAAUGUAAUAAAUAUUUGUCAUAUUUAUGGUAUUUCUUUUUAGAGUUAACUAGUAUAUGACUCGUGCGAUGCACAGCUAAUGUAAUAAUAUAAAAUAACAAAAGUUAUUAUAGGAUGAUAAAAGAAAAAUAUUUUAAUUAAUAUUAUAUUUUUUUUAACAAAUAAAGAAAUAUACUAUCAAUCUUAAUUAUAAUACAUAUUAAAUUACGAAAGCUAGAGAAACAAAAUUAUGGACCAAAAUAAAUACUCAGGUAAAGAGCAAAAUUAAACCAUGCUCUAUUAUCUAUGAAUUGGUGUGCAAAAUAAUUUGUUUAAUAGUAUUAUUAAUUAAGAUUGAUAGUAUAUUUGACAUUAAUAAUUAAGUAUAAUUUGAUUUAAUAAUGUUUCCUAAUAAAAUUCUAUUUUUAACCAUCUAAUUGCUAUAUUUGAGUUUGACAUGUGGCAAGUAUAUAGAAAGAUGCAUGAUAAACAUUUAAUUUGAUUUAAUUGUAUAUAUAAUUAUAAUUUAAUUUAACGGUGUUUAAUAGUGUUUACUAAUAAUAUUCUAGUUAAUUGUAUAUAUAAUUAUAUUUAAUUGGUAUAAUUUGAUUUAAUAGUGUUUCCUAAUAAAUAACCUAUUCUAUAUUUGUAGUGUUUCCUAGUAAAAUUCUAAUUUGUAUAAUUUAAUUUAAUUUGAUUUAAUAGUAUUUUCUAAUAAAAUUUUAUUUUUAAUCAUCUAAUUGCUAUAUUUGUGUUUGAUAUGUGGCAAGUAUAUAGAAAGAUGCAUGAUAAACAUUUAAUUUAAUUUAAUUUGAUUUAAUUGUAUAUAUAAUUAUAAUUUGAUUUAAUAGUGUUUAAUUGUGCUUUAUAAUAAAAUUCUAGUUAAUUGUAUAUAUAAUUAUAUUUAAUUGGUAUAAUUUGAUUUAAUUUGAUUUAAUAGUCUUUCCUAAUAAAAUUGAUAUUCUAUUUAUAGUGUUUCAUAAUAAAAUUCUAGUUAAUUGUAUAUAUAAUUAUAUUUAAUUGGUAUAAUUUGAUUUAAUAGUGUUUACUAAUAAAAUUGCUUUUCUAUAUUUAAGUUUGACGCGUGGCAAUCAUAUAAAAAGAUACGUAUCAGUUUUACAUCAAGAGUUCUACUUUAGUAUAUAGUAAAAUUGAGUUUGACACGUGGCAAGUAUAUAGAAAGAUACGUGUCAGUUUUACACCAAGAGUUCUACUUUAGUAUAUAGUAAAUAUAGUAAAUAAAUAGUUUUUUCAACGACCUAUACUGAUAUACAUUAUCUAAUAAAUAAAUACUAAAAAUUAAGGACCGGAUUGCAAAAAAAAAAAAAAAAAAAAUGAAUCGAGGACCCAAAAAAACACGAAUGAAGGUUAGGGACCAACAAGGCAAUUAACCCUUUAAAAUCCGUCGCUUCUCUUCUUCCUUCCUCGCUUCUUUCGCAGCGCAAACGAUGUCGGAGAACCCCUUGGAGCCCCUCCUCAAAACCCUAGACUCAAUCUCGCGCUGCGUCCAAACUCACCUCUCCCGCGUCUUCGUCGCCCCCCAAAACGCUUCUCCAAAACCCACGCUGCUUCGUCCCCUCUUAUCCUUCUCGCCGACUCCCGUGGCUCCGGAUUCUACCACUUCACCCAUAAAGGUGCGCCCUUUGCUUCUCUUUUGCGUCCAAAGAAGAGGUGUUGAGCGCUUAUGGAUUUGGGUUUUACGAGGUCUGUGUGUUUGGGGCUUUGUUUAGGAGAAAAAGGCGGCGCCUUUAACGAAGGAGGAGCUCGGGAGGGCGACGUGGACUCUGCUCCACAGCAUUGCGGCCCAGGUGUUUGGUUUUUUGCCUCUGUGAUGAUCUUGUGCUUUCUCAUGUUUUUUCCCUGAAAGUUACCUUGUCAUUUCGUAGUGAGUUCCUUUUUGUUGGUGAAAGAGGAGUAACUUUGUCUGAUAUUAGCCUUUGGAGGUAGAAAUGACGUAACCUUGUGUCAAUUUAAUCUUUGUAUUGUUUAAAAUGCUGUUGGAAAUGUUGAUUAUAAGAAACUGAGUGUCAAACAAGUGAUUAAUCUAAAAGUACAAGCUCUUAGCGAGUGGUGUUUUAAUAAUUUAUAUUCAACACUUCUCAUUGUAUCUAGGCUCAAGACAUUUUGAUAGGCCAAGAUGCAGGCUACAAUUAAAUGGAGGGAAAGUAAUUGCGACCUGCUCUGAUACCAUAUAAGACAACCAAUUACUCUAAAAAGUUAAGCUAUCAGAUAACAUUGUUUUAAUAUUUUAUGUUCAACACUGAGCUGGCCCAUUGAUACUUUUUUUGGCUUGCUUUCGAAUAGGUAUUAGCAAUAGAUACUUAAUUAGGAUGUUUUCCUUUAUUAUCUUCUCGUGCAUGAUGGGGAUGUUAUGAUUGUUAAGAAUGUUAGUCCCAGAGUGUGAGACUUGAAGAUUUGAAAUAGUUCUAUAUAUAAGAUAUAAUAGAACUAAAUUUUUUAAUCCGGAUAUAGCAUUUUGGACUGUGGCUAGGUUCAAAAGAUUAAAGGAGUCAAGCGUGCUAGGGUUAGAGUAGUCUUAAGAUGCGUGACCCCCUGAGAAGUGGGGCGUCAUAGUUGGUAUAAGAACUAACUACCAGCCGGAAGUAUGAGAUGAGUCUCGGUUGAGCCAAGUUAUACAGUGGACAGAAUGAGACUCUCUGGCCGAUGACUGUUGUGCGUGGAGCGCGGCUUCUUAUAAGGUCGACUAAGGCUAGCGAGAUGAGUCUCACAUUGUCUGGUACUUGUGAGUGUGCUUAAGCCUGAUGAGGACGUCAGAGUUUAAAAGAGAGAAGAAUGUGAGACCCCAGGAUUUGGAAUAAGACUAAAUUUCUUAACCCGGCUGUAGCAUUUUGGACGGUGGCUAAGCCCAAAAGGUUAAGAGAGUUAAGAGUGCUAGGAUUAGAGUAGUUCUAUAAUGGGUGAUCCCCUGGGAAGUGGGACGUCACACAGAGGGCAUCCAGUGUGAACGACAGCCCCAGAAUCUAGUCCCAAAGAGGGCUUUGACAUGGUGCCAGAGUCAGCUUAAGUAUGAAAGGCACCUAGUAAUUGUUGGUUGAAUAAUUAAGUUUCUUAAAUUAAGGCUGAAAUUCAUUAUUCUGAUCUGUUUAACCAAAUCUAAAUUUCGACUAGGUUGCGGGCAUGCAACAAGCACCUAUGUUUGGCUUCGGGAGUUGACUAAACUUGGUUUAUUAUAUUUAUUUUGACCCAUGUGUCACACAUUUAUUGGCUAGAAGAAAUGAUUUUGCUUUCUUCUAGCUGGAAACAGCAUUUAUUAGCCAUAUGUAGUGUGAGCAGCUUUAUGGAGUUGAGAUUUCUGCUGAAACCAACGAUAAUAGACAGAAUAUUCUUGUAAGUUAAGUUUUCAUACUAGAUUUUUUUCUGUUGAACUACUUUCACAAGUCUGCUACUUGUUCUGCUAGCUAUCAAAUUAAGGGCUUACCUUGGUGUAUAUCAUUCUCCUUUGGACACAGCACAUUGAUUUUCUGUAUCUUGUUUAAUACUUUUUCAGUAUCCUGAUCACCCAACAAGGCAGCAGAAAAGAGACGUGAAAGAAUUGGUAUGCAGCAAUGUCAUUUUCAUUUGCUAAAUUAUAUUGUUUAAUACCCGAUUGCAGCCAAUGGUGUCCAUUUCGUUUUGAUUAGAUUUUUCCAUGUUGGGACCAUGCACUAUGCAACAAUUGUACCCUAGGGCGUUGAAGACUUGAAGUUGAUUUUGUAGUUGCUCCAUGUAAAUUGCUAGAUUUAAUGAAAUAUGAUGAUAAGGUAGUGGUAGAUUUCUGCAGAAACAUUGGAAAUCUCUUUUGCUGCGAUAGCUAUUAAUGGAUAAUAUAUUACAUGUUUUGUAAAUCGAAAUAUGAUAAAUAUGUUUCUUUUUUAAGUAUUGUUGCUCAGUUCUUUGAUUUUUUGUAUUAUUGUCUCUCACUAUAUUAAUUCGUAAUAUGUGACAAUUUUUUUUUUUUUGGGUAUAUAUUGUCGCUAAUCAGAUCGUUUUUUAGAUCUAAAAAAGACAAGCUUGAUUUCUACUUCAUGUUUUUUUUCUCUUCUUGCAAUAGUUCAUUAACCUUUGGUUCAUUCAACAAUGGAGUCUCAUAUUUUGAUCAAAUUAGACAUGAGAAUAACACAGGUCUUGGGUUUGUGCACGCAGAUGGCUAUAAUAUCUCGACUUUACCCUUGUAAAGAAUGUGCCGAUCAUUUUAAGGAAGUGUUGAAGUAAGUAUAUUAAUUACCUUCAUAGGACUUGCUUGCUAAAUUGUUAUCGCAACCCCUGUUCUGUACAAAAAAGUCAAAAUGCCAACAUUAUCAAUGUUUUUGAAGUGCUCUUGGGGUCUCUGAAGUUUCUUGGGUUUGAACCUCCCAAUUACAGUUGUUUGAUUUUGGUCGGGUUCCAUUAGACUUAGUAGUUUCAGUUACUUAAUAUUCGAAAAUAACAGAAUAUUCUGGUAAAUUCCGGAAUAUCCUGUCAAAAAUGUUUUAAGAAAGUUGGUCUCACCAAAGCUGACUAAAACCAUUUAGUAUAGUGGGGCGUUCAAAGCCAAAUAUAUUGAAGUCCAGGGAUCUGCUUUUAGAACACCUAGAGCUAUAGUUGGCUUGUAUUGGCUUAGAGAUUAUUUUUGGUGUGCACGUAUUACAUGAAAGAAUAAAGGGUAAACAUACAGCCAUUUGCUGUGUUGUGUUUUGGCAGAGCGAAUCCCGUACAAGCAGGAUCACAAGCUGAAUUCUCUCAAUGGCUAUGUCAUGUACACAAUGUGGUUAAUCGAAGGUAAAUUUAAUCCUCUCCGACACUGUACCUCUACUGUCCAUCUGUUUUUCAUUUUACUCACAGGAAGCAGAUUGAGUCAUUUUUCAGUAUUAAAAAGAGUUCAUCAUUUUUCUGACAUAUGUUUUUGGGUGAUAUUUAUAGCCUAGGGAAAGUGAUAUUUCCCUGUCAGAGAGUGAACGCUCGAUGGGGUAAGUUGGAUUGUAAGGAUCGGUCCUGUGAUUUGGAAGGCACUGUCGACAUCAAAACUUUAACUUCCCACACCUGAUGUAUCACAAAGGAUCAUUUUGAGUAGUGCGAUAUCUUUCUACAUCAAGGAAGAAAAGGAAAUACUAAAGUUCACUCUCUCUUGUUUUACCAUUUUUGUAGUCAAUUUGAAGUAAAGUUUAGAUGGACAUAAUGAUGCUCAUUGUACAGCAGUGCAAACCAUCGUGAAGGCAAAAAAGUAGUAAAAUGAUUAGAUUUUUAACUAUGGAUGAUUGUCAUUGAACCGUAUGCUAUAUGCAUUUUGAGACUGUGACAUGGCAUGUAUUGACGUAAGCUAUAUUAUGUAUAUUUGUCAAUUAUUGUCCGUUAAAUGAUUAGAAAAAAUUGGUUGGGUCAAUGCAGUUGUUAUGUUCGAACUGAAUCUUCAAUCUUGUGCAUGGCUUGGAUGAAAUCUGGUGAAUAAGGUUAUGCUGUAAUUGUGAAGUAGGUUAUGAGAAUAUGUAGUUGCUUAAGCGUUUUCACAAUGCCCAGAAUUGUAUGACUUGGUUUUCAACUGAAGCUAGUAAGUAACCUGGAAACAUUACUGUUUUUUUUUUCCCUGUCGUUUUGCUUCUAACUUUUUAAGGAACUCAUGAGGUGGAAUUCACAAUCCAGUAUAAAGCCCCCCUUUUUUCUGGCUAAAUUUUGAAAUGCACUUUGCCUACUAGAUAGCAAACCAUGCGUGUAUUGCCUUUUUUUUUUCUCUCUCUCUCUCUUUUUUUUUUUUUUUUUUUUUUUUUUUUUUUAAGGUGCUGUGCUUUUAUGAACAUCCCUUAUGCUCAUGAUAGAACAUUCGUACCGAUGAUUAAUAUCGUAAAAUAUAAUCUAAAAGAUUUAAGAUACAAACUAACUAAAAUUUGUCUUUUUGACAUUGUCUACAUUAUGAAAUGCACCUUAAAGUCGGUAAUUUUAAUGGCCAAAAUGAAUUAUUUUGGCAUUCAACAGUGUAAAGCAAUUAAAAUCAGUGAAAUUUUAGUCGAUAGUAUUUUUUCAUUGUUUAGAUUUAGAUCAAUAAGCUAACGCUUAUAACUCACUCUUAAGUUGAAAACUAUAUUUUCUACUUCCACAAAGCUGUUCAAUAUUAAACAUUUUAUUCUUUGACCCGUCAUUUUUAAAAUUGAUCAUCCAUAUCAUUAAGAAUAAGUACUUGGAACAUGUAGAAAUUGACUUUUUGCAUUUUUUUUUCCUCUCAAAUUUAUUCUCUGGAGUAGCAAAAGAUCACAGAAUCAAUGGUGAAAAUUAAACAACCUGAAAAACCCUAGCAUUUGUUUGGUUGGGGGUUAGGGGUGGAAUAACCCCUUAAUCCCCCAUAUUAUUUCCAAACAUUCCAAAAAUAGGUGGGGUUAACUAACCCAACCUCAAAUGAGCUAUUCUGGAUUAGCUAAUCCUAUCUAACCUCACCAAAUCCCAACCAAACACUAUUUUCUAUUCAUAAGAACCCACUAUCUUUCUUAUCCCACCUACUCCAACCAAACAUUAUUUUUUACUAUCCUGAACUAACUCCAAUCCUCAACCAAACACAAAAAUACUCUAAUUCCACCUUAACCCUGAAUUUAACUCUAUCUUUGAAAUAACUAAUUUUUCUUAAUUCCGAAUGAAACGGUAGCUUAAGAUCAAGAAAAUAUUGAUUCGAUAU